UUUUUUUUUUUUUUUGUUAAAAAACAUUCUAGUAAUUGUGGUGACUUUUUUUUAUUAAAAAAAUUUCUACUAUGCUUUGGAUUGCCAGUUUAAAAAAAUAUUUUUUUUGAUAAGGAAAAAAUAUUAUUGGUCUUUAUGCAUGCGGCUAUUAAAAAGUUUAAAAAAAAAAACGGUCGCCGCAUGCAAAAGUGCAUGCGGCUAUGAAGAAAAGGGAUAGCCGCGCAUAAGGCUAAGCAUAUUAAAAAAAAAAAAAAAAAAAGCAAAACAAAAAUUUCCGUUUCAAUCGCAAAAGAAAAAGGGAAAAGAAAUUUGGUUUUUUCAAAUGCCGACAAUGACAUUUGCAGCGACCCCUCAACCAUCCCACACCAACCCACAACACUACUUUUCGGACUUUUUUCUUGAAUCGCAUUAUUUUGGGAAAUUUGCCGUAUUUAUAGUAGGAUAUAAUCUGCUUCGACUGUCCCUUCGGCGACACCCGAUAAUCUGCUUCCACUGUGUAGGAUAUUGUCUUGGCAGGCCCUUAGCGGGGCAUUUACGUAUAAAUAAUUAGUUCAGUUAGAGUUGUCGGAACAUUAUAACCUGGGAAAAUAGAAUAGGGAAAGGAGGUCUAGGUUAGGUAUUUGCAUUUUAAAGUCAGGAUACAGCUCAAAACUUGGAAAAUAGACUUUUGUACCGAAAAAUCUCCAUUAGAUGCUGUAAUGUUGGAGCUGGAUCGUCCGCCUUUCUGAAGGUGCCGCUGCUCCGGGUAGCCCAAAAAAAAAAAAAUUGUGAAAAAAGCAAGUGAAAAUGAUAAGAUCCAGCCUUUACAGGUCAAUAAUUUUGGGUUCAAUUCUAACAAUUAUGUUAGACUGUAUUAAUUAGGUUUAUAAAUUCUCAAAGAAUCAUUUCUAUUGAACCCUUGAAAGCAAAAAGAAUCCACUAGAUCGGAUUACUGCAACAGCAGGGGCAGCUAUGCUUGCACAGAAGAUUAGAACUGAAGGUUGCAUUCCCUUGAAUUAUCAUUACUUUGGAAGGGCAAAUUUUUCUGGCCUAACAUGAGAUUGAUGAGCAAUUCUAUGUGUUAGCUUAUCCCUUUCCAAAAUUCUAUUCUUGGGCUGAAAUUAUGUACUUCUCGCUUUAAGAAUUUGAAUAGUUUAAUCUACAAAUUGCUAACUCUAAAAGCAAGUAAAUGUUGGAAACUAAAAAUUAUAUUCUUUAGGGGCCGAUUUCUGUUAAUAAAUCUUCGAGGUUUCACCAGUUAAAUAUUCCAAAUUGCUUGAGACUAGGGUAAUUGCUGUUUAGACUUUAGUGCAGGAUAGAACUAUACGUCCGUGGCAACCAUUCAGAAAAAGAGGGGAAAAAAAGAGUGAUAUACAGAAAUGAAUCAAUUUGAAUUUUAGUGGGAUCAGGAACAAGUAAUACUGUAAUGCUUCUUGUUUUAAUCUUCAGUGCUAGGCCCAUCUGUAGAGAGUUGGAUGUGGGGUUUGAGUCAUGAAGAUAUUGAACCACUACGAUUUGCUCAAAAGUAAACGCUAAAGACUUUGUCAAAAUAUUGAACCACUAUGAUUUGUCGAACCACGGACAGGAACGGUUGCUGGCAGUUUUAUGCAUUUUGCACACGACGUAAUUUUAUUUACACAACGUUUAACUUUAGAACAAAUUUUUGUGGAUCCCACAUACGUUGUUAAAAACGAGGUACAAGAAGUGAUAUGAACCGUACAAUUUUUUUGGGCCGAAUCCUGGUCUUUAACUGUUCAGAAACGAUCCUUCUGAUGACCGUCCCUGUCCCGUCUCCAUGAUUUAUCAUAUCUGACAAGACAUGCACAUAUUUAUAGGUGUACAACGAUUCAUUUGGAUGGAAGAUAUGUUAGAAUUUAUCUUUAUUUGUGUUAAUUUUCAAGUAUGUUAUAUCUAUUAGUUUCAGAUUUAUAUGUAUCUUUGUCAUGAUUGAUUUGUAUGCAUUUCUGUCUUUAAUUUAGAUUCAAAGAAAGGUUAAUAGCUAUGGGUUCAAAUCCUGUCCCCGCCCUCUAGUUCUCCCCUUGAAGCCUAAAAAUAUAAAAGGCUGUUUGGGUACAAUUGGCUAGGUAAUUGUCAAAAUUGUAGUAUUUGACAUCGCAGCAGAGUAUUUUAAAUCAUGAUUAUUGUAAUCAGACUAUGGAAGCCAACUAUGGUUAUUGGUUUUGAGAUUUUUUCCCUACGGUAGAUUUUCCUUCUUGCAUGUGCAUAAACCUAUGCUUUGAUCUCCGGUAAGAGAAUGCUGGAUAAGGUAAAAUUUUAAUAGAACCAAAACUUCGUAAAAUCUGUUGCAUGUUAUAUGAAUAAGUUGCAUGAGUUUGACCCAAAAGUGCUUUUUUUUUUUUUUUUGCUCAAAAGUUGAUUGUGAAGAUAUUACUGGUCCAGAAUGAAUGUCCAGUGGAGCCUUAUAAGCGAAUCGUUCUUGGAGCUGGAGGAUACCGAUUGCAUUUAGCAUACAAAAUUGAUGAUAUGACUAGAGAAAUGAGUAGGUCAAAAGCUAUAUUUUAAAACUCGGACAGUGACAUAGUUAAAUUCAAGGCUAGAAAUCAAUGGAUUCGAUCGAAAUUGGACCAAUUUAAGAACCGGGUAUCAUCAUUAUUAUAUCAUAAAUAUGUAUUAUAUAAAGGGAUAAUUUCAGAAACCUCCCUUGAGGUUUCUGACAGUUUCACUCCCUCCCCUGUGGUCUCUGAAAUUCCACAAACCUCCCUAAAACUAAAUAGGCAAGGCCAAAAUAGACCCAAUUUAAAAAUACAAACAAUAAAAAAUUAGUAGCUGGAGAGAGAAACAAGUGUAUACCAUAAAUGCCCUCAUUAUCUUGGGUUAGAGAGCUAAUCAAUUGUGAAGAAAAAGGAGGGAAUUUAGAAGAAUGAAACUUGAGGGGGUGUAAGUGAGACCAAUCAACAGACAAGCACACAACGUCAGUAGUGAACAAAAUGAAAGGCAACGACUCUUUCUGCAGCCAGUUCUAACGUCUAUAUGCAACGGCCAAUUUAGAAGGCUAUUUAUCAGAGUAAAAUGCAGCAGCAAGAGACGCAACUGAAGUGCAACAAGUGUUAAUUUGUGAGGUGCAACUGAAGUGCUUGGUGUUAGGUGAAUUGCAGCAGCAACAAACACACGCACAAAUGGCCAGUUCAAGCAGAAGAGGUGAAUUCCAGAAUUUUGACGGACAGUUAUUCAAGUCAGUGCUCUGUUUCUUUAUAGGCAUAGUUUCCUCUUCAUGUAUUGCUGCCAAUAAUUUUGCAAUGCCUAAUGGAUUUUUGCAUACAUGCAUUCAGGGAAUCCAUUCUGAUUUUUACGUCCCUGAACUAACACCUCUUUUGGUGGCUUCUUCCCUGCUCAUGGUCAUGAACGAUUCUCCACAGCCACACUACCCUUUAGAAUUUGGAUUGAUAAAUAUGAACUCUGACCUGAUCAUACCAAACAAAGAUGUUUGAGAUUUUAGCAGGCAGCACAAAAAGGUUAACUGUUCCACUAUACAUGAGGAAAUGAGAAAUAACAUCACCCCGCCAUGGAACAAAGUUAACUUCGAGGCUAACCUCUAAAUCAUAGUCAUUAUCUGAAGUUGGAGUAGUUCAAAGGAAGAUAACAUCACAUUUCAAGAAACAAUGCUACAAUGAAAAGUAUAGAGCAAAUUUGUGUUAUAACUGCAGAGAUGCUUCUAAAAUUGAGUUAAGCAUUAAUAGAAAAGAAUUUCAUACCUCAGUUUGUCAUCGACAAAGUCCAUCUUGGUUCCUAUGACAUGCAUGAGAGCCUUCGGAUCAACCAAUAUCUUAACACCCUUGUCCUCAACCAACUCAUCAAACUUCUCUUUUUCAUCUAUACAUUUAAGAAAUUUGCGCAUCAGGCAAAUAACUAUCAACCAAAUUAUGGAAACAAAACAAAGGGAAUGCCCAUUGUCUUCUGGUUACAUUGAAUCCUACAACAUCAUUUAUUAUCUCCAACAGUUAUUGCAGUGCACCAACUCUCAUCAGGUGGGAUUCCCGCAACACAGGCAAAUCAAUGAAAGAACACAAAGUACAUGGAUAAACAAAAGUCCAGCAAUGUCGUUGAACAAUCCUUCCUGUUCAUUUUCUUUUUAUUUCCAAAUUUUGGACAGGGGAAUGGCGGUAAAGAAAAAUAGUGAAAGUGGUGGGAAAUUGGAAAGCGUGAGAAACGAACUGUUGUAUGAUGAGGACAAAAGACCCUUAACCAUCCAAGUUUCUACUCAGAUUGUGAUUCCAAGCACUCACCUUAAGUUCAUUAAAUGCACGGAACAAUAUAAUAUCUAGCCAAAUAACCUAGGUUUGACUAGGGUUAAAAUUUUCAAGAUACAGGCAAUUCGAAAAUGUCACCAGCCUAAGGAGUCAACAAAAGAAUCAUCUUCUGGAUUUAAUCGCCGUAAAAUAAAUUAACCAAUAAAAAUCUUCAUAUUCGAACCUUUCAGUUAACGUUUUCACUAAAAGGGCAAAGGAUAGAACCAGGCCAAGUAGAGCCCACUAGCAGAAAUCCCUAUUGUUGUAAGCUUCAAACAGAAAUACUGAUAAAAAAAAAGACCUUAACCUAUCCAUUCCAGUCUACUCGCAUAAAGGGAAAAAAGUUUUUGUUCUAAAUCUACGACAGAUGAAGCCAGAACAAAUAACUCUACCAGAGAUUUUGGGAGGAAAUUUAACAAACUUAUCUUAAUUGAAGCAAAAAUUACAUGCGGCAAUUGGGGAAAAAAAUGUACAAUCUAAAAAAGAAUUGAAGAGGGGCGGGGAGGGGGAUUGAUUUUGAGAAAUGGAACUGCGUAAUUAAGGGUGUAAGAUAAGCCGUUGCAACCGCGAGCUUUGACGCCAAGCUUGUGAAAUGAGCGCUGCCGUUGUUCCAACAGCUGCCGUAUUCUGGAAGCGGCGGUUUCGGUUAAGGUGAGAACUUGCUUUCAGGGCCGAAGCCGGACCCAUCUUCUCCAACCCCUCUCUUUAACGUCCAACAAUUUGGACACGACACGAUUGACAGUAGCAAGAUCAUGGCGCCUAAGUUUGGCGCCAUUUCACUACAGACCGUUUUCUAUAUUGGUUGUUAGGACUCCCAAUUAUGGUUAAUUACAUUAAUUGUGUUUAUAACUAGCUUAACUAAUAGUUUUCAGAUAAUCAUGAAAUAUUAGCAAAAUGGUAAGGGUAUUUAAGUCAUUUUGGCACCAAUGAUGUAAGAAAUGGAACCUCACCAUCUGACAGGGGAGGUUUGUGUAAUUUCAGAAACCACAGGGGAGGGGAGUGAAACUGUCAGAAACCUCAAGGGAGGUUUCUGAAAUUAUCCCUUAUAUAAAUAAAAUUGUAUGAAGAAAUAACUUAUAGAUUUAUUAGUAACAUAACGAAAUAAAUAUCCUUUAUUCUUCAUGUUUGUUUCACGUAGCUUAGUAAAAUUCAAAAGUAUUAAAGCCUAACUCUAAUUUGAUAUUUGUGAACUUUAGAUGCAAAUUAAUGAGUCUAUAACUAAAUGUACAAGACUUAUUUGAAAAGAUACAUCAAAAUCGAUCCUGCAAAUGCCAUUAGAAAAUGUUUUGAGAACUUUGAUAGCAAUCCAAAACAUCAUGGGGGAAAAUGAAAUAUUAAAAAACUUAAGGUAACUAUCCCUAAUUUCUUGGCCUAUUUGGCAACUAGGUUUUUUGUCUAAUUUUUCUCUUACAAGUUUUUUUUAACAAUUUUAGUUACACUAAUUUCAAAAAACACUUUAAAAUUUUUAAAAUACACACUUCAAAAUAUCCAAAAAUACAAAAAAUUUCCUUCUUUUUCUUCUUUCUCCCCCACACUUCCGUCACUAGCCAACCUCCGUCGGCACCUCUUCCAACGCUGGCACAUCAUCUAGCACCGACAGAAGUUUUUUUCCCUUUUUUUCUCUUUCUCCUCCUAUUCCUUUCUCUCUCUUUCUUCCUCCUCCUUCCCUCUCUUUCUUUCUUCCCCUGCGCGAUCAGAUUGCGUGACGGAGGGAAAAGGAGUAGGGGAGGGUGGCAGGGAGGGUGGCAGGGGAGGGAUGGGGGGAGAGAGGGGAGGGGAGGGGAGGCAGGAGGAAGGAGAAGAGGGAAAGGGAGAGGGAAGAGAAAGAAACAGAGAAAAAAAGCAAAAAAAAAAAAAAAAAAAAAGCUGCUGCUACGGGCACUAGUCGCGGCGGAGGUUCCAGCGCCAACACGGCAAGUGGUGAGGUGAGGGAGAAGGAGAGGAGAGGAAAGAAAAUGAAAAAGAAAGAAAAAAGUUUUUAUUUUAAAAGGGAGAAUUGUAGUGUUAGUCCCAAUGUAUUACCCAUGCACGAAACUAGUCCUUAAUCUAUUCAAGUAAAUUUAGUCCCUAAUCUAUCCAAUUUGUGUGUAAAAUUGAACAAUUGACAGAUUCCUUCCAGUUAAGUAUGGAAUGUGGCGCGUGCACUUACUGUACCAGAAGUGCAAGUGGUUUCAAUUCUCCCUUCUAAUCUAACAUACAUGCUGGAACUAACAUGUUAUACACUGAGUUACACUUCAAUACAAAGGUUUGGAAUCAGAUUUCUUGAAGAACCUGCAAUGGCUCCUAAUUCUUUCUCUUGCUGCAACAUUAAUUUCCAGUAGCAACAGCAGCCUUUUCGUUUGAUAUUUUCUCAUUAGUUCCGUUUCUGUUUUAUGUCUAGCUGAUCCUGCAAAGGAUACCUAUUCAACUACAGAUUAUCCUAAGCUAAACACGGAAGUUUAUGACCAGAUUCAAGAGGAAACUUAAUCAAAUCCCAUGCCGGUGCAAGGCUGGAAAAUCUUAUGCAAAGCAACCUGCACCAGAUUUCUUUCAUGCACACGUUCAGAUUCUUGCAAGUUACUACGGUAACCUGCUUUUACUACUUAAAGUGAACAUAUUCAUACAUUCCUAGCUACUUGUUUCCAUCCUCCUUUGAUAGCACCUGCACAAUCCGUACCUGUUUCUUAGCUAAAGAGCAGAAUUUCUUUUAACAAGCUACCAGUUCUGAGCAGGAUUUCUCGCAACCAAACUUACUUUCCUUGACUAGAAUCUAGCAUACUAUAUACGUACUCGAGGGCUUCAGCUGAUAAAAAAUUAUUGCAGUCAUUUUACCUCUUUCUUUCCUUUUAGAGUUUGAAAAAUUGCAGACUGCACUUUUAGUUUCCUGCUUCGGUUCCCAAAACUGCACCAGCCUCUUCUCUCGUACUCACUUUAGGCUCAUGGUUUUGAUGUUACAAGCUGGAGCAAUGAAGCGAGCAAAUGUCUAUCUUUCUCUUCCUCACUCUCUCGUUGCAGGCUGGAAGCAAGGAGAAACCAGAAUGUUCUCUUUUCUCUCACUCGUUGUGUUUUAAGAAAGGGGUGUGGCUGAGUCUCUCUUUCAGUUUUGCUCCUAGUGUUUAGUUGGUAAGAAAAGAGUUGAAGCGUGCUUCUUCACUCGGCCACCGCUCAAUUAAUAUAUCAGUUUCUAUUGCUCAUUCACUCACCGCUUGCACUUAGCUAAUAAUUGGCAGCUAUUUUCUCCUCUAAAUUCAUUUAUCUCGCUGCUUAUAGGACUUAAGAAUCAAAGUAAACAAUCCACUUGGUGGUCUCUUUUUAUUUUUCAAUCGGUGCUGCCAGCUAAGCUGCUUACUCAGACCAACUCCAAGUAUUUCUUUCUCUCAGUUUCUGCUAAAAUUCUGAUGGUUUUAUGCAAUGGUGCUCACUCAGGCCACUGCUCAAAUUUCUUGCAGAUUAUUUUCUCAUCUUCCCCUCUGCCGCUGUCGCUCUUUUCACUCUUCUGCGACCCUCCUGAAAUGGGCUUCCGGGGUAGAACCCUCCAACUUGACAAUGCCCGAACUCACCAGUCGGGUUUGCAGCCUUUUAGUUCUCGAACGCCAUUCAGACCUCAAGAACCUUUCUUUCCAAUUCUCCCACGAACUCGUCGACGCUGUCCUCCAAAAACUGAAGCUCAACCCCUCCGCUUGUCUUCAGUUCUUCAGAUUAGCUUCAAACCAGUCAAAUUACCGACCCCAUUUCAAGGCUUACUAGAAAAUCGUUCACAUUUUGUCCAAGGAUAGAAAAGAACAGAGAUGUGAAAAAAUGAAAGAAGAGAAAAAGAGAGGAUAGAUUUUGAAUUUUUAAAUAGUUUCAUGAUUUACAAACAUUGAAACCACUUGCACCUGCUGGUACAGUGAGUGCACGCGCCACAUUCCGUUACUCAACUGGAAGGAAUCUGUCAAUUGUCCAUUUUUAUCCAAAAUUGGAUAGAUUAUGGACCAAAUUUACUUUUUGAAAUAGAUUGAGAACCAGUUCCGUGCAUGGGUAAUACAUUGGGGACUAAAACUACAAUUCUCCCAUUUUAAAAAUUUUUUCUACAAAUUCUAUAAAAAAUUAUAAUAGAGUUUUAGACAAACAUCCAAAAAAUUUAUUUACCAAACAGACCUCGUUCUGUUGCCUACAUCUUCUAACUGUCUCACCAUUUUGUUUCCAUUCCUAUCGACUUUCGUUAACUAAUUUUCAUUUUGUCUUCCAAUCUUUUCUUUUUUCUCUUUGUUUCCUGUCAAAAUUAUCUUUUAAUCCUGUUUCUUCAUGUUUGUUAUUCUUUUCUUUAUUUAAUCAAACUAAAACAUGAAAACUUAUUAUUCUUUUUUUUUCUCUUCUAUCCAUUAGCUGCUGGCUCCUUUUUUUCUUCUCUUAUUUUGCCUUAGACCUUAGAUUUGCAAGUUUCCUUCUUGCUCUUAGUUUUAUACUAGGUGUUUAGGUCUAUAAAUUGCAGCAACUUUACCAUUACAGAUUUACUUGAAAACGAGGAAAGCCUAAUUCUUCAUCUUUUCUUUUCUUCGUUUUUCUUUUUUUGGCGGAAACAAGUUGCAAAUUAAAAAGACACAUGUGAUAAAAGGUAGAAUGCACUGUUAUAGAAAUGGAUAGAAGUCCUCCAGCACUUGUUUUGCACACAUUUAGAACAAACCCCAAAAACAAGCUAACUAAAUUAUUAUAAAAGAAGAAGAAGAAGAAGCCCUAAAUACCUCCUAUUUGUAUCACAUUAAGUUAAAUUACAUGGAACGUCUAUCCCAUCAUCCACCACUAACAAUGGCACAACCCUUAUUUGCUUAAAGCUUUGUCAAUCCAUCCCCAACUUAUCCUUCACCACUUGAGUUUAGCUGGAAAGUACUGCAAAUCACGAAGCCCAAAAAUAUAAGAACAUAUGUAUGUGGUAGAAUUGUGAGAGAAUAUUUGAUUACAGAAUUGUAGAAAGUCAACAAACCUUUUCAAUGAGGGAGAGAUAAUACGACUUGACCUCUUCUAGGCUGAUCUUCACUUUGCACAUUGCUGUAAAGAUCAUACUUGUUGAACACAUGAAGCCAUUUCAGCGUCUUUUUCCUCCUCUUCAUUCAUCAACUAUCCGUAGUCUUCACCGUUAUGUAGAGCAUAGAACUAAUGGAAUCGGAUAAUGAAGAAAAGGGCAGUAGGAGGCAGAGUACAGUUAUUCCCUUUCACAUCCUGUACAUUUAUCCAACAAAAUUUAAAGGGAAUACUUACAAAAAGCAUACUAUUAACUCUAAUGUUAAGGAUCACAUGACCAAGAUUUAUAAGACGACACAAGGUUUUUUGAUGUCCUGGCUUACCAAGUACAUGUACUCAUCAUGACCCUAGGACAUGGUAAUAGUGAGUCAAUUGUGCAUUUUAUUUGAUGGUAUUUUGUCUUGAUUUUGGCCACUUAUUGUGCAAAGUAAUGGUUUCUGCUCAUAAUUGGUAUGUGUGUCAGUUGCAGGCGCUUGGUGUCAACAAGUGGUGAAAAGAAGCGAAUUUCCAGAAGACUAUUCAUUCCAGAGCGUGCCCACGCCAGAAACCGUAGAGUGACUUAUGAAAAGACGGAUUGCGGUACUUAUCCCUGGAAGCUUGCCGCUAUUUUUGGGGAGAUGUGUUUGACGUUUGCUGCGUUGGAUUAGGAGACAUCUUCAGAGAAUAUUUUGGCAACAAAUCAAGGAGAGAAAUAGGGAAAGAUAUCCCUUAUAGAUACAAAGACCGGAGUGGCUAAAAGAGGGCGGCAGAAAAACUUUAAAAAUAGGAGAGCAACUGACUAGCAGUUUAUCCUUUGUCUUUGUCUUUUCCUUCGGAACGUGAGGUGGAGACUAGCGGCUAUACCUUUUACUUUUUCAUCAACUAAAUUCGAUUCAAGUUUUCUAUUGCAUCAUCGUUAUGAGGCAAGGCUAGGUUCCUUUAUCUAGUUCAGGAAUAAUAAAGGCUCGGUGCACGGACAAUUGUGAGAUCUUUUUAAUUGUUCUACGCUAUUUUAAAUUUUGCGUUCGUGGGUAUUUAAUUAUUCUUUGUUUCAAUAGGCUUUGGAUUUAUUGGAUUAAUGUGGCCAGUUGUUCAAUUGUCUGAAUAGUAUACAGCCAAUCAGGACGAUGGUGCAUAUCACUUGAUUGUUUUAAAAUUAAUGGCAAACGGCACAAUUUCAUUGCCUCGCAAGUAGUCUAAUCUGUGUCGUAAGAAUAGUUAAUCUAGUUUAGAUGAACCCACAUGUGUGUUUGUCAACUAAAAUUGGGUCUCUCUAAUUUCUAAAGUUGGGAAUAGAUUAAGUCCUACGAGCGUCUCUGGGGUUAUCUAUUUUUCAAGGGAGUAGUUUAAGAGCGUUUCUGGACUACCUUAUAAUUAAGGAGAGAUUGGUGGUUUGGUGGUUGUCAAAUUGCUUUAACCAAUUUAUUUGUGAACGUGUAAAUUAAUUCAGGUAUUUAUAAUCAAUUGCGUGAGCCGGUGUCGAAAGUAUUUCCUUGACUAGGGUGUGUCAAUUAAUUGUUUAUUAUAUUCUUUAGUGACUGCAUUUUUUGCGAAUUGGAAAUUCAUUACCCUUACAUCUUUAAUUUGUUCUUUAAAUCUCCCAUCCUAAAACCUCUCAAAUUAUCUGUGUAAUAAAUCCGCCAGUUUCCUGAGGAGACGACCCUACUUACCACUAUACUCAUUUAGUUUUGGGAGUAAGUAUUGGUAUAAAUUUUAUUUUAAGUAGUUUGACAGCUACCAAAUUUUAGCGCCAUUGCCGGGACCUGGUGUUUGAAGUGUUUUAUUGCACAGGCUUUGUUUAGCUUAUGUUUUAUGCCUUGAUCUUCCGGUACAGGAAGACUCGAAUUUGACCUAGAGAUCGAGAAAACAGCAAGGAGGUUGACGAAGGAGACUAAGUUGCAAAAGCAACAAGCUUCAGCUACACUACCCUCCGGAUUUGAACAAAAUUCUAACUUAAGUGACUCAUUAGUUGAGUUGGAAACGGACUUGACUGAACCCAACGAAACAAUGGCAGCCCAAAGGACUUUGAGAAAGCUUGCAACACUGAAUGUUAACCAAAAGCCUCUAUGCAUUACUUAUCCUAACACGGAGCAGGCUUUUGAAUUAAAAUCUGGGUUGAUUCAUUUAUUGCCUACUUUUCGUGGUGUUGCAGGUGAGGGCCCACACAAACAUUUGAAGGAAUUCCAUGUAGUGUGCUCACCAUGAAACUUCAGGGUGUUACGGAAGAACAAAUCAAGCUACAUGCGUUUCUUUUUUCCUUAGCAGACAAGGCUAAAGACUGGCUGUUCUACUUGCCAUCGAGAUCCAUUACUACUUGGGAAGGACUGAAACGGCAGUUCCUUGAGAAGUUCUUCCCAGUCUCCAGGGCUACCAACAUUAGAAAGGAAAUAUGUGGAGUUAGGCAGGCCAAUGGAGAAAUUCUCUACGAAUACUGGGAGCGAUUCAAAUAACUGUGCGUCAAUUGCCCGCACCAUCAGAUCCCUGACCAAUUGUUGAUCCAGUAUUUUUACGAGGGACUGUUACCCAUGGAUAGAACCAUGGUGGGUGCAGUUAGUGGCAGUGCUUUGGUAAAUAAAACAACAGAUGAAGCCAAACGGCUGAUCUCGCACAUGGCAGAGAACUCUCAACAGUUUGGAAUCAGAUCUGAGGGAGUGACUAGAAGGGUCAAUGAGGUAAAUCAUUCUGACCUUGCAAAUAAAUUAACUGAGAUUACUACCUUGGUUCGUCAAAUGGCUGUAGGACAAGUACAAACAACUAAAGCAUGUGGAAUAUGUGCUGCUCCUGAACACAUGACCGAUAUGUGUCCGACCCUUCAAGAAGACCCCCACGAGCAAGCCAGUGCCAUAGGAGGUUUGCCUGGACCACCCCAAAGGAGAAAUGACCCAUAUGCGCCCACAUACAAUCCAGGGUGGCGGAACCACCCUAAUUUCAGCUAUGCUCCAAAACCCUCAGGUUUUCAACAACCAUUCCAGCAGAGACCUCCAAUACAGCCACCAUCCACGUUAAAUUCAAGUAUGCCCCUUGACGAUAUGGUUAAAUCACUAGUUAAUAGCACUUGUCAAAUGCAGCAGGAUUCGCAGAGAUUCCAACAAGAGACUCGCACCAGGAUUCGUAAUUUGGAAGCGCAAGUGUCACAACUAGCGUCUUCAAUGAGCAACCUUGAGAAUUGUAAUAAAGACAAGUUACCAGCUCAAGUGAUUCCCAAUCCAAAGGAGAAUGCCAAUGUGAUGCUUCUGCACAGUGGCAAGGAGGUGCAGUCCUCAAGAAAGGAAGCAAUAAGAGCUGAAGAUGAACAAGUUUCUGGGGAGCUUGAGAAGGAAACGGUAAGUCAUCAGCCAGAUGUUCCUAAGGUCUUGGAUAUUAACUCUCCUUUUCCUAGCAGGUUGGCUAAAACACAAAAAGAGGAAUCAGAGAAGGAGAUUCUGGACACCUUUAGGAAAGUGAAAAUCAACAUCCCAUUGUUGGAUGCGAUCAGGCAGUUACCAAAGUAUGUAAAGUUUUUUAAGGAGUUGUGUACUAAUCGGAACAAGUUGAAUUUUCACGACAAAAUAAAGGUAGGUGAGAAUGUGUCAGUAGUCCUCCAAAGGAAGUUGCCGCAAAAAUGCAAGAAUCCAGGUAUGUUUACAAUACCAUGCAUUAUAGGCCAGAAGAGGAUAGAAAGAGGUAUACUUGAUCUAGGGGUAUCUAUUAAUGUUAUGUCUUUGCCAAUAUUUAGGGACUUAAACUUAAGACCUCUAAAAGAUACAAGGGUAAUAAUUCAACUAGCCGAUAGGUCAAAUGUUUACCAUGAGGGUGUAGUUGAAGACAUCCUAGUGAAAGUUAAUUAGUUUAUCUUUCCUGCUGACUUCUACAUUGUUGACAUGAAUGAUGAUAACUCAGUUAAUUCAGCUGUACUUCUUCUGGGUAGACCAUUCAUGAGUACUGCCACAAUAAAGAUAGAUGUACAAAAGGGUACCUUGUCUGUAGAAUUUGACGGGGAGAUAGUUACUUUUAACAUUUUUGAUGCAAUAAAAUACCUGAAUGAAACUAAGUCAGUAAAUUAUGUUUGUAUCACUAAUUUAGUUGUACAAGAUCACUUUAAGCAGAAUUUUAUGAAGGACAAGCUGGAAUUCGUGUUACCACAAAGUAAGAUGAAUACGGAAGUGGAAAACGUGGAUAAGGAAGAUAUUAGAGAAGCAAUUAUGUCGCUACAUUCACGUCCAAAAUUUCCCAACAGGUCAGUCAAAUCAUUUUUACCAUUACCUCCUUCUAAUGAGAGAAUUUUGCCCUCUGUUGAACAGGUACCAGAGUUGAAAUUAAAAGAAUUGCCGAAACAUUUGGAAUAUACUUACCUGGGAGAUCAUAACACUCUGCCGUUCAUCAUUGCAAAUAAUCUGACAGCAGUCCAAGAAGAAAAACUCUUACGAGUUUUGCGAGAGUUUAAGCCUGCAAUUAGAUGGACAUUGGCAGAUAUCAAAGGUAUAAAUCCAGCCAUUUGUAUGCAUCACAUUCUACUGGAGUAGGAUGCAAAACCGGUAAGGGAACGUCAAAGGAAGCUUAACCCAACCAUGAAAGAAGUGGUAAUGAAGGAGAUUCUCAAACUAUUGAAAUUAGGAAUUAUUUUUCCUAUCUCCGAUAGUUGGUGGAUAAGUCCAGUGCAUGGCGUCCCUAAAAAGAGCGGAAUUAUACUUGUGCGGAAUAAAAAGAAUGAAUUGGUACCAAUAAGACUCCAAAAUGGGUGGAGAAUGUGUAUUGACUUCAGGAAGUUAAAUGCGGCCACAAGGAAAUAUCAUUUCCCGUUACCAUUCAUCGAUGAGAUGCUCGAGAGAUUGGUAGGUAAGUGUUUCUUUUGCUUUCUUGAUGGCUACUCUGGUAUUAUCAAAUUAUUGUUGCUUAAGAGGACCAGCACAAAACCACUUUCACUUGCCCAUUUCAAUGCUCCAAGAACGUUUCAAAGAUGUAUAAUGAGUAUUUUUUCUGACAUGAUUGAAAAUUGCAUUGAAAUAUUCAUGAAUGAUUUCACAGUUUAUAGUGAUUCUUUUGAUCAAUGCUUGCAAAAUUUAACAAAGGUUUUACAGUGAUGCAUUGAAACAAAUUUGGUCAUGAAUUAUGAAAAGUGUCAUUUUAUGGUGAAGGAAGAUAUUGUUUUGGGCCAUGUUGUUUCAUCUAGGGGUAUCAAAGUCGACAAAGAAAAAGUUGACUUGAUUACUAGCUUACCUUACCACACUAAUGUCAAGGAGAUUCAUAGUUUUUUUAGUCAUGCAGGUUUCUACAGACGAUUCAUCAAAGAUUUCUCACGAAUUGCACAGCCAUUGUCCUGACUACUUUAAAAGGAGGCAUUAUUUGAUUUUGGAGAUGCUUGUAAAGUGUCCUUUGAUACACUAAAGAGCAUGUUGACCACAACUAGUCAGUACGCAGUAGGAGCUGUGCUCGGUCAGAAAAUUGGGAAGUGUAGUCAUGUCAUUUACUAUACGUCAAAAACGUUGUCGCCAGUUCAAUGCAACUACACCACCACUGAAAAGGAGCUUUUUAGCAAUUAUUUUUGUUUUUGAGAAAUUUCGAUCAUAUUUGUUAGGAUCGAAAGUAACAGUUUUCUCUGAUCAUGCAGCCUUGAAGUACCUUUUGGCAAGAAAGGAGUCCAACCCUAAACUCAUUCGUUGGAUACUCCUGCUGCAAGAAUAUGAUUGGAAGAUUAAAGAUCGUAAAGGGGUUGACAAUUCAGUGGCAGAUCUUUUGAGCAGAUUAAUUCGAGAAGAAGAGGUAGUGCCCAUAUCCGAGGUAUUUUCAGAUGAACACUUAUUUCAACUUGCAGGUGAGGAACCAUGGUAUGCUGACAUUAUUAACUUUCUAGUCAGUCACAAAUUUUCAAGUUGUAUGAGUAAGACUAAGAAGGAUAAAAUAAUACAGGAUUCUCGAUAUUACAUUUGGGAUGAACCCUAUUUAUGGAAAAUAGGGUCUGACCAAAUCAUUCGUUGAUGUGUUCCCAAUGAAGAAAUUCCCUCUAUACUUGUUCAUUGUCAUAGUUACGCCUGUGGUGGUCAAUUUUGUCCUAAAAGAACUAUUCAAAAAAUAUUUGAUUGUGGUUUUUAAUGGCAAACCUUGUUUCGUGAUGCUUAUCUAUUUUGUAAAAGAUGUGAAAAAUGCCAAAAGUUUGGGAAUUUAUCUCACCGGGAUGAAAUUCCCAAGUUCCUAUGUUAUUUUGUGAAAUCUUUGAUGUCUGGGAUAUGGACUUCAUAGGACCGUUUUCCAAUUCUUUUGGUUUUCUUUAUAUUCUGUUAGGCAUGGACUAUGUGUCGAAAUGGGUAGAAAUAAAGGUUACUCGAACUAAUGAUUCACGAGUUGUUACAAGAUUUCUGAAAUCCAACAUUUUUAGUAGGUUUGGCAUGCCAAGAGCAAUUAUCAGUGACCAAGGUACUCAUUUUUGCAAUCGCACCAUUGAAGCAUUAAUGCGUUAGUAUGGAGUUCAGCAUCGAGUUGAUACUAUCUACCACCCACAGACUAACAGGCAAGCUAAGGUAUCUAAUCGCGAGAUUAAAAAGAUUUUGGAGAAAACGGUCAACCCAAAUCGCAAGGAUUGGAGUACCCGAUUGGAUGACGCAUUGUGGACAUAUCGCACAGCUUAUAAAAUGCCAAUCGGAAUGUCUCCAUACAGGUUGGUUUAUGGUAAGAUGUGUAAUUUACCUGUUGCAAUUGAGUAUCGUGCGUUUUGGACAGUUAAGUAAUGCAAUUUCAACGCGAAUAGAGAUGGCAAAGAAAGAAAACUCCAACUUCAAGAGUUGGACAAAAUCUGCUUGGAUGCUUACGACAAUGCACGACUUUACAAAGAACGCACAAAAUCCAUCCAUGACAGACUACUGCGUAAUAAGAAAUUUGUUAUAGGUCAACAGGUACUUCUAUUCAACUCUCGGUUGAAAUUCAUGCCAGGUAAGUUGCGUCCCGAUGGAUUGGAUCAUAUGUUGUUGUCAACGUUUUUCCCAAUGGUGUGGUUGAAAUUAGAAGUUUAGAGACUAACAAAAAAUUUAAGGUUAAUGGUCAUCGUCUCAAGCCGUUUAUUGAUAUUUUAGAAAUUGGCACUAUUAAGGAGGUUCAUUUGCUCAACCCCGUGUCUAAAUAAUUUGUUAAAUUACAUUUGGUCUGACCACAGACGUUAAAUAGAGGCGCUACUUGGAAGGCAAUCCAAGAGUUUCAAUUAUUAGUUUUUUGUAUGUUUUUAUUUCAUCUUUAUUGUACUCAAGAUAUGGUUGUUUUAGGUCCUAUUGAUAGACAUUCUUUAUUAUAAGUCAUGGGUGUGUUUUGUGAAGUUUUAUUGGGAUUAAAGGCAAAAUUCUUUGGCAGAAGACUUUCUGUUAUAAGGCAUGCCCGCGCCUUAUGCUAAAUGCAACUGGGCAUUUUAAAGGUUGAUGAACAGAAGACUAAGGUCUCCAAGGCGUGGCCUCUCAGUUACAGUCCGUCCUCCGCAAGCGCCAUAAGCCCUUAAUUAUGGGUUCACUCGUCACUCACUUGGCCGUCCGUUUGGGGAUGCUUGACCUGGAUAAAGACCCUAAGCUCAGCCUGGCUCGUGAGAUUGAGCCUUUGGACCUGCACAGUUUGGAGCUGAUGGGCGUUAUUCGCAAGGUAGGUGAUGCCUAUCAGAUAACGCCUCCGGGAGAUGGUGUGCCCCAACCUUAGGUCCCUCCCACUGCGCCAACCUCAGCGGCUGAUCAGGCGGGUCCUUCCUUUUCCACGGCUCCAUCUUCUUGGGACACCCAAUUCCGUACUCUGCAAGACUCGAUUCAUGAGUUGGGCCGUCGAGUUGAGCGUAUGGAUGACCAUCUCGCAGCCUUGCAAGUCCAUUCUACUAUUUAGACAGAAAAUCUAGCAGCCUUCUUUGCCCACAUUGGCUUUUAGCCGCCCCAUCCUACUCCCUCAUAGUGCUUUCGUGCACUCGUUUGGCCUUCAGGGAAGCUUCAAUUCUUUUCUUUUUGAUUUCUAUUUUUCUUUGUUUCAUUGAGGACAAUGUAGAUUUCUGGUGUAGGGGGGGAGUGGUUCUAGCUCUUUAGGUUUGAUAGAAAAAAAAUUCAAAAAAAAUAAAAUUCAAAAAUAUAUAUGAUGAGUUCGUUUGGCUACAGUUGAAAAUUGCUAGAAUUUGAUGCUAUGAUCAUAAUUACAAUUACUCUACGAGCAUGAGCAGUAAUAUUAUGUGGUUAAAUGUCUUCUUAAUAAUGGAAUUGAAUGAUAAAAUUUGCAAGACUUGGCAAUUAAUAUCCUGUUAUGAGCUAUCGAGCCAAUGAGCGUUGCAUUGAUAACUGCUUUAUGUUCUUUCAUUGAGUGAUGUCACACAUGAUUUGAUUGUUCUAAAACUUGCUCUGUUAUGCAUAUCAAGACCACAUUCUUGAAUUUGAUACAUUAAACUGAUAAGGGCAUCUAGAUUAACCAUUUUUGGCUCUCUAAAGAUUGACCCUAAUCAGAUCUCCCCUAGUUGACCAUGGUUGAGUCUAGACCUUUUCCUUGUUUAAUAGUCCAUUUUGUCACCCUUAACUCCAUUGUGUUUGAACCCCUUUUAUUUUUACCCCAUGUCAAAGGAAUGCCUUGAUUUCAGUACAUGAUAAUUUCGAAUUAUGUUGAAAGGGGAUGAUUGAAAUUAGCGAGUGUGCCUACAGGCCCAUGUAGUUGUGCGUAGUUGAAAGAAAAAAAAAAAAGAAAAAAAAAAAAAAAGAAAAGGGGAGAAAGAAAAGAAAGGAGUACACCAAAAAAAGCAAAAGAAAAAGAAAAAAAUAAGGAAGAAAACAAAGAAAAAAAUGAGAAAAAAGAGUUACGAAGUGCUAUUGUCAAUAUGUGUGAUGUUGAGAUAGUGGGGUGAAGCCCUGGGUUGUGCUUGCACUUGCUAAUUUUUGGAAAAAUUUAUGGGUAUUCUUUGGAAAGAUCAUUCGAAUAAAGAAGCAAAUUGGAAUUCAUGCAGCGGGUCAAUGGUAUUUCCUUUGACACAAUGAGUUUAAAUUACUUAUUUGAUCCAACCCGUGCCUGAGCCCUAUUACAACCUGCAUCAAGAUCCUUUGAUUUUUGCAUUAAAUUUAAUUCUAGUGGUGGCGAUGCAAUAUAUUAGCAAGCAUAUGGUAACAUCAUUUUAUUGUGUGAGGAGAGUGACCCUAUGUGUUUCUUGUCGGAGUAAAGAGUAGUCAUAUGCCAUUCUUCGAGAGAGAGUUAAGUCGUGAAAUUUCUGAAUUUGAUGACAUGGUUAGGAGGAUAGGACAUUUGUGCUCACAGGAUGGACUGCUACAUGUGUGUAGCUGUAAUUGUAUCUCUGAACUUUGAGAUACUUGAGAACAAGCAUUAUCUUAGUGUGGGCGGAUUUGAUAGUGAGACAAUUGUGCUUUUUAGUUGAUGGUAUUUUGUCUUGAUUUUGGCCACCUAUUGGGCAGAGUAAUGGUUUCUGUUCAUAAUUGGUAUGUGUGUCAGUUGCAGGCACUUAGUGUCAACAAGUGGUGAAAAGAGGCGAAUUUCUAGAAGACUAUUCAUUCUAGAGCGUGCCCACGCCAGAGACCGCAGAGUGACGUGCGAAAAGACGGAUCGCGGUACUUAUCCCUGGAAGCUUGCCACUAUUUUUAGGGAGAUGUGUUUGACGUUGCUUUGGAUUAGGAGACAUCUUCAGAAAAUAUUUUGGCAACAAAUCAAGGAGAGAAAUAGGAAAAGAUAUCCCUUAUAGAUACAAAGACUGGAUUGGAUAAAAGAGGGCGGCGGAAAAACUUUAAAAAUAGGAGAGCAACUAACUAGCAGUUUAUCUUUUGUCUUUGUCUUUUCCUUCGAAACGUGAGGUGGAGACUAGCGUCUAUACCUUUUACUUUUUCAUCAACUAAAUUCGAUUCAAGUUUUCUAUUGCAUCAUCGUUAUGAGGCAAGGCUAGCUUCCUUUAUCUAGUUGAGGAAUAAUAAAGGCUCGGUGCACGGACAAUUGUGAGAUCUUUUUAAUUGUUCUGCGCUAUUUUAAAUUCUGCGUUCAUGGGUAUUUAACUAUUCUUUGUUUCAAUAGGCUAUUAUUGUUUGGAUUUAUUAGAUUAAUGUGGCCAGUUGUUCAAUUGUCUGAAUAGUAUACAGCCAAUCAGGACGAUGGUGCAUAUCACUUGAUUGUCUUUAAAAUUAGUGGCAAACGGCGCACAAUUUCAGUGCCUCGCAAAUAGUCUAAUCUGUGUCAUAGGCAAUAGUUAAUCUAGUUUAGGUGAACCCGCAUGUGUGUUUGUCAACUAGAAUUAGGUCUCUCUAAUUUCUAAAGUUGGAAAUAGAUUAAAUCUUAUGAGCGUCUUUGAGGUUAUCUAUUUUACAAGAGAGUAGUUUAAGAGCGUCUCUGAACUAUCAUAUAAUUAAGGAGAGAUUGGUGGUUUGGCGGUUGUCAAAUUGCUUUAACCAAUUUAUUUGGGAACGUGUGAAUUAAUUCAGGUAUCUAUGAUCAAUUGCGUGAGCCGUUGCCGAAAGUAUUUUCUUGACUAGGGUGUGUCAAUUAAUUGUUUAUUAUAUUUUUUAGCUACUGCAUUUUUUGCGAAUUGGAAAUUCAGUACCCUUACAUCUUUAAUUUGUUCUUUAAAUCUCCCUUCCUAAAACCCCCCAAAUUAUCUGUGUAAUAAAUCCGCCAAUUUGCUAAGGAGACGACCCUACUCACCACUAUACUCAUUUAGUUUUGGGAGUAAGUAUUGAUAUAAAUUUUAUUUUUGGUAGUUUAACAGUCACCACAUGGUAAUAUUGUCCAGUCCACAGUUCUCAGUGUAGAUUCCCAGCUUAGUGUUGAAGUUGCGAUUCUUGUAGUCCGGAUUUUCCUUGAAAAACUCAGCAAAAUUUGCGAUAGAAGAGCGGUUGGUUAUCCAGAAAAUUGUACAGUAUUAGAUAAGACAAGGAAGCUUGAAUUGAAUUAUGAGAAUUAUCGCCUGGCAAUGAACAAUGACCUCGCUAAAAAGUGCAUCCGAGCGGAAACGUGUCACCUGAGAAGUAAUAAAUCGACAUGGUCCAGAAAUCAAUGUCCAAAGUCCAAACUAAAAUCAAAUGAAUAGGGAUCAGACAUUAGGCGUCACUCGUCGGACUUACCUACAACACACCAUUGAGGCUCACCAUUGAACGAUGUCCCCAUACAGUAUCAGAUUUCCAGCUCUUAGCAUCAUGCUACACACCUUUAAGUGCAUUGAAUCACAACAAAUGUAGCGCAUUACGUGAGAACUCAUUGUUUGGAUUCAACCAAGAAAAUCCUGUCAAAGUGCUUGCCAACUUGUGCUUUUACGCAUCCACCUGGUUAUGUAACCAUCUUGUUUUAAUUCUUUUUAAUGGACACACUCUGGAUUUAGUCAUUUUAGAAAUUGAUGGAGUGAUGUAAUAAAUAUUUGGCUAUCAACCUUCUGGAUCUGUUCGAUGGUAGAAAAUGAUUAUAUGACAUGGCAGUUGAGAUUGUGUGUAAUUACACAUAGUCGGCCACGUCAUAGAGUAACACAUGUACACACAUCUCAACUACCACAUCAUAGAGCAACACAUAUAACUAAACGUGUCAUGUUGAUUUCCUACCUUAAGAUUGACAGCUAAAUAUUUAUUACUACACCACUUCCAUCAAUUUCUAAAAUAGCUAAAAUCCAAAGCCUGAUCGUUAAUAUUUUCUUUGUAACGUACGUCCGUAACUCUUCAGACUAGCAAGAAAUCUUGGCACCAAAACAAGAAAGGUCAGUGGAAGGUGGAGUAGCUCAAGUCUGAACACAUCCUCCACCCUCUAUCCAUCUAACCAUGCAUCCAUUAAAAGCUUCUUUUGCUGAUCUAAAUUCUAAGCAGAGCAGUCCAAAAAACUCACCAAGGGCUUGGCAUCUUCCCAUAAAACCCAGAAAAAAGAAUCAAAGAUAAGAUGUCUGGUUAUAUAUACAAAUUUGUAACAAGCUAAAGCAUCCAACCUAUUCACACACACAGAAGAGAUAGUGAACCGUUAACACUCGUGUAGUCAUGUUCUUUAAAGCUUGGCAAAUUCAAUUGCACCACGAAACUCCUAUUACACAUGUUAGAGAGAUGACGAAAACAAAGUGCAUGGCAUAACAACUCACACAGAAAUGGGAAAAGGGAAAAAAAUAAUAAAACAAAAGAUUGAAAACAAUGCUAAUGGAUGUGAUGCACCGUGCAGUAUCAAGAUUGAGAUCCUCUACUGUUGCAGAGGAAACCGCAAAGAGUAUGGGUGGCUGGAGAUCGGACCGGAGUAGCUGGGCUCGACUUGAAAAUCACUCCGGCCGACUCGAUCUCAACUGUACAUCGAGUUGGGCAGUUCUGAUCUGAUCUCCAGUCAGCCACGGAUUUAAGGGGGGGCUGGUGGGGGCUUAAGCCCCCCCCCCAAGCCGCCGGAAAACCCCCUAUAUAUAGCCUGGGUCCAUCACCAAGGCAAUGAUGUUUGCCCCAUACCUGGCACUACCAAGAUUGAGAACCUCGAUCAGAAUAUAGGAGCUUUGUCUGUAAAACUGUCCGCAGAGGAAAUGGCAGAACUCGAAUCUAUUACUUCGGCUGGAGUCAAGGGUGAGAGAUACGGGCCUGAAAUCAGCACUUGGCAAAGUUCUGAAACUCCACCUUUGUCAACCUGGAAGGGCAUAUGACGAGCAAGUUUGGUUUGAUAUUUCGUGGACUUUUGUUCAGCUUUAGCUUGGAAGAGCACAUGAGUGCAAGUUUGGUUCUAUAUAUAUUUCGUGAACUUUUUUUUUGGUUUAGCUGUUUAACGUCUUGUGGAGUAAUCACAGGGUACAACAUGUGCAGUAUUUGAGUUUUGCAGUAAUCACCAGGUUCCCGGGCUCUGGACAUAAUAUAAUCGAGGGCUCAAGGGCUGGCCCAAAUAAUUUUACUAUAAAGGUGAUGCAGUUGUAUCUUGAACCAAUUGUUCAAUUUGUGGUUAGCAUGUUAAUUUCCUAUUUUCUACUUUAAUGACGACACUUGCUAUUUGAACUUACAUGGGAUAAAUCUAUUACUAUAUAAAAAGCAUGAUGAGUCUUUAGUGUCCUCGAUUCUAUAAAAGAACGUAAAUUUCAAUUUACUUUUAAUAAAAAAGGAUGAAAUUUCAAUGUAUGCUAACAUAACUUUUAUCUUUUUUUAAUUGAAAAUAGUUAUAUUUAUAUUGAUAAUUAUAUUUUUAUUUUUGCACAAGUGACAUAUUGGAGCAUCUUCUCAUAAUGUGCAACUUAGGUGGUUUGUGAUGUUAUAAGAUAUUUAAUCAAAGGUUAUUUUUUGUCUUAAUUUUAGUUAUGACUAUGUUACAUAUUUAUAAAAUAGACAUACCUUUAUAAUUAAAGUUAAUAUUUGAUAUUUUAAGAUAUCAUAUAUUUAAAUAAAAUAAAAAUUAUUUUGAAUAUAACAUAUUAAGGUAAUUUUGUUUGAAAAAAUUUUGGCCCCCCCAAGGAAAAAAUCCUGGCUCCGCCACUGUCUCCAGUCAUUCACUACGUGGUGAAGUUUCUCUAUAACUAGAGAGAAACUUGAUCUGUAGUAUCAUUAGUAUGGUAAUUACGAGAAAAAUCAGAGAAAUAAAAUACUUAAGUAUGAAAAUUAUAUUAAUACGACGUUUCUACAUGUAUUUUAAUCUUGAUAAUAAGUAAAAGCUUCGUAGAUCAUUUAAUAUUUGCUUUUCUGAUGCGAAUUUUAAGAUUUAUUGGUUUAUUAAUAAAGUUAGUUUACACUGGCUACAGUAAAAGAUGUAGACAAAUGAAUUUCACUCAUAAAUUUAGUUUACUUAAGUUAAUUGAUUAACUUAUCUUGUAAUGCAUGAUAAGCCUUUUAUGUCUUACAAAGAAAUACUAUUUGUGACAUUUCCUAACCUAUACUUUAUGCGAAAUUGGAUAUAAUUGAAAAAGUAAAAGCAGUGUUUGUUAAAAAAAAAAAAAUGUAGAGUUUUUCACAUAAUAAAAGUCUAGCAAAAGGAGACCAAGCACUCAAAACUUCUCUUUCAAGUGAAUUCGGUAGAACUUUUUUAAUAGUUUGCUAAAAAAAAUUGUGAACAUAUAUUUACCAAACAAUGUCUCAACCAUUGCAUAUUGCACGAAGGCAAUAUUUUUUUUUCCAUCAAAAUUCUAUUCUUGUUAUAUUUAUAAGGGAUUGGACUUGAUCGAUGGCAAAUGCAACGUUUCUUGACUUAUAUUCGGUAAAUAAACACAAAAAAAAAGGAAGAAGAAGACAUGGCUAUAUGUUCACUAGAUGAGUUAGUAAGACUGAUUUUUGUCCCUCCAAAGAGUUGUAAAAAAAAGGAAGAGAAACAACUACGAAAAGUUGGUUUACUUCCUAAUUCCUAAUUAACAUUAGAGAACCAAGGUUAAAUCACUUCACCAAAAUUAGAGAUAUCAAGCAUAAACACAAAAUAAUAACUUCACCCAAAAAAAAACACAAAAUUAGAGAUAUCAAGCAUGCAUAAACACCAUGCAAAUAGAGAUCGCAUUUGAAAAAUAUAUAAAAGUUUGCCAAAACAUUUUCGUAACUGAAAGAUGAGUUGGAAUACCAAAACAAAGUAAUCAAUUGAUUCUAGAUUAUUUUCUCAAAAAGAGAAAAAGAACUAUAAAUCAAAAUAAACAGAUAAUCAAUAUUACACCUUAAAAGUAAAUUGCCAAAUAAGAAUAUACCUAACUUGAUCGGAGAAGAAUGAAGGCAUUAUCCCCCUUCCAUUUGAUCCUAGUUGAACAAGUUAAUUAGGAAAACCUGUGCUGCUCUUUUAGGUGAUAAAGAAUGAAAAUCUGCUGAGUUGCAGUAAUAAUCAAAAUAAGUUGUUGGUUUUUAUAGUGAUUGCAAGCCAAUUAAAUUGCUCCACGUCAAAAUGUGUUACGAGAAAAUUUUAUGUAUGUGACGUAAUAUAAUUUUUAUUAUUACGUGUUAUACAGCUAAGAGCAAAUUCUCAGUAAAUGAUGUUAUAUAAUGUUUAGUAUUAGAGGAAGAAGUCAGAUAAACCAAAAUCAAAUUAUCUACUGUCAAUGGUUUGCAUAUGGAAUACUUUAUAUAAAAGGAUAUUUCUUGAUCAAAUUAUGGGAGUAAUCUUGCUAGGAAAGUAGUUCUCAAAAUUCAAUAUAUGCCACCUUAUAGCUCACAUUUCAAGUAAUAAAUUUUUAAUUCUUUAAUUAAGAUAAUUAGCUUUUUUCUUGCCAAAAAAUCAAACAAUGAGAAAAAAAACUCCCUUACCUUAUCCUCUCUUUUUUUUCAUCACUUCAUGUUCUCAACCAAAAAAAAAAAAAAAAAAGGUAACCUAGGCUCAAAAACACAAUUUUGAAAAAUGUCAACAUUUUACAGUCAAGUACCAAUAAACAACUAUUAGGGUUGUAAAUUUCUAGUCACAACCAAUUCAUGAAAAAUAAAAAGAGGGCGGGAAAACCUCUAUGAAUAUUCGGAAGAAAUAGAAAAACUUAAAACUGGCCCAUUGGGUUUAGAUUAUGGGCUUGUUCAACAUGCCCCAUAUAAUGUUCUCGUCGUUUGAGAACUUGGCUGCAAAUAUUUGGCCAUAGAGAAAAAUUUUAUCAAGGUUUGAACUGAAUUUUUUUUUUGACAAGCUUAGUUUUUGGUCUUUGACUAAUAAAACAUUGUCAAUUCGAUAAAUAGGAACCCCACAAUCUUAUUUGAAUUCUAUUUAAUGUAGUGCCAGCAAACUCGAUAACCUUAUUUGGAGCAUUUUCCUUGGUCAAAAAUCAAUUACUAAGCCUGCCAAGUAGUAAAUUUAGACCAUAAUAAAAAAAAUUUCAUCUUCAUUGGCAGUCUCCAUUUCCUAUUUAUAAAGAAUGUCGUAAAAACAACAAAAAAACACGAAAUGAUACUAAUUACGCGUAGCGACCGAAUAAAACAUGCGAUUUUUUUCCUCCUAUCUUUGCCGAUUUUUUUUCCUCCUCCCUCAGCCCAACCCUUUUCUCUGUCUAGGCUUUUUUACCUUCAACGGUUAAACAUAAGAUUUGAACUCUGAAUCUAACAGCGACAAAAACUCUAACAGGCAUCCCUUGACCACUAACUUGUUUCCUUCUACUUGUUAACGUGAUUACAAAGCCUUGAUUUUCGUCCUCCCUCAUUUUCUUCCACAAGUAUCUAGUUUGCAAGAAGAUUAUAUCAAAAUAACCCAAAAAAUGAUAAUCAAACUACAGAACUGGCUCCACCUUGCAAACAUACAUUUAACCAAAUGAAAAGUCAAGCUCCACAAAAAAUGAUUAUCAAUAUCUAACUGUUUUAAACUCUAAAAUUGCUGAACUACAAUUCUGCUGCUGCCAGUCCAAUAACACUUAAAAUUUCUUGUAAAAGCUUUCUUCAGCAAAAAUAACGUGAGAAAGGACUCAACAGUAUCAAUCUAUCGUCGUCAGCCAAAAUGUUUCCAACUUGCAUGCUUCUUCCUAUGUGUUGGAUUUGAAUCUUCUUUUUAAGCAUUUGAAGCUUUUGAAAAAUAAAGAUUGGGACCUUCCUAUGUUUCAUAACGAUCGCCUAGAUAAAACAGCCCUUCAACUCUCGAUCAUUUUGUUCAGAUCUCAUGUGUAAUCAUCACAUUCUGUACAACCUGCUGGUCCUUCAAGGUCUCUUGAAACAACUAAUUCUGAGUAUAUGGUACAAGCAAUAAAGCAAAGUUCCAAAAUAACAACCUUCUCUGAAACACCUGAUCACUCAAAAGCGUUGAUGAAUCUACUGAACUCUCACCAUCACAAUUCCUCAUCAAAUCUACAAAAUUCAUGGUAUACAGCAAUUUUCAGUAUCCCUUUGUCACAUUACACCAGAACAUUAUGAAGUUUGCUCCCUAACUCAGCUUUCCAUUUGACCGCACUCAGUGAAGUAUCGCUACUAAAAAUUGGGAAUGAUGCUCCACAUGUCUAGUACGUCUGAAAGACUUUCAGAUCUUCUCUUGGCAAAAUAAAAGCAUGUUCAACAUCAUUAGGAUCACAAAAUUCUGACUUCGAUUGAGCAAUCGAUGAACACUAAUAACUGAGCCUCUAAGACUAUAAGCAGCAAAUUCAUGUACUAAGCAACGAUACUGUAUACUGAUGAAGAUUUAUUGUGUGUUAACAGAGGAAAACACAUGAACGGUCUAUAUCAUGCAUAAAUGCCAUACUAAUCUUUAUUUAAACAGAAAUUUGUACAUAGACAAUACUAUCGUUUCAAUCUUGUAAAAUAUGUUUUACUUGGUUAAAAAAAUAGAAUUCAACAUUAGGUUUAGAAAGAGCAGAUAGCAUAAUGUUACUGCAUUUUAGUUCUGCCUUGGGGAAAUAGUCCAAAAUCUAGUCACCAAAUAGAUGCUUUAUGAGCAAGUACUCUUCGUUAUAUACAAUCCCAAAUGCUCUUAUAGUGUCUCCUCGUUUUUAUCUCUUUACUUUACACCUUGGAGAGAUGAAACACAGAAAUCAUCUGAUCUAAUGUUUGGCUUCUUGUAAGCUUGGUAAAAGGGUUAACAGGGUACAAAAGAUAUGCUAUAAGUAAGGUGACAUGUGACUAGGAAAACCAACAAAAGAUUGAAAAUAUGAGCUAAAGUUUCAAUAUCGCAGACAACUAUUGCUCCUCAUGGCAUUGCUACAUUCUAUAUUUCUUUAAUGAGGAUAUAUCUAAUACAUUUAUCUAUUAAUAUAGGGCAUAAUAACCAAUAACAGCAAUCUGACAUACGUUAUGGGAAGCAUAAAGAGUUAAAGUAGUAUAAGCGAGAGUUCAUGGAGUUUCACAUAUUGUCUAUGAUUAACAGCUAAGAUUGACAAUAUAAAGAUGAACUUCAUGGCUUCAUUGAAUUAAAUACUUGAUGACUCAAAACUACUGAUGGUUCAUAGAAUGUACUUACCAUAAAGCUCGUAUAGGAAGAGGCACUGAGCACAAGAGCUAAGAAUUUUACAAGUAAAAACUGCUUCAACAUCUAUUUCUCCAAAUGUCAAACAUUUCAUCUCAUCUAUUUCUUUGAACAUCAAUGCUGCACAAUUUUACUCCAUAAAAUAAGAACAAUCUCACAGUUUUUUGAAUGCCUUGAGAACUUCAUUAUCUUCUUGCGAGCAGAUAAGGGCCAUUGCUUUUGCAUUUUUGUUCUUGAACUGUGUAUAAACAUCUUUUUUAACAGAGGUCCAUGCUUCAGAAGAUGUCUUACUGUCUCAACUCAUCUUAAUACCCACAGAAAUUUUUUAUCUCAACUUCCCUAAGAUGUUGAUUUAAACACAGUGGUUUGUCUUCAGCACCAGAAUGGAGGGCUUCAUCAACAGGUAUUCUGCCUUUACCCUGAUUUAAAAAAUAUAGAAAACCCAAAAAAUGAAACUUGAUGACCAGUUCUUGUGGUUGUCUCUCAUCAGUCGAAAAAAUGAAAAAGGACAAAAUCAUUAUCACUUUUCCUUUCUAAGAAUCUUAGUUAAUCCUGACUCACCAUGUCAAAAACUAGCAUUUUCAAAUAGUAGAAUCACUACUAAAUUUCUAGUGCUAGCCCCGGUUGCUGUAAACUCCAAAUGCAUCAAACUUAGAAAUUCAGGAAGCAACACGAUCUGCGAAGGGGGAAAACUUCACAUGAUAGAAAAAGCAAGAGUCAUUCCAGUUUUUAGAAAAUAUAUGUAGAAAAAAAACAUGAAAUCCUGAAAAUUCCAGUGAACCUAACACACCCAGAAGUCGAAGAACAUACCAGUCCAUGUUCCCAAUAUACACGAAGAGACUUUACAUUGCACAUUUCAGCAAUGAACUGACAAAACUCUGGAGCCUAAAGCUCAUAAGUUUGCUUCAUAUAUAUGAAAGAUAGAUUAGCUUUUAGCAAGGACCUGAGCAUGCAAUUUGAGCCGAUUAAUGGAGUUGCACAACAUGUAUACUUCAGACACUUAAGAUGGGGGUAUUAAGAACAACCUAUCCAGAACCAGAUUCGAAGUCCACACCAACAUUUUCAGGCAAGGACUGUUGAUAUUAAUUGAUCCAACAUCACAAAAUUCUACGCCAUAAAUCUGCAAUUCAUCAAGCAAUGUCAAGAUUGAUGCAAAUGCCCAAUCUGUAUUAUCUCCUAGUACUGUCAAAUGUUCCAAAUUAAGAUUCGGUAAGCAAAACAAUUUUGGACCCUUCAGACCAACAUUUCCACUUAAUUUCAAAACUACAAGAGUUUUACCAGUAAAGAUUUCAGAUGGAAAGACGACGUUCUCAAAAAGAUUGAUAUAACCAUCAACCCUGAUGUUCAAGAACCCGAACAUUGCGCGAAAGCACUGAAGAUAUGCACAAGCCAAGCACAAAAAUUUGGCAUAAAGCUGGCUUUAGACAUCCGAAUCUAAGAUGGAACUCUCUUACAACAGAAGUUGAUUCGCGGUUCAUAAGUAGUCUAUUAAUAAAGCCUAUAAACCUCUUUACUGAUUCCACUAUCUUCUCAUAAUUGACAUUGUUAUUGUCUUUUCCUCAUUGUGGAGGAUAUAUAAGCAUAGAACCAUCAAGUCAAUUUCGGGAACAUGAAAGAAAAUGUACCUCCAUCUGGUGGACAAAAUGGAUGUGGGGCUACUAAUUUUGUGGGAAGAAAUGAGAGAAUGUGACAGAGGAUGCCAUCCGGCAGGGCACUGAUACAAUCUUCUUGACAAUCAUCAUCCGGGCUUGAAGGGGAAAGCUUGGCCUUCUUGACUGUGUUUUCAUGGCUGCUUUUUCAGGUGUGUUCUGAUCAUUUAGAGGAAAGGAGCUAGCUAUAAAGCAUUUGGGGUUUGAUCAUCAGUUGGGCUUACUACUAGGAGGUUGCAGAUGAUCUACCAUGGAAGCAAAUGCCACUUUUACCAUGUCCAAAAGCAUUUUCCUUUUUAGAAAACCAAGCCAUUGUCCAUUGUCCAUUAUUCUUAUAUUCCAGAACAUAAAAUACUAAUUUGUUUGUUUACUUUUUUGGUAGGAACGCUUGGAAUGCUUCCAUUUACGGUCUAAUGCAGAAUUUUGGUAGAAGAAUAAAUAGCCUGUUUUGGAGAAAAGAAAGGUAACAAAAUCUCUCUAUUGACCGUUUACACUAGGUGAAGCUUCAGUGACGUUCGAGGAGAGAAUUUUUUAACAUUAGUUGGAAUCAUUUUUCAAGGAUGACAAAAUGACAAAAUAAAUUCAUAGGUGCUGGAUUAUUUUUAGGGAAAGUUUCAGAAACCUCCCUUGAGGUUUUAACAAUUUCAUUUAGCUUCCUCAAAGUUUUAAAAAUUACACAUACUUCUCUUAUCAUUUAAAAUGAUAAUAAUACCUUUAAAUAUUUUAAUGGAAUUCGCUUGUUUGGUAUGCUUAAACGUAGAAUGACUUUUUAAACUUAUUUUUCAUUCUUUUUCCUUCUUAUUCCUUUUUUCAAAAAAUUUUUUUGCCAAUAAAACUAUAGAGCUAGCACUAUUAUCUCUAGUUUUUAUUGUAACAAAAUCUCGAACUAGUGAUUUUUUUAUGAGUUAACUUAUAUGUAAUCCAAUGCUUUUGCUAAUCUUUGUUUUCUAUUUUUUGGUAUUAAAGUUAACAAUAAAUCAAAAAGAAUUAUAUAAUUCCCAAAACCAAAAUAAACCCAAAACCGCAGCUAAAUUAUGAUAAUCCCACUACUCGAAAAAUUAAUAAACUCUAAAUGAAUUAUUUCAACAUUUUCUUUUCUAUCUUAUAAAUAUAAAUUUAAUAAAAUACUAUCAAAAGUAUCAUAUCAUAGUGAUAAAAUUAUUAUUAUAGUUGUUUAUCAAAUAAUAGGCAUGGACAUGAAAAAUUUGGCAUUUUUCCUUAUAAUUACUAGAUAAUCUUAUAAUUGUACAGGAAAUAAAUUAAAACUCAUUACACAAGAGCAUUUUUGGGUAUUCAUUCAAAAAUUUGACCAAAUCAAUAUUAUUUUAAGGUUUUGUUGCGAAAACUAUCAAAUCAAGGGAGGUAGGUGUAAUUUUCCAAUUUAAGGGGAGCUCAGUGAAAUUGUCAGAAACCUCGAGGGAGGUUUCUUAAAUUAUCCCUUGUUUUUAUCAAAUAGAGAGACUUAUUCACACUUAGAAAAUUCCCACCAGACAAUUCACACCAGAUUUGAGCCUCAAAUUUCUUCUUCAGGGAGGCAUUUAUGACAAUAUUUAGAUUAUUUAUUUGAAUGGAUACCAGUAUUAAAACAAAUGUUGUAGAAUACCUUAAACAAUCAUUCAUAUUUUAUCUCAAAAAGGUAAAAUGUAAUCAAAGAAAGUACGUAUUGCACAAGUUUCCUAUACUAGUUUUCUGUUGUUAUAUUACUAGUCGUUGAGAACAAGCCCAUAAUACUUGGCUACCAUAUGAUAUGGCUUCUGCCCCUCUCAAUGGGAGAGAAAAUUUCCCAUGCUUUUACUCUCUAGUCGUCAAACCCAAAAUUCUAGACUACUACUCUAUGGAAUAGUUUCUUUGCCCUUUCAGUGGAGAGAAAAUUUGCUAUCCUUCUACAAUCGUUGUGUUUUUUUUUUCCCUUUAAGCAACUGUCUACAUUUAUUGUGUUUUUAAUGUCUACACUGUCGUUUUAAUGCUACAUUCAUUCUUAUAGCGGCUUAAUUGAAGAAAAUACUUGAGAUAUCUCAUGUCAGAUUAAAAGACCUGAUACUUCAUAGAAAGGACUCAAAGCAAGGCAUCUAGAGGAAGAAACAUUCGCCACAGUAGACAAACAAUUCUACAAUGAAAGCUGCUUCAACAUCUAUUCAUCAAACCCCUUUGAAUAUCUAUAGUGCACUAUUUACUCCACAAGCUAAAUGAGCACAAUCUCACAAUUUCUUGAGCAUCUUGACAACUCCAUUAACUUCUUGCGGGUUGAUGAGGACCAUUUAGUUGGGGAAGUUCUUGAAUGAUAUAGUCAUCUUCUGUAACCCGCCCCAUGCUUCAAGAAGUAGCUUACUAUCUCAAAGCCAGUUGGUGAGAUUCCACGAAUUCCAUUAUUCACUUCCCUCAGAUGCUGACUCAAACAAUGAGGUUUCUCUUAGCACCACAGUGGAGGUGUAUACCAGAGGCCAUAUCAAAUUGACGCUGAUUUAAAAGAAAAAAGGAGAGAAUGCUUGAAAAUUAGUUUGCUUGGUUUAGUUUAUCAGUCUAAAAUACAAAAUGCCAAAACCAACAUUGAUUUUUCCUUAAUUCAGAUCCUAACUCACCAUUAAUUCAAAAACUAGCAUCUCCAAAUUUGGUGCACUCCACAGUAGAAUCUCCAAGAAUUCCAACUUCCAAUCCAAGUCCAUUAAGCACCAAAUGCGUCAAAUUUAGAAAUUCAGGCAACAAAUGAUCUUCCCUGAGGAGAGACUUUUCACAUCACAGAAAAAGCAAAAGUCAUUCCAACGUCUUACUAUAUAGGAUAUGAAAUCCUGAACAAGCCCGGUGACAUAAAAGACAUGCAAUAAGUCAAAGAAACUACCUCCAAAGAGCACCCUCUUAGAUCAAGAUGUUUUACAUUGCAAAGUUGACCAAAAAGUUGGCAAAGCUCGUGAGCCAAGUGCUCGGGUAAUGCAUCCGGAUAUUCACAACGCAGAUCAGCUUUCGUUAAAAACUUGAACUUGCAAUUUGAGCUGAGUAUGCUUUCAUAAAAUCUGUACUCCAAACACUCGAGCUUUGGGGUGUUAAGAACAACCUUGUCCUUUUCGAUGCCCACACCAACUUUGUCAGCGAAGGGAGGUUGAUAUCAACUAAGCCAACAUCACAAAAAAUUACCAGAUCAAUCCUUAAAUCAUCAAGCAAUGGGCAAUUCCAUUUGAGCGUCGAACCUGUACUAUCUCCUAGCAGUGUCAGAGUGUCCAAAUGCAAGACUCUAAGAUUCGGCAAGCAAAGCAAUUUUGGAACCUUCAGGCUAACAUUUCCGUCUAAUUUCAAGACUACAAGGUCUCGCAAGUUAAAAUUUCAGAUGGAAAGACUUCAGGUCCCCAAAACUCACCACCAUAAAAUUUGACCCGCACGUCAAUAACUUGAACAUUGCGCGAAAGCACAGAAGAUAACCAUGAACGAACCACAAUAGUUUGGUCAGUCAGGCAUCCACACCCACAGCUAAAAUGAAACUCACUUAGAGGCGACUCACGAUGCAUAACUAGUCUGUCAACAAAGUCUAUGAAUUUCUCCUCUAACUCCCCCAUCACAUCAUGAUAGCAAUCAUCAGAUUCAUCGCCUCUAACCUUCUAGUAUUAACAAGCUCAUAAUCAUCAAGGUCAAUAUUGGGAAGAUCCAAGAAAAUGUACCUCCAUCUAGUGGAUAAAAUGGAAGUGGAGGCUGCCUCUUUGGUCCGAAGAAAUGAGAGAAUGUUGAAGAGUAUGUGGUCUGGCAAGGCACUGAAUCGAUCUUCUUGACAAUUAUCAUCUGCGCUUGCUGGGGAAAGAUUGGCCUUCAUGGGCUCCGUUCUCACGGCUGAUUUUUCGGAUGGGUUUUGAUCAUUUGGGGAAAGAAGCUAGCUUUCAAGCAUUUGGGGUUUCGUUCUGCCAUGGCGCUGGAGUGAUGGACUUACUUGUAGUUUUUCAGAAGAUCCGCCAUGGAAGCAGGGCAGGGGUUCUGGGAUUUUGCAAGGGAGAGAGGGUGACUUUGGCCACUGGCUACUGUACUUUAGCUGCCAAGUGACGAAAGCAAAACAAUAGGAAUCACUGUGGUGCAAAGCUGAGUCAUCCAUGCAAUCAUUUUUGGCGACUGGCUAUGUACUUUAGCUGCCAAGUGACGAAAGCCAACAAAAGGGUGCAUCUAUGGUGCAGAGUUGAGUAGGGAGUAACUGAAACAAGUUAAAUCAAACAUUCUUCUUCGAACUUGUUUGAUUAUUUACAUUUAAAAUUUAAUUAUUUAUUUACUAAAUAGACAUUGAACGAGAUUUUUAUUAAAUAUUAUUGAUUAUAAAAUAAUUUUAAUUUAACUAAUUAUCAAAUUAAGUUCAAACGAACUCAAAUGCUAUUCAAUUUUGAUUGAAUCAAUUAAUGAAUUCAAUUCGAAUGAACUCUUGCUAAGUGAACUUGGUGUGAGUACGUAAAUACUUUAGUUCAUUCUCAUUUCUAGAGCUUAGUCAUUUGUGCAUAGGAAGAAAAUUAAUUGAAAGAGGACAACACGUCACUAUGGGCGCUGCACAUAGCCGGUGUUGUACAAGGGGCCCACAGUGUUUGAGCCAUUGUGGCCUAUACGAUUCGUGGGCGUUUUCCAAACACCUAAAAUUUAAUUCAAAAUUAGCUCUUGAAACCUUAUGUUUUCAGAUUCGGACCAGGUAUCGAUCGAUCGAGUUAGGAUCAGGGAUCAAUAGGUUCGAUCGGGGUUGAACUGAUAAUGUUAUAAAAAUUAUUUAAAAAUUAAAAUACAUAUAAAAUAUCUAAAAGUAUGUUAAUAUUAAUAAAGAUAUAUUCAUAUAUAUUUAAUGUUUCAAAUAUAUUUAACAAGAAAAUACAAAGAAAUUAGAAUGAUCAAGUAGCAAUUUAUAUUAUUUAAUGAACAUUAACAAGUUUAGAAUUAAAAUUAUGGAUUUGAUUGAAAAAUAACAUCAAAUUUUAGGACAACAUUUAUAAAGUAUGAAAUAUUUGAGAUAUAUUAAUAAGUUUUAACAAUUUAGAGGUCAAAACAUAAUAUUAAAAAGUUUGACCUUUUUUAAAAAAUUGCUCUGAUUGAACCGAUUUUUUCGUCAAACCCGGGUUUUGACCGGAUUUGACAGGAUUUUUAGUCUUCGAUUUUGAAGAACAACUCAGACCGAACAUUUGGCAGGUUCCCGAUUUGAUCGAUCGGACAGGCCGGUCCAAUCCGAGUUUAAAAACACAGUUGGAGGCCAAUUUUUUUUUUAAUAACCCAGAGACCAAAUUGGGAAUGAUGGGAUGACAAAGAACUUUUCAAAAAAUAUAAUUACUUGAGGGUACGUGGAUGUGAAAAUAAAUAGUUGAAUCGAAGUUGAAUAAACCAGGAGAUAAAUAACUAUUUAUAUGGAACUGAAAGUUGUAUAAAUUAUAAAAGGCAAUAAAUAAAUUAUUUUGUAAAAGCCACAUAUAUGACGACAAAUCAACAUUCUUAAGUUGUAAGGUGUACUUAACGACGGAGAUGGACUAGAGAAUUAUGAUGGCUUAAGUAUAAUUGUUAGUUGUCAUAAAUGUAAGUGACAAAGUGAUCUUCAAACCAAAAUCGAAAAUCAUAAAUGAGUAAUUAUAAAUAUAAUUGACAAAGUGACUUUCAAACCGAAAUUGAAACUGUGGGCGAGUAAUCACAAACACAAUUGACAAGUGAAUUUUAAACUCUAAUCGAUAUUGUAGAUGAGUAAUCAUAAGCAUAAUUGACAUAGUAAAUUUCACGUCCAUUAAUUUUUUUUAAAUGAGUGAUCCAUGUUCUAUGAGUCCUUAAACCAGUCGUGAGGUUAGUAGGUUAUUUUCUGAUUUUUUGAAAUUUUUUUACAAUUUCGUUGCACAACAUGUGAGAGCCAGUGAGCUUUUUGAGUAGGAAUUUAAAAAAAAAUUCAUCAUGUGCACAAAAUGUGCUUAAAUAUUGUAAUAUUGGAUAUCAAAUUUGUUUUCAUUCAAAGUUUAGAUAUCAAAAUUACUCAACGUCCAAGUUUGGAUACCAAAAUCACAUUAAAUGCAUUUUACUCUUUCAAAAAUUUUUCUAAUUUAACCACGUGAACACAAUCCCACUCAUUAACCAAACCUUUUAACGUAACUUACUAAUCUCCCCAUUAAUUGACACUUCUGUUGAUUGUUGGUGGGCGUCAUGUGGACCCACGUGUCCAUGACAACUGAAAUUUGAGAUAAACUAAUAAGUAAACCUCCUGUUUGGGGGUUCAGUCCCACAUCGGGUUGUUAGGGGGGUUGGGGUAGUAUAUUAGUCUCCCGAGGAACCACAAGAUUUGCCGGCUUUUGUGGUUUUCUCGGAGUUUCGGUUAGUUUAUUACCACAAAAGUCUUAACUUGCUUGGUAAAAAAAAAUAAAAAUAAAAAUAAGUAAACCUCCAAUCACCAGCUCUUGGGCUGGUGGCCACUAUCAAGCCCUUAAGGCUUUGGUGGAGUGGGAGGUAAGGGUUCAAAUAAUGCUACUCUUGUGGUUCUGCCACUCUGGUCCGGUGGUGAUUCUAUCUCUAUCGGGAUCCUGUAGGCUCAGUUGAGUCUUCCCAAAAUUAGAGUAGAAAUAGGGAUGACAAUUGACAAAAAUAAACAAGUAAACCUCCAUUUUAGGUGUCUCAUGCUUUUCGUUCACCUUGGCCCCAAAAACAUUAGACACAAACACAUGAUUUUAUCCGACAAAUAUCUACUAUUUUAGCCAUUUAACAACAUAGUAAUAUAUAUAAAGACCAUAUUUUUUUGCCAAAAAUAUACGGACUAUAUUCAAGCGAUCUAUUUCUGAUGGAUCCCAUUGCCCUCACUAUGACGGUCUUUGGCCAUUCAUACCAUUAUUGAGAUCCUCUCAAUUAUUGUUUUUCUCCAUUUAUCUAUCCAUUUUUUUAAAACAUUUAUGCAACUAAAAACUUUGCACAAUAAUCUGCUUGUGUGAAUAAUUUUAUUUCCAAGAGUAAAUCAACAUGCUUAAAAAUCAAACUCAUUUAUGAAUAUUAUAUUAUUCAAUUUACACAAAACAUUUUGAUGCUGCAAAAUGGGUCAAAAUUAUGAUAAAGGUUUUAAAGUUUGAUCCAGUGGUAAAAUUUAAUCAAUUUAGUUUCAAUUUUUGUAUAUACAUUAAACAAUUAAAAAAUAUAAUAUGGAUAGCUUUUUUAUUUUCAAAAUAGUAGUAUAAUUGUAUUUAUUUAGAUGCAAUGGAGAGAAAAUCCUUUCCAAUUAAUGGAGAAUAGCCUAACCCUGCUUCAAUGACAUGUACCACUGUCAAUAUCCAUGCUGGCUUCUACAAAACUUACCCCAAAUGCUAUUUUUAUUCAGUAUCUUGAUUUAUAGAUUUUUUUUUGGGAAGGAUUACUGUAAACUAGAGGUGUCAAAAUGGGUGACUUGGGCGGGUUUGGGUUGGAUAAAAUGGGUAAUGGGUAUAAGUGAGUCAACUCAUUUAUACCCAUUUAAUUAGAUGGGUAUAAAUGGGUAAAUCAAAAAAUGAAUUGGGUAACCCAAUUACCCAUUUAUAACUCAUUUAUUUUAACUUUUUGCAAACUCAUUUAAAUUCAUUUUUACAAACUAAGUUAUCAAUUUAUACCACUCUUUGUACCAUCAUUAGUUUUAAAUAUUUACUUAUAAUGUUCAAUAAACUUAAUUACCAAUUUUUUUCAUUUAUAUUCUAUGUCACAAAAUUACCUAUUAUUUAAUAAUUGAAUAAUACGAAUAUAAAAAUUUGAAUUAAGUACUAUAAAAAUUAAUAUAAAAAUUUAAUCCAAAAAUUUUGAACCCCUAACAUUUUUUUCAUAUAUAAAUUUAAAAUUUCAUUUUAUAAAGAUAAGAAAAUAGGCUAAAAUUUAUCAUAAAUUGGUAAUGCUAAAAAAUGAGCAAGUUAACAAACUAAGAAAAAAUAAAAUAAUAAGAUAAAACCAACAAAUAAUAAUAAUAAUAAUAAUAAUAAUAAUGUUAACAUAAUGACAAAAUGAAAAAUUUGAAAAAAAAAAAGGUAGGGAAAAGAAGAGACUUGAGGGAAGAGAAUUUUAAAUGGGUUAAUUGGGUUUGAUGGCGUUACCCAAUAAUACCCAUUUAAUAAAUGGUAAAUGGGUAUUAUUGGGUAACCCAUUUAUACCCAUAUACAAAAAUUUAAGAUACUCAUAUCCAUCUAUUCAUGGACGGGUAUGGAUAAAUCUAGUUAAUUGGGUUGAUUUGCCACCUCUGAUGUAAACAUUUUGGAUUUAGCUGUAGGUACAAUCAAGUCUAUACCCGCCUGGUGGCCAAUUGAUUAAUCUCUUUCUUUUCUCCUUUUCCCUUUUGUUUGGAUGCUUCUACUAUGAAAAAAGGUUUCUGUUGCUUAUGAUGGAUAGAACCAGUGGAAGUUUAAUAGCUCAGCGUGGAACCCACUUAGAUGAUUUGGGAGGUGAAUGAGCCGAGGUAACCGGCAUACGUCAAAAGCAUCCAUUUAAUAGGUUGUCAAAUAAACAAAUACGAUUGGCAUUGAUGCGACGUUAAAUUCGGAGAACUAAACUACAAAUCAAGAGUUUUUAGCUGUUUUUUAGGGUAUUUUGAAAAAUUUUACUAUAGCAAAAUUUUUAUAAUAUAUUUUGAAAUAUUUUUAGAAAAUAUUUUAAAAUAUUUAAGAGUAGAAGAGUUUUAGAAUAUAUUUUGAGAUAUUUUAUAAACAUAAAAAAAAUUUAGAUGAUUUUUUAAAAAUUUUAAAUAGUAUUUGAAAAACUAGUUUUUGAAAAACUCCAGCAAUCCAAAAUGGUGGGAUUUUGUCUAAGAUGAGAAAAUGGAAAAUGGGUUUGUUUGGAUUGCUUCAAAUUUUUCCAAUUUUAUUUGCUUACAUCAUUUUUACAAUUUCCAAUACACCUUUUUAUCUUCCCAAUAUCUUUUUAUCUCACAUACAUCACAUCACAAAAAGUGCUACAGUAAAAAUAUCUCAAAUAAUCCCAAAUAACUUACAAUCCAAACAGACCCAGACGUCCAGUUAGUUAUUUCAUAAGCCUUCUAUUCAUACUCAUGUCAAAGCUUCUUAAGGUGAAUGACUUCAGAUUUUUACCGCCUACAGAAAAGUUUCUCGCAUGAUACCUCAUAUUUUGAAUUAAAUUAUAAAGAUGAUGAAAUCCGUUAAACUUAACAGAAAUGACUUAUUGGAAGCUAAAAAAAAAUUUUAUACCUAAUUUUUAACAAAUAUACUUGUUCUACUCCUUAACCCUCCAUUCUCUCUAUUUAGAGAAUAAAACAAAUAAUUUUUUUGAGCCGUCUUAUGCUUAAUUAUAUCAGGACAUUUGGUCAUUUCGUCCAUUUCCAUUAAGUUUAACGGAUUCCGUCACCUUUACAAUUUAGUUCAAAGUAUGGGGUGUCGUAUUGUAUGUUUUGAAAUCAUGGGAGGCUUUUCUGUAUGUUAGAUUUACCACAGGGGAUUUUUUGUUUUUUACUCUUAACUAAAAGGUGGAAACACUUGUAUGAUUUAAUUGGUCAUUUUUUUAUUAUCCUUUUAUUUUUAUCUCCAAAAUUUCCAUUGUACACUUGAUGCAAAUCCAUAUCCAAAUCUGUGUCAAUGGUGAAAAUUGUUGAUGAAAACAUUUUAGGUGGGUUCAGUGCAACGUGCCAUUAUUACCAGGGUUCAAGUGCAAUUAACUUUUAUUUUUCUUCUCUCUCUCUCUUUUGAAUCGUCCGCCCUGUUUGGAAGCGGAGUUUUUAGUCAAGUUUUUCUCUUAGAAAUUUUUUAAUAACUUUACAUAUAAUAAUCUCAAAAGAUUUCUUCAAAUUUUUAAACUACACAUUUCAAAAUACUAAAAAACACACAAAAAAAUCCCUUCCUUCCUUUCUUCUUCUUCUUCCCCUACCUCAACCCAUCUAUGUCCGCCACUCGACAACCCUUUUUUUUUUUCUUUUUCCCUUUCCCCUUUUCCUCUCCCCUCCUCUCUUCCUCUCUCCUUCCCUUUCCUCCUCCUCUCUCCCUUUUCUCUUCCCCUCCCAUCUCGUCCCCCUCCCUUCCCUGACCAUCCUCCCCCUUCCCCUCUCCUAGCACAAUUGGAAGGUGGGGAAGGGUUGGGGAAGGAAAUGGCGGGGGAGAGGGGAGGUGAGGGGGAAGGGAGAAAGAGAGGGAGAGGAAGUAGGAAGAGGGAAGGAGAGGAGAGGAAGAAAUGGGAGAGAGAGAGAGAAAAAAAAUUCUAUCUAUGCUCCUAUUCUUACUUUUAAUAUAUAUUAGAGGAGGGCUCAACUCGACAGGUACUACCACUCCUAAUCUAUAGGAAGGGAAGGCUCACCUUUUUAGAGAGUUUUGAUUCGAGUGAGAGUCCCAAACGAGUUCAAGGUGUUUCCUAAACUUUUAGGGGAUGUCAAAGAAAAAGAGAAAAAGAAAAAGAAGAAGAAGGUGUUUCCUUGGUCACACUCCAACAUUGCAUCUAAAAGCAGGAAUUUCGAAAAUCCAUAUUGCCUUAUCUAAGGAGAAAUUUGCAUUUUCCACCUAAAUUUUGGCAUUGCAGGAUUUAAAUCUCCUAAAAGCGUAUUUGCCAAAACAAGUUUAGUCAUUUAUCCUUUCAAAGUUGCAUCCAAAACAAAAAAAAUUAUAGAAAAGAACCUAUUAUUGUUGAUUUAUUAAGGACAUUGAUCCAAUGAAAUGGAGCAUGUUAGUCUUGAACGCAAAAACCAACUUAAUUGCAUUUGUAGUUCCAGUGGUUAAGAACUUUAAGACUUAAUAUUUGGUCUAUCCACGAUAAGCUGGUCUAGCAUUUAGUAAAAACAGUUAGUUAGGAGUAGUUAGGAGAAUUUAUCAGCCUGAUGAAAGUAUGAUUUAGCAUCAGUAGAUUCUUCUACACAGUUGGAUUGAGGACUCGUAACUGGACUCGUAAUUUAACAGAACACCACCCAUUGAAACAAAUGGUCCCUUUAAUAUUUCAUUGCAGAACUUGAGUAGUGAACCUGGAAUCUCAGGGUUAUACAAUCCGUAUCGCAUGAGGACAAUAUUUCUCAGCCAUGCAAACUGGUCGUCUUUGGCAGGAAAAAGAUAAACUCUUAAUGAUCUUCAACUGAUUGAGGUGGUUGUUAAGAAGUUUAGGAUGUUUGUAUAUUCACUUACGUGUGUGUGUGUGUGUGUAUAUACUACUAAGAGGUAUCUCAGUCUUUUGGCCAGAAUAAUCUCCUAAAGCUGUGUAGAGCCUUGCUCCAAGAAUACACAACUUAAGUAUUGACAUUCCCCAAUUUGUGGCGUGAUUUUGUUCUGAAUCACCAUCCAUUCUUAAUUAUUGAGAAUAGCCCACAAUUCAAAUCGUUUUAAAAUUUAAAAACUGUUGAAAUACGAUCCUGGAACUAUGACUCGAAGAACAUGAAGGAAGAUACCUAGUGCAGUAAACAUGAAGGCCACAGAGAAGGACCAAAGUUUUAUAGAUUCUAGGCAAACCAUAGGGCUUAAAUCUCUUUAAGAUAUUGAGAAUAAGCAACUAAAAUUGAAGUAUUUACACGAGAGGUUAUCUUCACAAAAGCAAUCACAUGAAGCUUGUCUUUUGAAUUGCUCAACUAUCCAGCUUGAUAUACUUCUUGCAGCUCAAUAUCUUUCAGGACAUCUCAAGGAUAUAACAAUAUUCAGCCUUAUCAGCUUUUACAAACACAAAGACAGAGAACAAGAGCAGUCUUGUAAUCAAUGCUUUGUUUCCUCAGCUGGAAUAGGUUCAACUCUCACUGCCUAAUCCGGUAUUUUCUUGCUUCCUAACUUGCCCGCCCUUCACUAGUCAAGAAUUUUGAAUCGAGCUCAUCUACCAGCUCAUUUAACUUCUUUCAAUAUUUAAUUUCCAAAGUCCUUUUCAUUUUCCACUUCCAAUCAAAAGCCUUCAACACUGGCACAUCCCACGUGUUCAUCCUAAAUACCAGCUUUGGUUUAUUGCUCUCCAGUGAUGUCUUCUUAUUCCCAUCCCCUGAAUCCAAACUGUAUUGGACUCUUCAGUUUGUUGACAAUUCAUACUUAAAAGUUCCUACAUGUCUUUCAUCGAUCAAUCAUCAUAUUUUGAAAAACUUGAUGAUCCUCAGCCUCAAGGUUUCUGAAACAGCUGAUUCCUAGUAUAUACUACAAGCUGAAAGCGGAGAUUCAUAACAACAACAUUCUGUCUAUAGCUUCAUCACUGACUAGCACCAAUGACUCUCCAGAACCCUUAUCAUCAGAGUUCUAAGCACAGCUACAAAAGGUAUAGCGUUGAUCCUCUUUCAAAAUCUCUUUAGCGCAUAAUGCCGAAACAAUAUGAUUACUGCUUCCAGAUUCAGCUUUCCACAUGAACAAUCUCAACCAAGUAUCCCAACAAGAAAUUCAAAGGCGAAGCUCUAAACUUUGGAUACCUCUUGAAGACUUCAGCUUGACUUAGCACAACCAAAGAAAAUCCAACAGCAUCAGGAUCACAAGACUCUGACUUCGUUCGAUUUGAGCAAUUGAUGAAAACAAUUAAUAGCUUAGCCUCUUAGACUAAGUGACAAGUACACUUACAAUGAAUUAGUAUGUACCAUCAGAGAAUAACACAUGAAAGUGGCCAGUAUAAUACAUAAAUACCUUGUAUAUUUAUUUCAAUUGGAUUUAAGCAUAUACAAUGCUAUCACUGUGACCAUCUAUGACCAUUUAAAGACAAUUUACUUAAAUAGGAAAAUAGACUUCAAAAUUAAGUUGAACUAGAGCAGAUAACAGAAGGCUACUGUACUAUAGCUCUUCUUCGGGAUUAUAUACAAAAUUGAUUGACCCCUAUAUUACAAAUUUUGUAUCUAUUUAUAUAUGGGGUCAAUCAGAUAUAAUCUACAAAGCUCUCAAAUUUGUAAUUGGGGUCAAUCUACAAAGCGCUCUUAAUACUUUUUCUUCAUCCAUAUAUCCAACUUAAUACCAUUGAAAAAAUAAGGCAAAGGAUUAUCUAUAUUAACAUUCGGAACAGAAUUGCAAAGAAGCUAAACAGUUGAAGAACGAAUUUAUCAACCAUUAUUUGGUAAGCAAAAUAAUCUGUCACAGACAGCCCAACCAACUAUGGAGAACAACAGCCAAAAUUUGACUAUAUGCGGCUGCUCAUGGAACCUUUUGGGAUUCUGUGCUUAUUUGCUGAGAUUAAAUCUUAUGGGCAACAAGAAUAAAUUCUUAGCCCUCUAGCAUAUGUUAUACAAAGGGAUAAAGAAGUUCAAACAGCAUAAAGUGAGAGUUCAUAAGUUGCAAAUCGUUCAUGACUAAUAGCUAAGAAUUACAAUACAAAACUAACUUUACUUUGUUCCAUAAUUGAUCAAAAUACUAGAUAUACAUAGCCUAGCCACAUGGGGUUAUAAACAUCAACAUCUGAUCGUUCACAGGAAGUACACAACUGAAAGCCAUCUAAAGGCAGAAACAUUGAACAGGGGAGACAAUGAUUUUAAAGGAGAAAAUGGCUUCAACAUCUAUCUAUUUAUAUAAGUUACAAAUUUUAUCUCCUCUGCUCAUUUGAGCAUCUAGAAGAACCAUUUUCCUGCACAAAUUAAAUAAGCAUGAUCUUACAGUUUUUUGAGCACUUUGAGAACUUAUUUAACUUCUCCGAGCUGAUGAGGACCAAUUUUCUGGCAUUUCUGGCGUGGGAAACAUGUAUAGACAUCUUCUGUAAGACUGCUCCAUGCUUCAGAAGAUAUCUUACUAAAUCAAACCCAUAAUUUGGGAUAAUAAAGAAACUCUUUAUCUCUAACUUCCCUGAGAUAUUGAUUCAGACACAGUGGUCUCUCUUUCGCUGAAGUGGAGGUGCAUAUCAUCAUACAUCUUGAGUAGACUCUGAUUUAAAAAUAAAAAAAGGCAAGAAUAAGAUGAACAAGUAAAACACUUGCCAAUCAGUUCACUGAUUUUGGUCUCUUAAGCAGUCUAAAAAAGGAAGAGCUUACAUCAAUUUCCUUUCAAGAAUUUUAGGGCAACUCUCUAACUCACCAGGUAACAGACUAGCACUUUCAGAUUUGGUGUGCUUCUUCAGUAGAGUCUCAAAGUAUUUCAAAAUAGAGAUCCCGCGUUGUUGAAAGCUCCAAAUGAGUCAAAUUUAUAAAUUCAGGUAACAGAUGACCUGCUGAUAGAGACACUUCACAUCAUGGCAAAAGCAAAGUCAUUACGAUGCUUAGAAAACAUACUUUGAAACAUAUGAAAUCCUGGAAAAGCAAGUGAAAUGAAGACAUUCAAAGUCAAAGAACUACCUGUAAAGAGUCCCCAAAUAAACCAAAAAAUUCCAAAUUGCGCAUUUCACAAAUAAAUUGACAAAACUGGUUAGCGUCUUGCUCAUGUGGCAUGUUCUUAUUUUCCAAAUCCAGAAUAGUUUUAACAAGAACUUGAACUUGCAAUUUGAGCUCAAUAGCGGAUAUAGAUCACCUGCAUACUCCAAAUACUCAAGAUUUGGAUUAUUAAGAACAACCUUGCCACCCAACAAGCCCUGACCCCACGCCAAGCUUGUUAAGGAAGGACUACUGAAAUCAAUUAAUCCAACAUCAAAUAAUUCUACACCAUCAAUCACCAAAUCAUCAAGCAAUGGACAGCUUGAUGAAAGUAGCCAACCUGUAUUAUCUCCCACUAGUGUCAAAGUAUGCAAAUGCAAGACCUUAAGAUUCGGCAAGCAGAAGCCUUUUGGAACCUUUAGACCAAGCCAACCAUAUAAUUUCAAGACUACAAGAGUUUUACAAGUAAAGAUUUCAGAUGGAAAGACUUCAAACUGCGGAAAAUUAGUAUAACCAUCAACUAGGAUGUUAAGAACCUGAACACGCGCGGAAGCACCAAAGACAUCCAUAAGCUAAGCCCAAACUUUUGGCAAGAAGCCGACUUUCGACAUAAAAGACGAAACUCAUUCACAACAGAAGUAGAUUCACAAUUCAUAAGUAGUCUGUUAACAAACUCCAUAAACUUCUUCUCCGAUUCCACUACCUUCUCAUCAUUGACAUCGUUGCCUGCUCCUUGUUGAUGAGGAUGGAUAAGCAGAAUAUCGUCAACGUCAAGGUCAAUUUUGGGAACACCAAAGAAAAUGUACCUCCAUCUGGUGGACAAAACGGAAGUGGAGGCUGCAAAUUUUGUGGGAAGAAACGAGAGAAUGUGGCAGAGGAUGCCAUCCGGCAAGGCACUGAGUCGAUCUUCUUGACAAUCAUCAUCUGGGCUCUCUCUUGAAAGCUUGGCCGUCUUGGGUUUUGGCUCCAUAGCUGCUUUUUCAGAUUGGUUUUGAUCAUUUUGGGGAAAAAAGCUAGAUUUAAAGGAUUUUGGGCUAGGGAGGCUGAAUUUUAGUCGAUUGAGUUCCCAAUUUGGCUAUUAAUUUACUUUUGCCUCUAAGGAAAAAGAAAUGGGAAAAUGCAAAUGAAAUAAGAAAGUGGGACUGGGGAGAAAAACAGAUUAAAUCAUAUAAAUCUGUGGGACCUCUCUUGUAAAUUAUCUCUCCAUUUCUCACGAUACAUAUUUGGAUGCAUGAUAUAUAUCUUUAUUUAUUAACAAGAAUUAGAAUUAGUUAAAUUUAAAAUGAUCUUAUCAUUUCCUAACAAAUGAAUACAUAUGUCAUGAAAUUCAUUUAGAUUUGCAUCGUGGGAGAUGGAGAGAGAAUUCAUUCAAGAGAAAUCAAAUCCAUAAUUUGUGACCUUUUUUUAUUUUUUUUUCAUAUGUAAUUGUGUACCAAAAAAAGCUUAGUCGCUAGGUUUGAAAGACAAACUAAACUAUCCCAAUACUCGAAUUGGGAAAUGAAUUUUUUGAGUAUUUGUCUAAAACUUUACUUUACGUUAUUGUAGAAGUUUUUUUAAAAAAAUUUGAAGUGUGUAAAUUUUGAAUAUUUUGAAGUGUAUAAUUUAAAAUUUUUGAGAAGUUUUUUGAGGUUAUUUGGCUAAAGUUUUUAAAAAACUUAUAACAGACAAACUUGGUAAAAAGCUCAAAGUGCCAAAUAGGGCCCAAUUCCUCAACUAAUCAAAUUAAGUUUGAAUAGCAGUUUUGUGUUUGAUAAUUGAUACACUUUUAAGUUCAGCUCGAAUUUGCUUAAUUAACUCAUAAGUGAAAUCAUGUGUAAAAAGUUCAAGCUAGUGCGAUUCGGCUCAUGUUUGGCUCAAUAAAAGUUCUCCUCGAAUUCGACUCAAGAAGUAAACAAGACAAAAUUUGAAUAAAAUUUCAAACUCGUCAAAAUAAUCAAACAAACUUAAAUACUAGAAUAUUCGACUUAUUUAGACAUGUUUACGCCUCUACCAGCCAUCAAAUUUUGUAUGUGCACACACCUAUAUUAACUAAAGUUGCACUUUUUUAUUCAUUGAGGUGCACUUUUGUAUUUAAUAAAGUACACACUGUAACAAGUGUAAUUUAGGCAUUUUAAUAAUAAAUUUAUUAAUUAUUUUUUAUUCUUGAAUAAUAACUCAUAAUUUAUUCACAAAUUUUCCACAUCUCACCCUUCUUAUGAAUUUUGAAUCUCUCAAGAAGGGCGCUAGCAGUCUGCCACCUCUAAUUCCCAGCACUAAAUUCAAGGAGUUUAAUUCUACACCAAUUUAUAAAUUCUGUAUAGUUUCCUUUUUUUUUUAAUUAAUCUUUCCUACACUGACAGUGUAUACUUUGUUAGCAUUGGCUGAAUGAUAACUAUGCAAAAUUUAAAUUUAAAAUUCAACUUUUAAUAUAUAUCAUGAAUCUAAUGGUGACAGUGUAUACACUGUCAGUGUAUAUAAGAUUUACUAUUUUCUUCUAUGUCAAUGUUCCAGUUUUCACUCUUAUGUACAAACUGCUAUGUGUUUGCCGUCUGCACCUCUAUUUGGGCUAACAAGUUUGCAAUCAAUAUUUCAUUGUUGCCUAGCCUUGACAAUAGGCCUGUCAAUCGGGCCUAAUGAGGCGGGCUUUGAUGAGUUCAAGCUCAGCUCAUUUAAUUUGAGACAUUUUCGGGUUUCGGGCUAUGAGGUUCGGGUUCGUAAAUGUGAAGCUCAUACUCAGCUCACAUAAUAUUCGGGUUGUGAGCCUUAAUCGGGCUUAGCCCAAGCUCACUUAUUACUCCUGAAUUUUCUUAAUAUAAUUACUAUAACUAUUAAGUUGUAAAACUAAUUUAACAUUUACAAGACUAUAAUAUUAAAACUAAACAUGAACAAAUAAUAGUUCUUAAAAAGUAUAUAAACCAAAAUUUUUUCAACAAUAUUUAUAUGUAAUCCGUUUAAAAUGCAUGAAAAAUAGUAAUAAAACAUGCAAUCAUAAGCCAAUACAUCUUUAAAAGUUGAAACUUUUUUUUAUAAUCUUGUGAUUUAAAUCCAAAUAUGCUUGAUGAUUUUUGUGUUUGUAGACCAAAAAAAAAAAAAUCAACAAUAAUAUGCCAAUACAAAAAGUUACUCAACCAAUAAAAAAAAUUAGAGAUUUAGUUAUGCAUUACUAAUAUUGGCUCUCAAGAAAGCUCAUGAAAGAGUCUUUAGAUGUGUUUUUGUGUUUUGUAAUUUAUAUAUAUAUUUAGUAUUUAGCAAAAAUAUAUUUGGAUAUAUAAUUAUACAUAAUAUCAAAAUAUAAAUAUUAUAUAUAUAGGUAAUUAAAGGGCGGGCCUAUAUCGGGUAUGAGUCUAAUAAGGCCCAAGCUCGGCUCACAUUUAAUUCGGGCCUAAUUUUUAGGCUCAAGCUCAGACCGACUCACUAAAUGAUCGGGCUCAUCGGGCUUUCUGUCGGGCCGAACGAGCCGAGCUCGGGCUGGCCCAGCCCAUUGACAGUCCUACUUGACAAAGUGGGACAAAAGACAUGUCUUGCCUUCAUGAAGGGGAAAUUUGCAUUUUCCCCCUAAUUUUUGCCUUGUCUCAUAUAAUUUCCUAUGUUUACUUGCCAAAACUGUAUUAAGCAGAGUUGAACCUUUUAGUGUUUUCUUCAAAAGAAAGAACCAAUAUAGGCUUAAUAUUUGUCCCAGAAUACGUCAAGUUUAGAAUUAAUAAUUAGUCUAUCUAGGAUACGAUAGCCUAAACUUUAUUAAAUAGUUAUUUUAAAAUUUGCGUAAGGAGUAUUUAUCAGGUCGAGCAGGCCUUAAUCUAGGGAUUAAAGCUAAAAUCUCACAAUUUAAAGGCUUUUAGUUCCCUAUUUUCUUAAAUCCCACCCUUCCUCUAUUAAAAAUAACACAAAGAAUCUUGACUAGUUUUCAACGUGCUCACACUAUUGGAUUGAGGACUCACACCCAUAAACACUUCAUGCAAGAACUUGAAUAGUGUAUCAGAAAUCCGAGUGACGUACAAUCAAAACAGAACAAGGACAAUACUUCUCAGAUAUGCAUCUGUUAUAUUUCUCAGUUUCAUUUGCAGGAAAAAGAUGAGUUUUUGAACAGUCUUCAACUAUGUUGAGAAGUUUAGUGUGUCAGUGUAAUGUCAAAUGAACAAUUCACCUUUCGUGAUAAGAUUUGUUCUUCGCCAAUAACAAUACUUAGUUGUCUAAAAAGAGUUUGUGAUUCAGAUUGUUUCUUGAUCGUAAAUAUAAUUCUAUUACCACCUGCUGCAAGUAGCACUUUUGUUUCUUGAAAAAGCUUUCAUCAGCAGUAACUACUGGAGAAAGAUUUCAUCAUUAUCAAUCUAUCGUGAGGGCAUUUAAAUUUUCAGAGCAGAUCUCUUAAACCAUGUCAGAACAGAAUUGGCAAGUUCAUGUACUGAGUUAUGAUUGUCAAGACAAUGAAUAAGUCUGUCCAUAUAACUGGAAUCUGUGCAUCAACAAACUUAUAAUGUUUACUCUUAUAUAGCAAAUGAAUAUACUUCACCACCCAAUUGAUUCCCUUUUUCUAGUCUAAAACAUUAAGUUAUAAAGUCUUCACCAACCAAAACAAUAAUGAGAACAGGAAAAAACCUUUAAGGAAAGGAAAAUAAGUAUGAAUCCGUAGAGAGGAUUAUGCACUUUUUAUGACAAAAAUGACCAAAUUUCCACAAACAGCAGAAUACAUGGAAACCAACAGUGCUUAUCAAUCUAUAACAUAUUGAAAAUAAGCAAGUCAUAUUCGUGAAGUAUUUACAUGAGAAGUUAUCUUCACAAAACCUAGCCUUCCAAGUGAGUUACAGACAGCAAACACCUCCAGCAACUAAGCCAAAUGGAAGCUCUCAAAGAAAAUUGAAAAAAACAUAAAAAAGGAAAAUAAUCUUGUAAUUAAUUCUUUGUUUCCUCAUGUGGAAUAGGUCCAAAUCUCCUUGCUUGAUCCCUUUUGCCUACUAUUGAAGAAUGUCAAAAGAUGAGUUCAUCUCCCUGCUUAUGUAACUUCUUUUCUUCUCAAACAACUUCCUCACAGCUUCAUUGAACACCUUCUCUUUUUCCGCUUCCCCAUCAAAAGUCUUCACCACCCAAUCCCAGCUUUCCUCCACCUUCUUAUUCUCCUCUUCAAUCCUCUCUAUCACCACCAGAGUUACCCCCUUCAUUGUACAUCUUGACAGCUUCAACUCAGGCACAUCCCAAACCUUCAUGCGAAAAAAUGGCGUUGAUUUGUCACUCUCCAUUAAAGUCUUCUUAAUCCAAUCCCUAGAAUUCAUACCUCUUUUGAACUCUUCAAUUUGUCUGCGAUUCAUACUAAAAGUUCCUAUCUGUUUUUCAUCCGAAAUUGUCACAUUCUGCAAAGUCUGAUGAUCCUUCAACGUCUCGCGAAACAACAGGCGCCUCGCAGAUGCUACAACCAAGCAAGCCAAGAUCAUUGUCAGCCUUUUAUCGAACUCCUCAUCUUUCAUGAACAUUGAUGAUUCUCCUGAAUCCUCACUAUCAGAAUUCUUAUCAAAGCUACAAAGUUCGUAGCUUUCAUCAAUUUCUGAAGUAUCUUUGGCGUGUAAUUCCAGAAUAUAAUCAAGUUUGCUCCCAAACUCGGCUUUCCAUAUCAUUGAACUCAAACAACUAUCACUUGUCGGAUUUGGGAGGUUAAGCUGUAAAUUACGAAUAGCUCUGAAACACUUUAAAGCUUCUUUUGGCAUGCAAAAACUAUAUUCAUCAGCAGAUUCACAAGAUUCUGACCUUGAUUUAGGCAAUCGAGUGAAAUAUUUGAAGGGCUUCGCAAUAGCUUUGGUGAAAAUGUUCUUGAAUGAUUUCUUACCCUCAUGGAGUGUUUCUGUGAUGGGCUUUUGCUUGCUUUGCUUGUUUUGCUUAUGUUCUCCACGCAUCGAAAGGAAAACAUUGUCAACUUCGGGGAUGAUUGCGUGAAAGCGUUUGCAAACAGACAUGGACAAACACAGAGAUUUUGCAUCAUGCACCUUGUUGAAAAUCAGAAACACAAUAGGGUCUGGUAAUUCAUCAAAAAAAUCAUCUUUUUCUUCUUCUUGAGCAGUGCAGAAAGAAGCCAUUCUUGUCCUGUUAUUGUAGGAAUAUAACCCACAGAAUAAACAAAUCAAGACAAACCUCAAAACCAAAGAAACAAUUAUGGCAGCGGAAAAUAUAAACAACCAGAACGGCACAGGGAAGAAAGAAAGGAAGCAAGGAAAGCUUCGGGAGGCAACAAUCAAUUUUUUAUCUUUUCAAUUCUCAGCGCACGAAACAUCAAUACUAGUAGUGGUAUAUAUAGAUCAGUUAGUUUCCUAAAACUUAGCUUUCGAACCACAAAGGGAAUCUUUUAUACAAUUGGACUUGGACUUAAAAACCACAACCGACAUAAUUAAGAGAUCAGAACCAACAAUAUGGAAACUAACAAAUAAUAAUAAUGAUCUAGAUUUAAUUCCUACAGUUCUGUGUUUUUCGCUUUCUUUCCCCUGUUUCUUGAAUUCUUGAUUCACUGGAGGAAACUGAAAGCGGUUUCUUGAAUUUCUUAUUGGUUUGAGGAAAAUGAAAACUUAUUGUUAGAUAAAUUUAUGAAAAUACUAUACUACUUCCUGAAUUCUCUGAUAUUUCUGACCGGAGGAAACUGAAAACGCGAUGGGUAUUUUCGGAUGGAUACUUUGGUAGGAAGAAAAGUAAGAAGAGGAAAGGCCAUUUGAUGGUUUUGGAAGGCGUCAAUAUGGUUGAUUUUGGAAAGCUGGAACCGACCGGGAAAUAAAACAAAAAAGUGGAACAGAGAGUGGCACAGAGUGUGAGACAGAAGAUCCGAAAUCAACCAUAAAAAAUUCAUAAGAAAAUUCAUAUAGCAGAAAAUUCAUAAAAAAUCUCAUUUUUUAUGCAUUUUGAUUUUCUGAGUUUGUUAAAUUUUAUGUAUUACUCAAUUAAUAGUUAUUGGAUCUUAAGAAAACAAAAAAGAACUAAAACAUGAUGUUUAUGCAGGAGAAAUAGCAAUAUAAUAAAAAGUGGAACAGAGAGUAGCACAGAGUGUGAGAUAGAAGAUCCGUUGCGCAUUUGGCCGGUGAUAAUUGCCAAACAAUUUUGGUUAAUCAAAGGUGUGGAGUUUCGAGAUGAGCAUUCUUAAGUGGAACUUUACUCUUCGUUGCAUUUUAUUCUUGGGAUUUAUUAAAUUGACACCUUGUCUCCCUGCUUGAUAUUUAGGGACAAAAGUGUCCGAUCGAUAAAUUGUGAAAAACCAUGAACUAAUAUACUAGUUGCACUUUAUACCCUUAGUCAACUAACAAAAUUGAAAAAAUUAACUCCAUCCAAGUAUUUGAUGAAAUGAUUAAUUUGUCCUCUAUUAAAAGCUUAAGUGACAAAAAAACCCUUUUGAUGGGAAAAACUUAUCACUUUAAAAUAGACUACUUUUCAUUCAUAAGAAAAGCCUAACAGAAAAUACAAAAAAUGAAAUAAAAUACGGGUUCACUUUGAAUGAUAAUUAAGACUCUUGGGGGUCAAACGUAAAAGGGCAGAAUACAAAAAAAAAAAAAAAAACUAAGGGCUACUAUUGCAAUUUCUACAAUCUCGUUAUCUUCUUCUUUGGUACAUCAUAACGUCAUGGAAUUCCACUUGAAAUCUUUACGAGUAUUUAACCGGGAUAAAACACAAAAAUUUCAUAUGAAUUUAGCACCAUAAUAGCAACAAGGUUCAAUAGUAGACCUAAAUUAAAUCGCUGAUGUUAGCAAACAAAAUAAUGGACUUAGAAGAGAGGGAUUGGUAGUAAGGUGGAGAGAGAUUAUAAGUAAGAGAUUUUGGAUUUAAUACCUACCACUAACAUUAUAUAUAUAUAUAUAUACACACACACACAUAUAUAUAAACUUAGAAAUUUCAAUAAAAAUUUAAAAUUUCACUUAGUGCAUACAAAGAGAAACCAAAAGUAUAGGUCACAAUUACAGGAAUAAAUAAGAUUUUACAAUGUCUUUUCCAUGAUAGCAAUCUUUUGAAUUGAAGCCAAUUUAUUCACUUUCUUCUACUUGUUUUGUUUUAAUUAUUAUUGCAAGUGACCUUGUGUUUUAUUUUUAUGUGUUUUCAAUUAGACUUUUUUAUGAAGUGAAAAUUAAUCCAUUUAAAGUAGUAAUAUUGCCCAUCAAAAGGGUAUUUUUGCCAUUUAAACUUUUAAUGGAGGAAUAAUUGGUCAUUUCAUCAAUUAUGUGAAUGGAGUUAAUUUUUCAUCAUUUUUUAGUUGACCAAAGGUAUAAAUUGCCUAUUAAAAUACUUUAGGCUGUCAAGUACGUGCAAUUGGGAUGAUAGUUCAUAAGGGGGUUCUGCAUAUUUAACCCUUUUUUUAUUUGUUGCCCAAUUGGGAUGAUAGUUUGUAGGGGAUUUUUGCAUUUAACCCCUUUUUCUAUUUGGUGCCCUUAGGCACCAUAUAAGCACAUUGAAAAAAAUGGAAAUUAGAUCAAAUAUAAUGUUUUCAAUUAUCUUUUGCCUCUUCAGUUUGUGUGAUAUACUAAUAUACAUACAUACAUACUUAUGCAUAUAUAUAUAUAUAUAUAUAUAUAUAUAUAUAUAUAUUAAUUGAAUGUAAUUUUUUUCAACUGAAAUGGAAUCGAGUAUUAGUACUUAGAAAUAAACAAAAUGGACUUCAUAAAACCUUAUUGAUCCUAGGCAAACAUUUUAUGGGAUUUAGACUUGUUAAUUUUACUAGUUUUUGGCUAUGCCCAGGUGUAAGCUUAACAUACAUAAUUUUAGGUCUCUAUAUAUAAUCCAAUACACAUAAUUUUCUAAUAUGGAAAUUCAUGUACAAAUGGUGCAAAUAUUCAUCUACAAUGGUGAUACAUCUGUCACUAAAUCCAGAAUGUCUAAAUUCCAUUAUAUGUUUAGCUAAGACUUAACACAAUUUACUCGAAUAAAUAUAAUUACACGGGAGCAUAAUUAAUUGAAUUAGGUCCCUUAUAUCUUAACAUAAAGAAGCAAAAAAUUGCCAAGUUUAAAUAAACCAUGCUUUACAUACCCAAGUUAUCAAUAGGUCAACAUGUAGGGUGAUUAAAGACGGGACUGAUAGAAACAACUGAAAAGCUACCAUGAUGAUAGGUAGGAACUAUAGGUGGCAAACUUAACUAAAUUUACCCAUACCCAUCCAUGAAUAGGUGGGUAUGGAUAUUUUAAAUUUUUGUAUAUGGAUAUAAAUGGGUUACCCAAUCAUACACAUUUAAUAAAUGGGUAUUAUUGGGUAAUCCAUCAAAUUCAAUUAACCCAUUUAGAAUUCUCUUCCCCCAAGUCUUUUAUCUUCUCCCACCCUUUUUUUUUUUUCAAAUAUUUCAUUUUGUUAUGAUGGUAACUACUUUUGUUUCACUAUUAUUAUUAUUUGUUUGUUUUAUCUUAUUAUUUUAUUUUCUCUUAAUUUGUUAAUUUGCUCACUUUUUAGCAUUACCAAUUUAUGAUAAGUUUUAGCCUCUUUUCUUAUCUUUCUAAAAUGAAAUUUUAAAUUUAUAUAUGAAAAAAAUGUUAGGGGUUAAAAUUUUUUAGAUUAAGUUUUAUAUUAGCUUUUAUAGUCCUUAGUUCAAUUUUUUUAUUCUUAUUAUUCAAUUAUUAAAUAAUAUGUAAUUUUGUGACAUUGAGUAUAAAUGGAAAAAAAUUGGUAAUUGGGAUUAUUGAACAUUAUAAGUAAAUAUUUAAAAUUAAUGGUGGAUACAAAGAGCAGUAUAAAUUGAUAACUUAGUUUGAAAAAAUAAAUUUAAAUGAGUUUACAAAAAAUUAAAAUAAAUAGGUUAUAAAUGGAUAAUUGGGUUACCCAAUUCAUUUUUUGACUUACCCAUUUAUACCCAUCUAAUUAAAUGGGUAUAAAUGGGUUGACUCAUUUAUACCCAUUACCCAUUUUACCCAACCCAAAUCUGUCCAAAUCACUCAUUUUGACCACCUAGAUAGUCUAUGGAGGAAUUAACAUUAGUUGACUGCACUUUGCUCACUGGCUGGCUACGUUAAAUGCAAUCACGGCCAUAGUACAUAAACUUGGAAUUGUUUCGGUAUCGUGAUUUGCAUUUGAAGCAGCUCGCUGCUCACACCGUUUUCUAUUCCUCUCCACAUAGUCCUCUUCUAGGCUUGCAUAUUUUCGCUGCUAUAUAAAUCAGAUUCGAGCAGAAUGUCCAUCAUACAGCCAUAUAUCAACAAACAAUCAAUUGCCCAACUUAAAGAUUAGCCAAAACACUUGGAGAUUUGGAUAUACAAAAGUAAAGAAAUAGAAAAUGCAUACAAAGCUCACCUUCCGGUUUAGAGAAAUCAGUCCAACUGCUUCUCUUGCACCUAAAUGCAAUUAUAGUUCAAUCAAAUUAUAUCCAAAAAUAGUGACCCAACUACCAAAGAGAAAUAGGGGGAAAAAAGAUAAAACUUCAAGCGAUUCUGUAGUUAUCUCGGUUAAAUUAUCAACUUUUCAAUGUCACCAUUUAUACUUUUUGUGCCACCUAUUACAUCCACAAUUCCCUCUUCUAUAGAGCAAGCUUCAUGUGGCGUAAAAGAUGCUUGGAUGUAAUUCUUAACACAAUGUUUUCUCCCAAUUUGUGCUCAAAUUUCUAUCUGAAUGGCUAGAUAACAUGUAUUACAUUAACUUCAAGCUUUAAUCCAACAGGAACUUAGUAAAUGAAAUUUUAAGUAAAAUGUUAGAAAAGAGACCAUACAUUAAAAAUUUUAGUUGGAAACAAAAUAGUCACUGAUAAGUCAGAAGUAGUGAAUGACUCGAGUCUUUUCACAAACAAAAAAGGAAUAAGGUUUCUCUUCAAAAUCACCUACAUGAUUUCAAACUGAUGAACUUUUCUAUGUGCUAAAUGAUCUAAAGCAGAUAAAAGAUCCACUAUUAGCUGUAUUUCUACACAAUGCACAAGCUGCUAAUUAUCUAUAUUGACCAAUUAUUAUUAGAUGACAUCAAUCUCUAAAGGGAUAUUUCAAAUCUAUCCAUUUGAUCCAUAUUGAGGCAUUUAAGAACUAUUGACUUACAAGAUUGCAAUUUCUAGUCUACAUUCUUUCCAGAUGGGCAGAUCAUAUUCAAAGAACCCAGAUGUUAAAAGUACUUAACAAUAUUUAAGAACUAUUGACUUACAAGAUUGCAAUUUCCAGUCUACAUUAUUUCCAGAUGGGCAGAUCAUAAACAAAAUACUUAACAAAUCAACAGGGUAGUCUAGUACCAACAAGUAAAAAGCAAUAUUUUGAGGGAGACACACCGCUGAUUCGGAUCGUAAACGAAGCAUGCACUGAUGGAAUUACAUUAAAUCAAUCAAAACAUCAAGCAACUUCUCUAUUCGAGAUUUACUAUAAACACAUAUUUGUGAAGUGUGAAUGUAAUCAAUCGUACAUGUAAAUUCAAACAUGCAAAUAACAAAACUCACGGCUGGAGGUGAAGCAAAAUCAAGAGUCUAACAUUCUCACCGCAAAUGUCGAAUGUCCGUGUAAAUCUCCAGAAGCUGUAGUUCACACAACUAUUCUUUCGCUUAGCUAAUCUGAUAAGCAAGCUGUCUCAAUAAAUCCAUGUAAAGAUUGUCAACAUUCAGAUUAUGAGAUUAUUAAUUUACUUAAAAUAUUGUCAAUAAAUCAAGCAAAAACUUACAUAGAAAUGCAAGAAGAAAAUGAGGUAGGUUGAAGAAAAUCGGGAGGGUGCGUGCCGGUAGUAGAAGGCCAAGUAAGGAGGAGGGUUGCAAGUACUCGAAGAGUGAAGUUUUGGGAAGGUAGUGGCAGAGUUGAAGUGGAAAUGGAAGUGGAAGCGGAAGCGGAGGUGGAGACUUAGAACACAAUCAACCGUUGUCAUUCAAUCCACCAACAUGUAAACUCUAAAAAAGCAACAACUUAGCACCCACAUCGUUUGUUGAGUGUGUGCGUGAGCAAUACUUAAGUUCCAUGGGUGCAAUUAGAAGUCAGCAAUUGUCUUUUGGUUGUAUCUUGUGGGAUUAAUUUAAGUGUUGUUUAUGAACUUCUUGUCCAAAGAAAAAAGACUUGUUGGCGAGGUUAAAAUCAGAGUGAGUGAGUGCUAGUUAGUGUUUAGUAGAGAUUCCCUGUUCCCUCUCCCUGUGUCCCACAUCGUUUGUUAGUAUGUGUGAGUAGUACUUAAGUUCCAUGGGUGCAACCAGAAGUCAGCAAUUACUUUUUGGUUGUAUCUUGUGGGAUUAAUUUAAGUGUUGUUUACGAACUUCUUGUAAAAAAAAAAAAGAAAAAAACUAUGACUAGAUUCAAUAAAGCCCCAACAUAACUUGUCCACUCAACAUUAGUUGUCAAGUUUUGUACUUUUAUAUCUUGUAGACUUUUCAAGGUGUGGACGUACUACUUUAUCUUGAACAAUUAACAUUAAACAAAAUCACCACUCCUAGUGACUCAAUAAUGAAUAAGAGAUUAGUCUCAUUAUGAGCAGAGAGAAAAGUAAGAGAUCAAAGAUUUAGAGACCAUCAUUUGACUUGUUGGUUAACACUACAAUUGUGAAUCGUGUUCUUACAGUGAAUAACUUCCCUUAAACAAAUCUGUAAUCAAGCACAAAUUUAAUGAAAUAUAUAAUAAAUAGAAAAUGUACUAUAUAUAUUUUUUUCUAUUUGGUUUCUAGAUUAUUUGCAAAAAUUUUUCUUAAAUACAUAAUAAAUACAAAAUACUAUGAGCACGUAUACUACCACCACUAACUAAUAUAGUACUACUAUUGCUAUCAUUAUGAUUAUAUUAUAAGUGCAAUGAUGUUGUUAUAUUAUAGUACUAUUAGUUUUUAAGGCAUACUUGAGGUAUGUACAACUAAUAAAAAAAUUGUAAAUUUUUUCUCUUUCCUACUAUAUUUGAUAAUGCAAUUGACUAAAUGGUAUGGAAAACGGAAGAAGUUUGAUUUAAAAGUAAAUGGUCUAGAGAAUUGAAGAAGUUUGGAUGUUGUGGAGUUGCUUAUGACAUGGCUAUUGGAUAACUUUGAAUAUUAUGAAUUUGUGAUUAUUUUGCACCUCUAUGGAGUGUACUUAUCAUAGUUUGAUUUUAUAUUAAACACCAUGUAGUGGUGCUCCAACAUUAUAUAUUUAUAUGUUGUAUUAUAUAGAUAAAUAAAUAUUUUCUUUUUUGAAGGUAUAAAUGUUUAUUUUUUCUUUAUCAAAUGUUUCAUUUUUGCUUAAUUGGUAACAAAAGGUACUAUUUAUUUUGAGGGAGUACGAAGAAAAGAAAUAGAAAGGAAAUGAUAAGGUUUUUGAUGAUUGGAUUGAUUUUUGAAGAGAUAAAGGAAAUAAUACGAAGAGAAAGGGAGGGAUGAGAUCUAGUUAUUUAUUAGUAUUCUUUCCACCUAAAAGUGGGUGGCAACGAAGUGAAAGGAAACUAAGAUUAAUGAAAAUUUUAAAAUUUUCUCUAGUUAUUUGUUAGUUUGCUUUCCGUCUAAAAAUGGAUGGCAAUGGAGGGAAAGGAAACUAAUAUUAAUGAAAAUUUUAAAUUUCCUAAAAAACUUUAUCUAUUUAUAAAUUAGACUUUUAAAUUAUGAAUAAAAAUGUAACUAAAACUUGAUAGUCUCCUUUCCUUUCCUUCCUUAACUGAAACAAUAUUUUCAAUGUUUUUUUUCCCUUUUGUAUUUAAUCCAAACAAGAUGGAUGCUUUCUUCUACUCUCCUUUCUUUUCUUUUUUCUAUUAGAGUUCUCUUCCUUCAAUCCAAACAAUGCCUAUAUCCUAUACGAAUACUUUUCGUGUAAAUUAUGAGAUAAAGAAUGUUCUAAGUUGUGAAAACAUAAGUCUCUAAAUUUUAAGAAAUUUCUCAUUGGAUUUAUGAAUAAAGCAUUUGAUCCAUAAUGGGAAUGGUCUCAAAUGAGAUUAAAAGAUAAAGUUUGACAAGUCCUCAAGCUAAAAUUAAAAAAGUUGCAAUCAUAUCCCCAAAAUCUUUCCUUUUAUUUUUGAAAAGAUAUCCCCUAAAUCUUUGACGUGUUUUAGUUUCAUUCUACCUUAAGUUGACAUUUGCAUAUUAAGGUGCCUUGAGUGCUAGUUCCAUGAGAAAGAAAUAGGGAAGGAGGAAUACAAGUAAAGAUGAGAAUUACUUUGCCUUAAAUGGAAUGGAGUAUUGGGGAGGACACCCGCACCCUAUUCCCUACCUAUGAUUAAUUUAUGUAUGUGUAUAUCCAUAUAGAAAAAUUAUAUAGUUUCUUUAAGGGAUCAUUCCUCCAAUUUGUAUCUCUCAAGAAUGAUAAUUAUUGAUAUUUUUAAUUAUUCAAAUUGUUACAAUCGAUAUAAUUGUGUUGUGGUAAUACCAUAUAUCCUUUCUUGUUUAAGUCAUGGGUCAACUAGGAUGUACUUGUUACGUUAGUUUGCUUAAUUCUUUUUCCAUGUAUUGCAUGUUAUUAAUCAAAAAGCAAAACUUAUUGAUUCAAAUUCUCCACAGUAUCCAUGAUAGAGGAAAUCAAAAGAUCGAAAUGACAUUUAAAUUUGAUUUCAUGUUAAAUUUUUGCUAAAAAUUCAAAAGAACGCUUAGAAAAAUGGUUGUUAGUUUUAUAAAUGUAAACUAACAAGGUAAAAUUAACAAGAUAAAAACAAAUUUGUAGUGGGCACUCAUGGGGCAAUAAGGAGAGGCAGAGGUUAGGGUAUGGGGGUGGAGGGAGAUGGAAUAGAGUUUUCUUGCCCCAAACCUACCCUGUUGCCAUUCUUAAUCUACCCUCUUACCCCACUUUUGCACUUUAUCCAUUGCUUUGCUCUUAUUUAUAUUAAAUUAUAUCUCACAAAGACAUUGUCCACUAAAAGGAAAAAAAGGUGAAAGUUCAAGAAAAUGAUAAAUUGACAUCUUACAAUCUUGUUUUACAAUAUGCAUUAACAAAAUACAUCUUUUUUAUUGUAGAACCUAGAAGACGGCAGGAACAAGUAGGGGUGUUACACAAAUCCAGCCCUAAUAAUGAUAGUUUGUGCUCAAUUUACAUAAUGACAUUCUAAUACUAACAAAUUCAAACGAUAUCAACUAAAAUUCAACUAUGUAUUAAUUAAGCUUGAGGUCCUGAAUAUUCUUUUUUUUUUUUUACAAAUGUCAACAGUUAUAUAUAUAUAUAUAUAUAAUAUAUAUAUAUAUAUAUAUAUAUAUAUAUAUUAACACUUGAUAGUACAAAAUUAAUUAUAAAAAAGGGACCACUGCCCUUAUCUCCUUCUAUGCUAAGUCUAUCAGCCAUAUUGGGAAAUCUUAUUCCCAGUCUACAUCAUGCGCUAACUUUACAGCAAAUUGACCUAGUGUAUGGUUGAUUUGGUUUUUUGAUCUAGGUACAAAAAAGAAACAACAACUUUCAAGCCCUACUCUAAGUUCCUGAAUGCCUUCCAAAAUAGUUGUAAUCUUGUAAUCAUAGUCAUUGCAACUGUUAAUCUGGUCCACUACUGAUUUGCAGUCUGUGUGAACUUCUAUUUUAGUCGACCUUGCAUUUUUGGCCAUCAUUACUACAUUUCUUAUAGCAAAAGCUUCUUCCUUGAUUGCUUCUCCUUUCCUCUGGUUCACAACCCCUCCUGCCUUUACUAUCUUUCCCCUCCAGUUUCUUGCAAUUAUCCCUUGACCAGUUCUGAUCAUUCUUGCUGAGAUUACAGCAUCCGUGUACAGGCUUAUUAUAUCUUCCUUGGUGGUUCUCUUCUGACUUGUGUCUCUCUAUUGGCAUGUAGUGCAGUGUUCUCUUGCUCUGCUUCUCUUAAUUGUUCAUACUCUAUCCAAUCUCCUUGUGCUUUCUGUACUGUUCUGCUUGGAUCUGAAUUGGAGUCUUCAAAUAUAUUUUUGUUCCUAGCUUUCCAAAUUUGCCGGAAUAUAUUAAUUAUUAAGUUUAUUUGAUCCUGACCUUGUUCCUUUGAGACUGUUUGCAUUGCAGUUUCCCACAAGAGCCACAAAUUAUGUUGCUUGUCUUUCAGUCCAUCCCAUUUUGCUGGGGCCAACUUCCAGACCAAUGUUGUAUUUGUACAAAAAAAGAGUAAAUGCUCUAUGGUUUCAAUAUCUUCCCCACGGCAGCCACAGCUUCCCUCCCAUUUUCCUAGCUUUUUGAAAGCAACCUCAUUCACUGGUAUAUAGUUUUGCAAGCAUUUCCAAAUGAAAUGUUUCAAGUUGGCCUUUACAUUCAGUUGCCAUAACUUCUACAAAACACUAUGCUUUCUUAUCUCCCAACUGGUUUCAACAUUUGUUUUUUCCUUGUUACUGUGUUGAUCACAUUCCUGUUUUGCCACUGCAUAUCCAAAUUUUACUGUAUAUGUUCCUGUUUCGGAGAAUUUCCAGAAUGCUUUAUCAAUCCUUCUAUGUAUGCUAAUAGGAAUGCUUUCAAUAAGUUCAGCAUCUUUUCUACAUCUUUUAAUGGGAAUGCUUUCAAUAAGCUCAACAUCUUUUAAUGUAUAUGGUCCUAAAUAUUCAAUUUGUGGUUUAGAGGUUUUAAAAGUCUCACUAAUGUGAGUCAAUUUGUUGUAUGUGAGUCACUACUCUCACUAGUUUUUAUUUUCACUAUUUUUUAGGUACUUUGUUAAUUAUGUUAGUUUUACAUUGUAGUUUUCUCAUAAUUUUGUCUGAAAAAGGAAAAAAACUUGCUAAUAAGAUAAUAGCUUAUUUCAUCUCGAUAUAAUAAUUUGGAUGAAAGUGGUGUUUUGGUUCCCAAUCUAUAACCCAUUUGCGAAUCAUGUCCCCAAUCUAUUUGUAAAAGCAAAUGUGAUUCCCAAUUUAUCCAAUUUUGCAUGAAAUUGGAUAGAUUUCAUUCAAUUUCUUAAUGGAAUCAUGGCACGUGCAGUCACGUGACUUCACUUAAUAGCUUCAUUUUUUGAAUUAGAAAAUCCAUCCAAAACUUAACUAUUUUGUUUGCUUUUUUACCUUUCUUAAUUAAGCACACUAAACAAAAAAGGAAAAAUAAAAAAGUUUCAUUUUCUUCACAAACGAGAGAGAAACCCUAAGAUUCAGAGGUAGAGGACAUUGUUGUGAAUCAAUGAAUUACCCUUGAAGAUCUUUUUGAGAUUGUUGGUGAGAUGGAGCUGUGAAGAAGAAAUGUCGAUGAGACCUAAAGAAUAGAAUGAAAUCCCACCUCCGAACUAUGAUACGCAUUUUUGACUUAAUUCCUUUUUAAUAAUGUGUAAAUGUUGAUUUUAUUGUUAUAUUAUAGUUAAAAAGAUGAUGCGUUGGAAGACAUAAAAGUUGUCUGAAAUUUUGUUAUGGGCUAACCUUAAAAAACCCUAUCUAUAAAUAUUUAAAAAUUUGAUGUGGCCCUCUCUGUCUCUCUUUGUUGGGUUAUCCACCAAUCAAUGUUUAUUUUAUGUGGACAUAAUUCAGUGUAGUCUUUGUCAUUGUCUAAAUUUUGUAUGACAAGUCCGCAUUUGAUUAAGAAUUAGCUAAUUGACUGCAUUUAAUUUUAUCUUCUAAUUUGGAUUCUUCCCUAUUUUCUUGUUGUGUGCUUUAUUUUUCAUUGCAUCUGAGAAAGUGACUAUAUAGAAAUUACUACGAGAUGUCAUUUGUAGGGUAAUUUGAAGAAGAACCUGAUGCUCAUUAUGAGGGACAUGAAGUCAAGGUAUUUGACCAUGUAAAAUUAUAGGAAUUAGUCUAUUUGAGAUGGAUAGAAUACUGAAAAGUCAAGUUGGAGCUUAUGGUGAAAAAAAAGUACCAUAUUUUGAUAGAAAAGUAUGGAUUUCGAUUGCUUCAACACGAUAGAGAAUUAUAUACUUGCUAUGAAGACCAUUUUUAUUAUAGUAGAGUAGUUGAUCUAUUCAUAGAGAUUUCUUUUAGGAAACUGAUAGACUCACAGUAGGAUUCUGAUAUGAGUGAUUAUGACUUUGUUCUAGAAAUGGAAGAUGAUGAUCUGAUGAUGACUAUUAGGGUGGUCCAGGAAGUGAUAAUGGAGAGUUUUCACAAAAAGAAUCUGAUUAUGGUUAAAACUUUGAUGAUAAUGAUUUUAAGGAAACAGUUGAUCAAAAUUCAGAAUGGCUACGAGGACAAAAUCAGAGAGAGAAGUAAUUGAAGAGGGAUGAAAAUAGAAAGCAAUAUAAUAGAAUAGGAGAACAAUGGCUGGUAAUUCUGUUCUAUUGUUAAAAAUUUUGAAAUAAACGUAGCACCAGAUUCAGGUUCUAAUGCAGGAAGCCUGCAAGGGUCAAAUAAAGAAGAGUGUAGUAGACCCCCUAUAUUUAAUCCUAAGGAUAUAAAUAAUUCAAAACUGGUACUUGGAUAGACCUUUACCAACUUUAACAGGUGAAAGAUGCAAUUAAAAUUUGAAAUAUCAAAAGGGAGAGGUCGUAGAAAUUCAUAAAGUGUGACAGGAUUAGAAUUAUAGCCAACUGUCCUGUGAAAGGUUGUGAUUGGUGUAUAUAUGUUAGAAAGAUGAAGGGAACAUGUACUUUAGAAAUUAGAACCUUUCAAGAAAAGCAUAGGUGUGAUACUUCAUAUCAUAACUAAAGUGCAAAAUCUAGGUGGGUGGGAAAAAAUAUACUAAAUCAUUUAGAGAUAACCCUGGGCUUGAUUAUGUAAGUUUCAAAAAUCCAAUAAUGAAGGAGCAUAAGUGUUGUUUGAGUAGGCAUUAAAAGUAUAGAGCAAAGAGGAUUGCAAAUGACUUAGCCAAUGGCAAUAAUGUGGACAGUACAACAAUUUACCCAGGUAUAUUAAUGAGGUUAAGAGGAGUAAUCUAGGCAGCACAAUUAUCAUGAAGAUGGUAGAUGGUUAUUGUGAUGCAGUCACAAAGCAAGGAAAAUCUCAAAGGUUGUAUAUGUGUUAUGCAGGGGCAAAACUGUGGGUCUUGAAGGCUUGUAGGCCUUUGUUUGGUUUAGAUGGAACAUUUCUAAAGGUGUAGCUAGUAGUAUAUUUCUAUCAAUAGUUAGAGUUGAUCCUAAUAAUAGAUUUUACCCAAUUGCUUACACAGCCAUAGAGGGAUAAACCAAGAGCUUUUGGAUUUGGUUUUUGUCACUGUUGAGAGAGGAUUUGUAGAUUGAAAGGUACUAUGAGUGGACAAUUAUGAGUUACAAGCAAAAGGAAUCAUCCAAGCUUGUGAGACUGUGUUUCCAAAUGUUAAUAAUAGAUUUUGUGUUAAAAACUUGCAAUCUAAUUGGUCAGUUGUUAGAUUUAAGGAAAUGUCUCUGAGAAAGGCUUUGUGGAAGCUGCUAAGGCGAUCAUUGUCCCUCAAUUCAUAAGAAACAUGUAAGUAAUAGCAAAGCUUGAUCUUGAAGUUGCCAAGUGAUUGGAUGAGAAGAACUAAGUUGAAUGGAGUAAAUUACACUUUAGAACAUUUUCGACGUGUGAUAUGCUAGUCAACAACAUUUGUAAGUCAUUCAAUGAUAAAAAUCUUAGAUGCAAGGGAAGAGUCAAUUGUUAGGUUGAUGGAGUCCUUAACAGAUUGUGAUAUCUAGAAUGCAAAAAAAAAAUAGAGAUAGGGCCUAACAUAGAGUAAGCACAAAUAUGUCCAAAAAUUAGAAAAAAGUGAUUGAUAAUAUUGAAAAGGCAACUUACUAUGUUCCUCACAAAGCCAAUAUAUAUUAUGAAGUUUGGUGUCCAUAUGGAGAAAAGUGUGCAUUUAACAUUGAUAGAAUAUGCUUGUGAUAAAAUGGGACUUGAUAGGUAUACCAUGCUAUUUUAGCACUAUGGGUUGCAAUGAAGGACCCUAUGAAUUGUAUUGAUGAGUGUUAUAAUGUUGACACUUAUUUAAGUGUUAUGAGGGCUGCAUAUUGCCUGUGAAUAAAGAGCAUGACUAGCUAGAUGUGACUAUCAAACCACCACUACCAUCAUCUUUUGGAAAAGGACCAGAUAGACCCAAAAAAUAAGAAAAUAUGCUGAUGAGAUAAAGCAAACAAAAGAGAAUAGGAAGAAUGACAAAAGAGAAUAGGAAGAAUGAUAGAAGAUUUGGACAAAUCUUCAAGUACAUAUUUUGUGGUGAAAAGAGCAUAGCACUAGGACAUGCAAGAUGAGAAAGGAGGCAAUAAGUGCAACAAGUCAGAGCUGUGCAGUUGAAGACACUCAAUCAAAUUAGGACUUUUUCACAAAUUGCAGGUGGACUAUUUGAUGUACAUUGAAAAAGUGCAGUCUUAAGUGGAUAUUGCUAGUUUGAUUGACAUUCAUAUCAAUAUGUUACUACUAAUAUAUUAUAUUACUAGUUCAUAGUUUUGCAUUUCUAAUAAUGCUUAUGGUUUAUAUUUGUAAUUUCAAGUCACAGCCAUCAGUUCUAAUUCGAAAAAAACACGGCUAGAAAUCAACCAAGACACAUUCAAUAAUUAUUCUCACUUAUUUAUGAGUUGUUUGCUGCAUAGACAUUAUGUUGUUACUUAAUAAGGUAUUAUUUGUUCUUUAGGGAAAUGGCAAGAGAAUGCAUGAAAUGAGAGCAAACUCUUCUCAAAAUGCUUCUACCAAUAUUCAGGAUAACACAAAAUCCUCUACACCUACUGCUCAACCAAAUUUGAGAGAGAUUUUUGGUUUUCAGCAUACUAAUGUGGUACAUAGCAGUCAGCCAUCUCUAUCAACUAAUGCUUCUUUUCCUAUUAGAGAUAUUCAUGUCCAUCUUGAACUCUCAAGUACUACUGAUUGUAGAUGAGAGACACAUUCAUGAAACAAGUGAUUAUUCUGAUGUUGACUAUCAUAAUAUUGGAACAAGUUACUAGCUAUUGUAGUAUUUUUGGCCCUAAUUAUUCAGUUUUUGAUUAUUAUAGAGUUGGAACAGUGUUUGGUUGUUGUAGCCUUUUGUCCUUGAUAAUUGUGUUUUGACUAUUGUAGUGCUAAACAAAUGAUUUAGGUAGGAUUGUUUUAUCUUUCUGAAACUUGUAACUAAAUUUGGGCGGAAUUGGUCUAUCUUUUGACUAUGAAGUGUAAUGCUAUUCUAGUAAUUAAUGCAUAUGUUUGAUUUAUAAUGAAUUCUUGGCAUCAAUACAUCUAUUUGCUCUAGUAUAGUUUAUUUGAAUUGGGCAAUUGGUUCAGUUUGCUAGUGUUCUUGUAAUAGCCCCACCUCCCUUUAGGGCGAACCCAAGGGUUUGGUGGACCGCCUGCCUAACUCUUGCCAGAACUCAUGCACUCACUCGAACCAAAUCACGAUUUUCAAACCAAACAAUUUCUUAAAACCAAGAAAGUACUUGAAUAACAACAGCCACAAUUCUUAGGUAAUAGCGUUAACUAUUACAACCAUAAUAUUUCAAAUACAAAUGAAAUCUACAUUUUCAAAUGUCCAAAAGCCGUUCAGGGAAUCACACUAACUCUAGACAAAAGUUGACUAAUCUAGCGUCUCGAAUACUUCAUUUCAAAUUCUUGUUAAGGAAUAACAACUUAAAGGAUUGAACGGAUGCUCAAUGAGGCCAAGAUAUCAAGCAAGCAAGUAGAACAAGUACCAUAAUUCAACUCAAGUAGCACAUAUACAGAAUAGCAACAAUGGUUUCACGUAAAGCCACAAAAGGACUAAAACACAUUCAUUAAGAGGAUAUAGGACCUCUCAGGAGCUAAUCCACAAGCUUGCCAUUUCACGAUCUUGGGUGUCAUUUCUUUUGUUGACACUCCGUCAACCACGCAAAUAACAAGUCCGUAGAAUUUUAAAACACAUUCAUGAAUCCAGGUAAAUAAUGGUUUCAUGUAAAUAACAAGUCCGUUAACAAUAGUUUCAUGUAAAGGCACAAAAGGACUAAAACACAUUCAUUAAGAGGAUACAGGAGCUCUCAGGAGCUAAUUCAAAAGUUUGCCAUUUCACGAUCUUGGAUGUCAUUUCUUUUGUUGACACUCCGUCAACCAUGCAAAUAAUAAGUCCAUAGAAUUCACUUGACACGAAUCCCCAUCCACCGUUUUACCCCCAACCAGGUCCGAACGCGAAAUAGAAAUAGUGAUGGUAAUACUCGAGUAUAGCUAAACAAGAACAAGUAUGGUCGAUGAGAUAACACUCCAAUCGACUUAAUCAGGAUAAAAAUACUGAGACGGGAUGAGAGACACCUCCCACUCGAAUUGAGUAUGAUACAUGCUGCCGUUUAGCACUAGGGUCAACGAGAUAACUCUCCAAUCGAUUUAAUCAAGAUAAAAGUACUGAGACGGAAUGAGAGGUACCUCCCACUCAGAUUGAAUGUGGUACAUGCUGCCGCUCAACACUAGGGUCGACAAGAUAACUCCCCAAUCGACUUAAUCAGAAUAAAAAUACUGAUACGGGAUGAGAGGCACCUCCCACUCAGAUUGAGUGUGAUACAUGCUGCCGCUCAGUACUUACAAGUCGAGCACAACCACAACCACAAGUACAGGUUAAUCAAAUUCAAACAAGUACAAGAUCAUUCAAGAAGGAGAGGACGAGUGCGAUAAAAUACACCCUCACCUCAUCAAGUUUAGAAUUCAACACAUAACACGUGGUAUCAGUCUAAUCAAGAUAUUAAGAAACAUGCACUUGACACUCACCAGUUUAAGCAAAAUAACGUCAAAAGUUCGCCCCUCAGGUUAUGUCCUUGAUCACCAAAAAACUGAUAGGGUAUUAAUUGUUAGUAAUUUUAUCGUUAAUUCUCCUCUUUAUUCUUGCCAAAUAUUGUUUUAAUUGUCAAUAUAUAUUUAUAUUUGGUAUUUGGAUAUAAUUUCAGAAAAUGGAGCAGAAAAAUGCUAAAAAGGGGACAUUCUUGAGAAGAUUUCUCCACACGAGAAAGCUUCUAAAAGCUUUCCACAAUCAGCCCAAAUUGUGCAAACCAACGGAAUUGCUGAUGAAGAAUUGAAUUGAUAUGAUGAAAUCCACUAGCAAUAAGAAAUCAAAGCGGGACCACGUAGAAAGUUGAGGAAUUGCUUUAGACAUUUGGUUCCUCUUUUGGGAGAUGUAAUUGAUUAGCUAUGGCUGGCAUUUGAUCAGGAGAUUACUUUUCCAAUUGCUCCCUACGUAGCUAGUCCCUUAAGAGACUAGUGCUCCAAUAAAAUAAGAAGCACUAGAUUAGUGGGUUCAAGGAGAAAAGACUAUGAAAAAACUAUGAAGACUAAAGGCUUGCCUUAUAUAUAUCGGACGAUGGCAGAAGACAGGAGACUAGUAAGUCUUAGUUUUCUUUCCAGAGAAGCUCCGUAGCAGCUUAGAGGUAGUUUUUGGUUUUCAGAGAAGGAGUUCUUCCUUCUCUUGUUGUGUGGUGUGCAACUUUUCUUAAAAGAGUCUACCGAGACUCAAGUUUCUUCCUAAAUUCUUAGUUACUUAUUUAUGUCUAUGAAUUCAAUUGAAUUGCGUGGGAAUUUUCUUAUGAGGCGUGGCUAAUUUUCUCCUCUAGUCAAGGAUCAACGUGACGACGCAGUCCCAUAUAUCUGUGAGAUCUAAUUAAUUUACGUGUUCCUUAAUUUGUUAAUAUUUGCAUGUUUUCUGUUUUAAUUUCCAUGGGAUUAUUUUGUUAAUUGGAUAUCAAGGGCCCGAUGUGCAAUUUGACUUUUUAAUCUCUUGUCAAAUUAAUCAAUUACAUCCGUAAUUGUUUAGUUGGUUAAUAUUAGUGGCAACUAGUAUUUUCACAUACUAGGAGAACAUGCAAUCUGAUUUAAAUAACCCUCGUAGCGUGUUAUUAAUUUGGCUAGACUUUUCUAGUUUUUAAUACAAUUAGGAAAUUAAUUCCUACGGUCGUACCUAGGAGUAUUUCCUGAUUAGAGGUAAUCAACGGUCGUACCUUGGUUAUCAAUAAAUUAAGGAAAAACUGGUCGUUAGAGUUUAUCGGCGCUAUAACUAGCCUAUUAAUUAAAUUAAGUGAACCCCUGUGCAUCAAUGAUCGGAUGAAUGGACUGUGUCUGCGUAGUUGUAUCUUUGGUUAGAAUUUAUUUAAUUGCUAUUUACAAUUGUAUUAAUUAAUUAUAUUUUUUUGGUUAAAUUAUUUAAUUAUUUUUAGUUAAAUUGUUUAAUUAUUUAUUUUAUAUUUCAUUUUGAUAAAAAUCCCCCAUGUCUCGAAUUUAAAAAGAAUCGAAUUUUUUCCCAAUCCCUGUGGAUUCGACCCUGCUUACUACUAUACACAGAAAAUUUAUUUUUCUUAAGCAGGUAUUUAUUAUUGCACAGGCACGACUCCUGUCAAUUUUUGGCGCCGCGGGGACUGGCGUUAAUUAUUUGUUUUUUUAAGUUCAUUUUUGUUCAAAUUUUCUGGUAUUUUUCUAGUUUAUGCCUCGUUCUUCUCGUACAGGCGAAUUAAUUUUCGACCCUGAAGUAGAGAAGACCGCGCGUAGAACGAGGAAAGAAACCAGGCGGCUCAGAGAAGAGCAAUACGGUAUUGCACCUCAGGGACUUGAUCCAGAGGUUGAGCCGAUAAAUUUGUCUGGUGACAAUUCGAGUGAUUCAGACCAAGAGGAAGUCACUAUGGCAAAUGCACGAACACUAAGGGAGUUGGCUGCUCCUGAUUUAAAUCAGCAGCCCUUGUGCAUUACUUUUCCAAAUUUAAAUGAUGACACUCCCUUUGAACUAAAAUCUGGUCUAAUUCAUCUUUUGCCAUCUUUCCAUGGUCUACCAGGUGAGGAGCCCUACAAAACUUGCAAGAGUUCGACGUCGUUUGCAACAGUAUGAAACCUCCGGGAAUUACAGAAGAGCAAAUAAAGAUGAGGGCUUUCCCCUUCUCUUUGAAGGACUCCGCAAAAGACUGGCUUACUAUCUACCGCCUGGUAGUAUCACCACGUGGGAUCAAUUGAAGAAAAAAUUUCUGGACAAGUACUUUCCGGCGUCUCGAGCUGCGAGCCUAAGGAAAGAGAUAUGUGGUAUCAAACAACACCCAGCGAGUCUCCUAUGAGUACUGGGAGAGAUUUAAGAAACUGUGCACCAAAUGCCCUCAGCAUCAGAUAAGUGAGCAACUGCUCAUUCAAUAUUUCUAUGAGGGGUUGCUUUUCAGGGACAGAAGCAUAAUCGAUGCUGCAAGUGGAGGGGCGUUGGUGAACAAAACCCCUCGAGGAGCAUGGGAGUUGAUUGAAGGGAUGGCUGAGAACUCACAGCAGUUUGGUUCAAGAGAGGACAUCCCGACGCGUAGGGUGAAUGAGGUGGAAACGUCCUCUAUCCAACAGCAGAUCUCCGAAUUAACAUCUUUCGUAAGACAAUUAGCUGUGGGGAGUGCUUCACAAGUCAAAGUGUGUGGGGUGUGCACUGCCGUGGGUCAUCCUACGGAAAUGUGUCCACUGGUUCAAGAAGAAACUGCAGAACAGGUGAACAUGGCUGGCCACGCGCCCGCGCCAAGAAAGCAGUACGACCCGUACUCAAACACCUACAAUCCUGGUUGGAGGGAUCACCCCAACCUUAGCUAUGGAGGAAAUAGGCAGUCUAACUUUGUGCCAAAUAGACAGCAAGGACACCAACAGCAGUACCAUCCUCGCCCACCACCACCACCACCCCCUUCAAACUCAAGUCCGUCCAUGGAAGAGAUGAUGAAGCAAUUACUUGCUAAUCAACAAAAGACGGAUUCAGACCUGCAAAGCAUGAGAAAUCAACUGGGACAGGUGCAAUCAUUGCAAAAUCAAAUGAAUCAAAUGGCUAUAACAAUCAACCGUUUGGAGUCCCAAGUUCAAGGAAAGUUGCCAUCUCAACCUGAGGCAAAUCCAAAGAAUGUAAGUGCAAUGACCUUAAGGAGUGGCAAGGAAGUUCAAGGACCCGAACCGGUGAUUCCUAAAGACAAGGACGAGGAACGGAUUGAGAAAGAAUUGGAAGAGGAGGGCAGAGACAACAAAAAUGCAAAGGUACCCUCGAACCCAAUUCCUACAGCUAAAACUAAUCCACCUCCCUUUCCUAGCAGGUUAGAGAAACCAAAGAAGCAAGACAAGGAAAAAGAGGUCUGGAGAUCUUUCGCAAGGUGGAGAUCAACAUACCCCUACUGGAUGCGAUUAAACAAGUACCCAGGUACGCAAAAUUUUUGAGGGACCUGUGUGCCAACCGCAAGCGGUUGAAGGGGAUGAACGAGUUAUAGUUGGGGAGAAUGUUUCAGCAAUUCUACAAAGAAAGCUUCCACCGAAAUGCGGAGAUCCAGGUAUGUUUACUAUUCCUUGUAGGAUAGGUAAUACUUUGAUUGGAAAGGCCAUGUUAGACCUAGGAGCCUCGAUUAAUGUCAUGCCAAAGUCCAUUUAUGCUUCUUGAACUUAGGCCCUUUGAAAGAGACUGGGAUAAUAAUCCAAUUAGCUGACAGGACCAAUGCAUACCCUGACGGGUUGAUUGAAGAUGUUUUGGUAAAAAUUAAUGAAUUGGUUUUUCCAGCUGAUUUUUAUGUGCUCGACAUGGAGGAUGAACACUCCCGUGAUCCGUCACCUUUGUUGUUAGGUAGACCCUUUUUGAGCACAGCCCGAACCAAAAUUGAUGUUAAUAAGGGUACUUUGUCUAUGGAAUUUGAUGGUGAGAUUGUUCACUUUAACAUCUUUGAGACCAUGAAAUAUCCAUCCGAUUCAAAUGUUGGCUCUGUUUUCUCGGUAAAUGUUAUUGACCCUGCUAUACAGGAGGUUUUUGAAAUUGAAGGCAGGGAUGACUAGAGGUCGUUCUGACCAGGCACUUCGAGUCCGAAACGACCUCUGGAGUAGAGUUGAGUGAAGAGCUUAAAUGCGUGAUUGGAUCGUUGCAAACGUUACCAACCACGAAGACAAGGUAUGACCUCGCACCAUUUUAUACCUGAACCUCACAAAAGGUUACUUCCAUCUGUGGUGCAGGCACCUGUCUUGGAACUAAAACCACUGCCGAAACACCUAAAGUAUGUAUACUUAGGUGAAGGGGAGACACUUCCAGUGAUCAUCUCCGCGGGUUUAUCAAAGGUUCAAGAAGAGAAACUACUUCGAGUUCUUAGGGAACAUAAGCAGGCGAUAGGAUGGACCAUCGCCGACAUCAAGGGAAUUAGCCCGCGGUGUGUAUGCACCGAAUUCGACUCGAGGAGAAUGCUAAACCCGUACGGCAAGCUCAACGGAGAUUAAAUCCUCUCAUGAUGGAGGUCGUAAAGAAAGAGAUUUUAAAACUGCUGGACGUUGGAAUUAUAUUUGCAAUAUCAGAUAGCCCGUGGGUAAGUCCAGUACAGGUGGUCCCGAAGAAGGCAGGGGUGACAGUGGAAUCAAACCAAGAGGGUGAGCUCGUACCAAUUCGAAAGCCCACCGGAUGGCGACAGUGUAUCGAUUACCGAAAGCUAAAUGCCGUCACGAAAAAGGACCAUUUCCCCUCCCUUUCAUUGACCAAAUGGUGGAGCGAUUAGCAUGUCGAGCUUACUAUUGUUUCUUGGAUGGAUUUUCAGGUUAUUUUCAAAUUGCCAUCGCACCCGAGGACCAAGAGAAGACUACUUUCACCUGCCCAUUUGGAACAUUUGCAUACCGAAGGAUGCCAUUUGGAUUGUGUAAUGCACCUGCUACCUUCCAAAGAUGCAUGGUAAGUAUCUUUUCAGAAUAUGUUGAGAAGAUUAUUGAGGUUUUCAUGGACGAUUUCAGUGUAUAUGGUGAAAGUUUUGAAAACUGUCUAGAUAACCUGAAAUUGAUCUUAGUAAGGUGUAUAGAAACUAAUCUCGUGCUUAAUUGGGAAAAAUGUCAUUUUAUGGUUGAACACGGGAUAGUUUUGGGUCAUGUUGUAUCAUCUACAGGUAUUGAGGUUGAUAAGGCAAAAAUAGAUGUUAUAUCUACUUUACCUUACCCCGCGAGUGUGCGGGAAGUUCGUUCCUUCUUGGGUCACGCAGGUUUCUAUAGAAGGUUCAUCAAGGAUUUCUCGAAAAUUGGAGCACCCUUGUUCCAACUUUUGCAAAAAGAUGUAUCCUUCGAAUUUGAUGAAACAUGUAAGGGGGCAUUCAAUAAGUUAAAGGAGUUAUUGACCACCUCACCUAUUAUCCAACCCCCUGACUGGAACCUCCCAUUCGAGAUCAUGUGUGACGCCAGCGACUAUGCAGUGGUGCGGUAUUGGGUCAAAGAGUAGGAAAGGCAGCUCAUGCUAUCUACUACGCAUCUCGAGCCUUGAACGGAGCUCAAUUGAACUAUUCAACCACCGAAAAGGAGCUUUUAGCAGUUGUUUUUGCCUUAGAAAAUUUCGGUCUUAUUUACUUGGUGCUAAAGUUAUUAUUUUUUCUGAUCAUGCAGCUUUGCGGUAUCUGUUGACCAAGAAAGAGGCAAAACCGCGAUUGAUACGGUGGAUAUUGUUGUUACAAGAGUUCAACCUGGAGAUCCGAGAUAAGAAAGGGGCAGAGAACCUGGUAGCAGAUCACUUGAGUCGAGUACAAGUCGUCGAAGAGGACCUCCCAUUGAGAGAAGCAUUCCCGAGGAGCAUUUAUUUUCUAUUAAUUCAUCUUUGCCUUGGUAUGCAGAUAUUGUUAAUUUUCUAGUCACUGACAAAUUUCCUACAGGAUGGCCUAAGGCAAAGAGAGACAAGUUGAGGAGCGAUGCAAAGUUCUACAUUUGGGAUGAUCCUUACCUCUGGAAGCGGGGCGCGAUCAAAUCAUCCGUAGAUGUGUAAGUGAAGUUGAAUUUCAAUCUAUUCUAGCCUAUUGUCACUCUUUUGCAUGUGGAGGUCACUUUGGACCGAAGAGAACGGCUCGUAAGGUGCUAGAGAGUGGAUUCUAUUGGCCAACUCUAUUCAAGAUGCCUACUCAUUUUGUAAGUCAUGUGAUAAGUGUCAAAGAGUGGGUAAUAUCUCUCGUAGGGAUCAAAUGACUCAAACCCCAAUGAUUUUUGUUGAAAUUUUUGACGUUUGGGGCAUUGAUUUUAUGGGUCCUUUUCCUUCGUCCUUUGGUUUUUUGUAUAUAUUGCUUGCUGUAGAUUAUGUUUCGAAGUGGGUAGAAGCAAAGGCCACCCGCACUAAUGAUUCCAAAGUGGUUGCAGAAUUCGUUAAGUCUAAUAUUUUUGUUCGCUUUGGGAUGCCGCGAGCAAUUGUAAGUGAUCGGGGUACUCAUUUCUGCAACAAAACGAUCGCUGCAAUUUUUAGGAGAUAUGGUGUCUUGCACAAAGUCUCUACAUCCUACCAUCCUCAGACAAAUGGUCAGGCGGAAGCAUCGAACCGAGAGAUCAAAUCAAUUCUAGAAAAGAUGGUCCGACCCGAUAGGAAGGAUUGGAGUGUGAGACUAGAGGAUGCACUAUGGGCAUAUAGGACGGCAUACAAGACACCAUUGGCAUGUCCCCUUACCGAUUGGUAUUUGGAAAGCCAUGUCAUCUCCCGGUAGAGUUUGAGCAUAGAGCGUUUUGGGCGGUCAAGCAAUGCAAUAUGGAUAUCGAGGAAGGCGGAAUUCAAAGGAAGUUGCAAUUACAAGAGUUGGAAGAAAUCCGAAAUGAAGCAUACGAGAAUGCAGUGAUCUAUAAAGAGAAGAAUCGGAUCUUUCAUGACCAACAGAUCUCUAGGAAGACAUUCGUCUGCGGGCAAAAAGUUUUACUAUACCACUCCAAAUUGAAACUAUUUCCAGGUAAAUUACGUUCUCGUUGGAUUGGCCCUUUUGUUGUGACUAAUGUCUUUCAUUAUGGUGCAGUAGAGAUCCAAAGUUUGAAAACGGAGAAGAAAUUUGUGGUGAAUGGUCACCGUCUCAAGCCGUAUUAUGAAGGAUUUCCAUUGACGGGUGGAGAUGAUGCAACUGGAGACCCGAUUUGCUUAGUUUAAGCAAAUUCUGGACUCCGUCUAGCCAAAGACAUUAAAGAAAGGCGCUAGUUUGGGAGGCAACCCAAAUAUUAGUUUUGUUAUUUCUAGUUGUUUUGUUCUUUCUAGUUGGUUCUUUUGCAUUGGGUCAUUUACUCGUUGGGUAGUAUCAGUACUCAUAUUUCCUUUACUGAAAUCAGGAAGUGAGAUCUUGGCGUGCCCACGCGGUGUUUGACGACCUAAAAAAAAAAAAAAUCCUUCUUUUUCUUCUUUUCUUUUUCUUUCUUCUUUCUUUCUUUCUUUCUUCUUUCCCUGCUUUCCCCUUUUCUCUGGUUCCUUCAACCAGAGCCGCCGCCGCCCCAGGUCUCCUCCCUUCCUCCUGCUCCACCGACGCCAUCGCCGCUCCUCGCGCGCCACCUGGAGCCCGUCGCUCCCUCGCGCGCGCUACCCCAACCCGUCGCCUACCACCCGCAGUCGCUGAGCACCACCAGAUCUAGCUGCCGCAAACUCUUCUCUCUCACAUCCACCACCUUCAUCGCACCACUGGCUUCGUAUGCACGCGUCUGCUUCAAUCUCUUUUUAUUAUUUUUUUUAUUUUCUUAUUUUAUUAUUGCAGCAUGUUUUUAUUAUUUUUAUUACAGUACAUUUUUGAAAGUUUUGCGUGUUUGGACUACCUGACAUUUCUAUUCCUCCUUAGUUGGGUACUUCUGUGUUACUUUGCUUGUUUCUUUUUACUUUGCUUGAUUUUUAUUUAUUUAGUAGAUUGAUUUGUGGUUAGUCGUGUGAUUUACUUAUUCCUUAUGCGUGCACCGAUGAUACUAGUUUAGGGUGUUUUGCAUAUCUUUAUUGAUUUUACUUCGACACCUGUCAUUAUAUAUAUAUAUAUAUAUAUAUAUAUAUAUUUUAGGUCGAAUUGUGUUUAAAUUGCUGUAAUUUGUGUCCAAUUGUGGGUAAUUUGCUGAGAUUGUUUGUUAAAUUAGGAGGUGCUUGUAAUGCUUAAAUUUGCUUAUUGAAGUAGAUUGUCUCUAAUUGCCUUGUGUGAGAGUCUUUGGUCUUUUCCAUUUCAAUUAUUACAUUGAUUGGGGUGAUUUUGAGGUGCAUUGUUAUUGCAUUUGGCUAAGUUUGGAACCACAAGAGCUUAUUGAUUGCAUUUACUAUAAGUGUUGAGAUAUUUGUAUAACAUGUGGGUGAUUGAAGUGUGCAUUUUGUUGUUUAAAUUAACUAAGCGAGAGGCCCCAAUAUUUAUUACAAUUGUUAUUACAAUUUGUUGGAAAUGGUUGUCUAUUGUUCAUUGGAGUGAUAUUUGGAGAAAAUGGUGAGACUCAAAUCAACCCCAAGGGCUAAUCCACCGAUGUCUUGACGAUUUCAGGGGAGUUUCGUUGCCCUUCUUCUUACUUUUUCUAUAUAUUUGUUACAUUGAGGGCAAUGUAUAUUUUAAGUGUGGGGGAAUGAUUUGGAUUUAAUUGGAGUUUCUUUAAAUUGUUGCUUUUCUUAUUGUUGUCUUGAUGAAUAAAUGUGGCAACUCACUCUUCUAUUGCUGGUUGUGAUUUAUCCUAUGAAUUUUGUUUAGAUGGCAAGUAAACGCAUGUUAUCUUGGUGAAUAUCAUGAGUUUAAUGACUUGGUGCAAAUUGUGGUUAACUUGUUUAGGCAAUAUAAAUAUUUUAUUAGCAAUUGUUGUAUGGAUUGGGCAAUUGUUGAUCUUAGUUCUCCAUAUUAGGAGAUGACGUGGGCCAUGAUCUUUUUAUCUGGCAUUCUGGUACUUUAAUUGUGAUUAAUAAAUGACUCUACUCCGCUAGUGCCGUCACCCAGUAACCGGGAGUCUUCACCACAAGUGUCGACUUUCGCGUCAAAAAGUGGCGAUAUCUAUGAGUAGUUAGUCCUGAAGCUGUGAAAAGUUGAGUAAUUGGGUUCUUUCAUCUAAAAAUGUCAGAGUUCACGUCAAAAGACUUGAAUAGCUUGGGACUAAACAUUUAUUAAAAAAAAAAAAGAAAAAGAAAAUAAUGCAUAAGCUUAUGAUCAUGUUGGCCUGCCGAUCCUUGUUCUUCAAUGUUGAGAUUUUGGUUUUCAGUUGACCAAAUUGCUAACUUUUGCUAGUUUAAUAUUUUGAUUUCUUAGACGAGUUAGCUAUGAAUUGGACGAGUCUGCGAUUUCAGGAGCUAACCAGGAGAAAUAUGUCUUGACACUUAGCCACAAAAACUUGAUUUUGGGAUAAGCGCAGCUUGGCAGUAAAUGAAAUGAGAGUUAGCCAUUGUUGAGUUUAGUGUUCCCAUACUUGAGGGCAAGCAUGAUUUAAGUGUGGGGGAAUUGAUAGGGUAUUAAUUGUUAGUAAUUUUAUCGUUAAUUCUCCUCUUUAUUCUUGCCAAAUAUUGUUUUAAUUGUCAAUAUAUAUUUAUAUUUGGUAUUUGGAUAUAAUUUCAGAAAAUGGAGCAGAAAAAUGCUAAAAAGGGGACAUUCUUGAGAAGAUUUCUCCACACGAGAAAGCUUCUAAAAGCUUUCCACAAUCAGCCCAAAUUGUGCAAACCAACGGAAUUGCUGAUGAAGAAUUGAAUUGAUAUGAUGAAAUCCACUAGCAAUAAGAAAUCAAAGCGGGGACCACGUAGAAAGUUGAGGAAUUGCUUUAGACAUUUGGUUCCUCUUUUGGGAGAUGUAAUUGAUUAGCUAUGGCUGGCAUUUGAUCAGGAGAUUACUUUUCCAAUUGCUCCCUACGUAGCUAGUCCCUUAAGAGACUAGUGCUCCAAUAAAAUAAGAAGGCACUAGAUUAGUGGGCUCAAGGAGAAAAGACUAUGAAAAAGCUAUGAAGACUAAAGGCUUGCCUUAUAUAUAUCGGACGAUGGCAGAAGACAGGAGACUAGUAAGUUUUAGUUUUCUUUCCAGAGAAGCUCCGUAGCAGCUUAGAGGUAGUUUUUGGUUUUCAGAGAAGGAGUUCUUCCUUCUCUUGUUGUGUGGUGUGCAACUUUUCUUAAAAGAGUCUACCGAGAUUCAAGUUUCUUCCUAAAUUCUUAGUUACUUAUUUAUGUCUAUGAAUUCAAUUGAAUUGCGUGGGAAUUUUCUUAUGAGGCGUGGCUAAUUUUCUCCUCUAGUCAAGGAUCAACGCGACGACGCAGUCCCAUAUAUCUGUGAGAUCUAAUUAAUUUUACGUGUUCCUUAAUUUGUUAAUAUUUGCAUGUUUUCUGUUUUAAUUUCCAUGGGAUUAUUUUGUUAAUUGGAUAUCAAGGGCCCGAUGUGCAAUUUGACUUUUUAAUCUCUUGUCAAAUUAAUCAAUUAAAUCCGUAAUUGUUUAGUUGGUUAAUAUUAGUGGCAACUAGUAUUUUCACAUACUAGGAGAACAUGCAAUCUGAUUUAAAUAACCCUCGUAGCGUGUUAUUAAUUUGGGCUAGGCUUUUCUUUUUUAAUGCAAUUAGGAAAUUAAUUCCUACGGUCGUACCUAGGAGUAUUUCCUGGUUAGAGGUAAUCAACGGUCGUACCUUGGUUAUCAAUAAAUUAAGGAAAAACUGGUCGUUAGAGUUUAUCGGGCUAUAACUAGCCUAUUAAUUAAAUUAAGUGAACCCCUGUGCAUCAAUGAUCGGAUGAAUGGACUGUGUCUGCGUAGUUGUAUCCUUGGCUAGAAUUUAUUUAAUUGCUAUUUACAAUUGUAUUAAUUAAUUAUUUUUUUCGGUUAAAUUAUUUAAUUGUUUUUAGUUAAAUUGUUUAAUUAUUUAUUUUAUAUUUCAUUUUGAUAAAAAUCCCCCAUGUCUCGAAUUUAAAAAGAAUCGAAUUUUUUCCCAGUCCCUGUGGAUUCGACCCUGCUUACUACUAUACACAGAAAAUUUAUUUUUCUUAAGCAGGUAUUUAUUAUUGCACAGGCACGACUCCUGUCAAUUUUUAAACCUUAAGAACAACCAAGAUAAAGUAUAAUAGUUCAACCAUUCAAAACUUAGGUGAACCAAAUCCAAAUAACUACUAGUGCAAUGAUGUAAAUAUGGUUUUUGAGUGAAAAGAAAACAUUUAGAUCCAAGGGGCAUGAGUAACCAAGAAUUUCCUCAUUCCAAUCAUAAAACCAAACUCAAAAUGGUUUAACAACUCCAACUUAAAGUUGGAAAUGAAAGUAAGGACAGUUUUAGAAAAAUCAUAUCUCAAGUUUUUUAAGUCUAAAAUUUAUAAACUUUAUAUCGUUGGAAAAUAGAUUCAAAGGGUUACAAUUUCUUUGAAAACACCUUUGCAAGAUUCUAUCCAUAAGUCAGUCAAAAUCUAAUCUCAAGCGGCUGCUUUAUCCAAUAGAAAGACUAAACAUGAAUAGAAAUUCGGUCAAUUUUGGAAAUCAUAGAUAUUCAUAGGAAUUGAGAAAAAUUUUGAAAUUUUCACGGUAGAAAUUACUCUGAAUCUAUUUUCAAACGCAAUAAGCAGAAAUUAAUUUGGAUAUUUUUACACCAAGAUAUGAUAGAUUUUCCAAGACUACUUAGAGCCUCCUACGGGAAAAAUUUCAGCAGCACUUCCCCUUAUUUUUCUUAAUUUUCAGCCAUUUUCAAGGCUUCAUUCUCAUCACAAAACAGCCUCAAAUCAAGCAUAUACAUACCAGGCCAACAACUCACUAAAUCAAGCAUACACAUAGAAUAUAAUCAUCACCUACUCAAGCUAGAAAAAUUAAAUCCUGUGUUGAAAUUCAUAACCACAAGUUGAAAAUUUCUAUUAUAAAGCCAAACAAGCAUUGGAAAGCUGGAAAAUCAUAUGCUAAUGCUAAUAAAUCAUAACAUAACUGAAAUGAACUCAUUAAAGCUGGAAAUCCUCAAUCAAAUCUAGAAAUUUUGAUCCACCACAUGAACCAUAAAAUUUUUCAUAAACACUGUGAGAACUCGAAAAAUUAUGUGUACACUUUGAACUUAUUUCAUUACAUUUAAUCUGUUAUUAGAAAUAUUAUAUGUAACAAAUGAAUGGUUAAAUUAAAUGCAUAAUGGAAUUCCUAUAAAUUUAAAAUUUAGGAAAAAUAAAAUAAAAAAUAAUAAUAAUGAUGAAGAUAAAAAUAUAUAUAUAUGUAUAUCAAUAAACAAAUUAUAGAAUGGUGUAGAAAAGUUUAGGUAAUCAAAUAAACAUGUGAUAUGCAUAUUGUAAUUUGAACCAUUUGAAUAUAUUAUAUAGUUGAAUAAGUUACAUGACUAAUUAAUUUUCCUUAAAGUUAAAUGUGUGGAAAUCUAUUAGAUCGAUAAGCAAAUUUUUCAAGGUACAUACAAAUUAGAAUAAAUGAAAUUUGGAGUCAAUGUAUGAGACAAUAAAAUUUCGGACUCAUGGCAAACAAAUGAACUAAAAUUAAAAGACCAAACCAACCUUAAACUUCUGACUAACUACCAUGCGACCUAAGGAAGAAUUAGAGAAAAUAGACACCAAAGCUACUAAGCAUAAACUGUGGAGUGAGGACUUGAAUUGGAGUUGGUAGGCGGAAGAACCGAGGGAAGCAUCUUAUAUGUUCUUGUCUGCCAUUUUCCACCGAAAAGAAAUAACCUGAGCAUUCUUAAACAAUAAGGCCGAGAGAUAAAUAAGGGAGAGAGCCAAGGGAGUCAAGAAAAUUUUAUCUUCCUGAGAGAAAGACUUGAGAAAGAGAGAAAACAAAGAGUGAGACAGACAGCUUUCUUCCUUUCUUGCUUCGUACAAAAACGGGAGCGAGAGUGAGUGAGACUGAGUGUGAGGAAAAAGAGUUUGCGAGCUUCACCAUCAGCUAACCAAGAAAAUUAUACAAACGAAGGCAAGGGAACCGAGAGGUCGAGUGAUAGGACCUGAGGAGUUGGAAUAGCAAUCUGAGCAGUCUGCAACAUUAAACUUUAGGAGGAAGAGGUAAACGUUAUAAUAAUUCUCUGUUUGGUUGGUUUAAUUAGUUAACAUGAGCUAUAUAUGCUGAGCUUAGUUAGGAAUUUAGCUUCUAGUUCAAGGAAGUUUCUUGCAGAAACUGUGAAACUGCAGGAAAAAAAAGAAAUUGCAGAAUCUGAGUUAAAGCUGGAAUUUGCUACUGUUAAUAGCAUUUCUUAAGAGGUGCAUGUAACAGAUUUAUCUUCAGUUUAUAAGGUGAAAUAUAGCCAUAGAAACUUGUAAAAGUUGGAACCGUGAGCUGGAAUAACUAAGUGUAAUUUAUUAAACUACUGUCAGUUUCAUCAGAAAAGGGAAAUGGAGAAUUUUGGUUGAUUUUCAUGAAUAAUAGCUCUAAAAUAUCCUGUGUUAACCUGUAAAGUGUGCAUGGCAUCUUGACUGCUUCACGCAUGAGGAGGUGAGCAUGAAAUGAGAGAAUUGAAUUCGAAGGGAGUCUGAUGCAGGCUGACAUGCAUCAGAUUUUGCUGCUAAGCUCAAGCAUGAGACUUAGUCAAGCUUUUCCUCUGAAGUCUGAUCAUAAAUAGCCAUACUUCAUCUCGGAUAAUUUGUAGUGGAUCAAUAUACUCUGUACGAGUAGCUGGAAUACAAAAUUGAAGAGAAACAAAAGGGAAAACUCAGCUGCUAAGUCACUGCCUGUUGCAAUCUGUUAGCUUCGACUGAGCAGAACUGAUAGAAAGCUCUAGAUAUCCCCUGCAACCCUUAGCUUCUAAACUUGUGUAGCAAGCUGUAGCAUGCCAUAAAGUCCUUAAACUUCAACAAGUGAGACAGAAACAAGCAGAACUAAUGAACUCAACUGACUGCAGGUGGCUUGGCUGCGGGAAUGAAACAGGUUACAUAACCUGUUGUUACUGCUUCUGAAACCUUACUAACGAAUACAUGAAAGACAUGUUAACUCUUUACCUUAACAGAUAGGUGCCCUGGAAAUUAGAAAACUUCUGGAAGCUUAACUUAAAUUUGAUAAAAAGGAAGCUGAUGCAACCUGCUGUGAAUCUGAGAGGGAGGAAAUUAACUUUGGAAGGGAUAGCUGCCAACCCUGUAAACUUCCACAGGUAGAACUGAGGUUGCCCUGUGGUUUAGUAGCUACGUUUAGCAUCAUGAGUAAGGUUACACUAAGGCAAAUGAGAGGAAAACUAUGAAAAGUACUGCGAGACUACCUUAUGGCCGAGAGAAAGAAGAAAGACUUGAUCAGUUCUUUCUCUUAGUUAACUGCAAAACUUUCCACAUUCUGUACAAGGCUUCUUGGUAGCUUAAUGAAUGUAGUUAACUUAGCUAGUUGGGAAUGUAGUUAACUUAGCUAGUUGGGACAAGAGAUUGAAAGAAAGGAUUUAGGGGAAACAAUAAAUGCCGAACUGUAUAUAUUGCUAGAACUCAGCUAACAUAGUAAUGAAGUGAACCCCUAUAAUAUUUUGGAACGCUAAACCAACUUAACAUAAUUAGAUACAUAAAACUGUUGCUAAUCACUUAAUCCCUUCCAUGAAUAUUUUAAAGACUAUAAAAUUUGAGGGGCUGGUGUAGUGGAAUGAAAUUUAAUUUACAAAUAACUAGAGUUUAAUUUAAAAGGGAACCAAUGGAGUACUCAUAAGCUUUAAUCUUAGAAUCUUGGGUGGAAAAUGAUUUAAUCCUAAUGUAAAUAUUUUAUAAAUUAUAAACUUGGAAAAUACGUAUAUUUCUUGGUUUAAAAUGAUAAAAUCAAUAAGUCUCGAAAUGAAAUAUGGAAUAAAUACUGAUUUUAUAUUUUAUAUUUUAAAGUCAAACUUGAUUUUAAUACUUAAAUAAUAGGAUAAUAAAUAAUAAGUGAACAUCUACAAAUUAUAUAUUUACUUUGGAAUUAUGAACUUGUCUCAGGAAGUAGCUAUGAGUCAGGAAACGAACCUGAGGGUCGAGAAUAAUUUAUUUGGGUAUUUGGUGAGUGUUUCCGAAUUUAUGUGUUUAACUGUUUAUGUGUAAUUAAGUGCAAUUAUGUGACAAAUGUACUUAUUAUGAAAUAUUACUGAGUGAUUUAUUGUAAAGUGUAUCUCAAUUGUCCAUCGCCUUCUAAAUUGGAAGUGUACUUUAUCGCACUCGGCUUAGUUGAGAUUGAAGGUUGAUAAUUGAUCAAGUGAUAUUGUAAGUGUGUAUGACUGUAAGCCGUGUGUGUAUUUUAUCACACUGGCUGAACUGGCCCCCAAAACCCUCUGUUCAAUGGACUAUUCGAGCCAGCAAAGGGCUUGGUUGGUAGGACGGUAGCUUUGGGUAAAUGUUUCGGUAUACUCGAGUAUUACCAUGAGGUUGGGAGAUUAUUGAACUGAUUAUUGAAUGUUGGGGAUUGUUUAUUGUUUUGGAGGACAUAAUGAGGUGAAUUGGCGGAAUGUGCAAUGACAUUGAAAUGAAUGUGCAAUGACAGUGAAAUGAGUGUCUCUUGGCACUGAAAUGAAUGCUCAAUGACGUUGAAAUGGCUCUAAUGAGAGCAUCAUAUCCUUUUAAAAGUUAUUGUUUAGUGAAGUGUUUCCUCAAUUGCUUAAUGAAAGUGAUUGUAUAGUGAAAUGUUUAUUACUUGCUUAAUUGUAUUGAUUUAAGUGUUAUUAAAAGUUACUUGCUCAGCAAACCUCACUGAACUUUAGCUCAGUUCUUUAGUUUUGUUUUUCUUACAGGAAUUGGUGGUCGGGGAACGAACGAGGGAUUUUAGGGAGUUAACGUGAACUUUUGUGAUUGUAAAUCCUUUAGUUUCAUAUUAUGGUUAAAACUUUUGUAUUGAAAUUGGUAUUGUAAAAUAUUGGAGCGUUUGGUUUUGGUUUAUCAAAAUGUUAUCUCUGAACUUAAUGUAAGUGUGUGAGUCCUGACGAGAGUCAGACAGACGAUCCACUAACUUUUAGGGUAUGUCAUAGGAGAAGGUAGGGUUGUCACAAAUACCACCAUAAUUUAACCCUUAAAUCUACUCAAAAGCAAGUUAAAUGACAAGAGAUGGUUUCUAGACUUUGUUACCUUGAAACCCAAAGAAGACCAAGCAGUCACAAGCUUCUUCCUCAAAAAACUCUCCGCCAAAAUUCCUCCUCCUACCUCAAAUUUAGCUUUUAUGGAUUGAUUUGCAAGGUUAAGGUGAAAACUCAAGGAUCAAUCAAGGUUUUUUUUUUUUUUUUUUGUUGGAAAUGGAGUUUUCUUUCUUUCUUUUCUUGCUUAUGAAGGUCAGCCAAGAGAGGGGAGAAGAUGAUAGGAUUUUUGGUCAAUUUUUGGUUAAUAAAAGGUUAAGAAAGGUUUUAGUCAAAGUCAAUGGUCCAAGGCUUUUGUGACAAAUGGUUUGCCAUGUUAAUCUUGUUGUCUUCCAAUCACUAAAAUAUCUAGCUAACCUCUAAUUAUCCCCUAACACCUUAUAAAAUAAUAUCCCUUUGCACAAAACUCCUCUUAAUCUUCAAAAAUUUACCGUACAUACCGCGUUAGUGGGUCCUACUACUAUAAUGCACUACGAAUUUAACAUGCACUAACUUACACAUAGAAAAUGAUUUAAAACUUGACCCACUUAUAAAAAUAUAUGAGAAAUUAAGGAAAUAAAGUAAAGUAAAGAAAAUGUAUUCAAAGAAAUAAGAUAAAAUAAAAUAAAUUUCAGGUCCUCACAGUUCUAAUCUAGCAUUUAUUCCAACAAGUCAAGUCUUGACCAUUGCAAUUUGACGUUGAUAACAACAAAAACAAAUUUUUGCCACAAAAUUCACUAAAGAAAAUCAGCCAAAUGUCAAUCAUUUCUACAUCAAAAUAUAUUCUCCCAAUUCAUUAGUAGGUACAAAAUAUAUUGGCCUUGUAUUACAUUCCAUCCACAUCCAUCCACAUCAAAUAAAAAUUCAAAAUUGUGAAUGAAUCUAUUAAUAACCAUAACUUAGCCUACUGCUACACAGCAGUACAUCAACAACUUGGCUAACAUUUUUUCUUUCUUUCUUUCGUUAUACCUCACUAUAUCUCUACACUAGAAAAAUAAUCAAUAACAACAGGGACAACACUUCAAUUGCAAACACUAAUUUCAUGCUUCUUAAAAGAAUUUCAUGCUUCUUAAUAGACCUAGAAUUAGGGUAAUAGGUCUUUGGCACAUGAUUGGAUUAUGCCACUCAAAAUAGUUGCAACCUUGACCACCGCCUCUUUGCCCCUUCUUAAUCAACAAACAGAGAAAAUUAAAAGGAGCCUAAAUACAGUAAAAUCUCUAUAAAUUAAUAACCUUGGAACCGUGCAAAUUCUAUUAAUUUAAAGAGAUAUUAAUUAAUUGAUAAAUUAAUAAUAUAUUAAUUUAUGGAGUAUACUUGCAAUUUAAAGAAACACUCAUUUAAUUAAUUAAAAUUUUAUUUUAUUUUAUAAAAUAGGAAUUAUUCUAUUAAUAAAAGGAGACUAAAAAUCUAAGGAAUAUAAACUAAUCCAUAUCUAAUUAAUUUGCAAGUAAAAUGUAUGUAAAUAUUUUCAAUGUAUGUACGCAACUAAUUUCAUUUUUCUAUUACUAAGAGGUAAAAAAGACUUCCAUUUUAUUAAAUUCAUACAAUAAAUCAGAUUAACAAUAUUAUGUCUAUAAAUGAUAAGGAAGUGUUCUUAUAAUAAACAAAUACAAAAUCUUCUUACUUAUCUCAUUGUUAAACUAUGACUUCCAAUUUAAUAUGUAUCAUAAAUCAACAAUAGACUCUUAUUUUAUGAUAUGUUAUUUUAGUGAAUUAUUAAUUUAUGUUGUGAAUGGGACCAAAGGGUUAUGUGAGGUUUUCUAAAAAUAAUUAGUAUCUUGUUAUUUUGUCAAAAUUAUUAAUUUAGCUCAUUAGCCUAAGUUGGGACCGUGAAAAAUUACUAUUUAAUAGAGAUUAUUAAUUUAUCAAAUAUUAAUUUAUAAAGAUUUUACUGUACAAAAUUAAACUUCAUAACCACAAAAAUAGAGAAAAAUCCAUAUCUUGAUGGCGCAAGAGAAGUACUGCCUCUCUGAGCUGUUGCUUGUCCAUGAUGUAAUUAGGGGUGGUAAUGGGCGGGGGUGGGGCGGGGGUGGGGCAGGGGAUCCUUCCCCCGUCCCUCGCCCCCGACUUCCCCCACCCCGCUUCUCGCGGGGUUAAAAAAAAUUUAUUAUAUAAUUUAUUAUAAUUAAAUUUGAGCAAAUAAUCAAGUACUAAAAUAUCAACACAUCACUAAAUUAUUAUUCAUUAUAAUUUCACAAUUGAAACUUAUAAAAAUAAUUAAACAAAAGUUAUUUGAAUACAAUAUAAUAUGAUAAAAAAAAUAUAACUAAAAUAAUCAAGUUUUUACUUUUGAUACAAAUACAAUCACUAAAUUAUUAUUGUGUUUUUUAAGAAAAAAAGUGUUAUUGUAUUAAGUGUAGUUAGGAAUUUAAUAUAAAUGUAUUAAUAAAUUUAAUAUAAAUAAUUAAUAAUUUUUAUUAAUAAACAUGUAUAAUUAGUAGUACAAUUGAUAAUAUCAUUAUAUAUAUAAUUAUGUACAUAUAUAUAUAAUAUAUAUAUAUAUAUUGUUUCAAACGAGUGGCGCGGGCGGGAGUUGGGGUGGGGGAAUAUACCCUGUCCCCACCCCCGCCCCAAUAGUCCCUGCGGGGCGGGUGCCCGGCACCCCUAGAUGUAAUCAUUGUUGCUAGUCUACCGCACAAGCAAAUUUUUUUGGUACCAUGAGUUCAAUUUUUGCUGCUAUAGGUACAGAUUUUUGCCCUAAUUAAGAAAUAAGAAAUAGUAAAAUCUACUACAAAUCUAAAGAAGAAACAGUGAACAAGGAACCGAUUUUAUGGAAAAGCAUCGUAUAUUUUGCUUUAGUCGUAGGGUAGAGGUUUUUGCAUGAGAUGUGGUGAGAAACUUGAUUGAGGGGGAGUUUGGCUGCAAUGGAGCUUUAUUCUCAUUUUAUUGGGUUUAUCAACCAAUCAUUUUUUUUUUCCAGAUAUUAGUAUAUUUUAGCCUCACUAAUUAACAGGAGGUAAAAAGCAAAUAGAAUAGUUAAAUUUUGGAUGGGAUUUUUGAUUAAAAAAAGAGAAACAGCUGUUAAGUGAAGUCACGUGACCGCACGUGCGAUGAUUCUGUUAGAAAAUUGUACGAAAUCUGUCAAUUGUCCAAUUUCACAAAAAUUUGGAUGGAAUGGGAACUGUAUUUGCAUUUAUGAAUUGAUUGGGGAUCAUAUUCGCAAAUGGGCUAUAGACUGGGAGCUAAAACUCCAAUUCGUCAUAAUAAAAUCUCGCAUAACACAUACAUGUAUCCAUUAAUAAAAUAAAUGUGGGUGCUUCAAAAAUAAAAUAAAAUAAACGUAGGAAAUAUGAAAUAAAAGAAAUUUAGUUUUGGAAUCAAAUUCGUGCCACCUAAGUAUUUCGAAAUCGAGUUCGACCGCAAUAUUCCUGUCGUAGUUCUCAAUUCAAAAAUUUAGUCAGAUGAGGCCAAAGUAAGGACCAAAUAUCUCAUAAGCAAACCUGAAAAGAUUAAAAUUAAAAUUCAGACGGAUACCAAAAUCAAGGGACCAAAUUGAUAAUUAUACCAAAAUAAUUUUCCCAUUCUGUUAACAAGAGUCUUCUUCCCGAUGUGGAUACUUCGUCAACUGUUCAACUUCAAAUUUCAUGCUUUUUUCCGGUAAUAAUAAUAAAAGUCUCUCAAGUCUCAACUAAGCUCAAAAAAUAAUACUCGCCGGAAAAGAAAUUAAACGGACAAGAUGCUCCGGCGGGCCAAAUCUCCGAUGAUCUUUAUCAGCAUCUCGACAAGAGCUGCUGUUUUCUUCUCUUGCUUCUUAGCAGUGGCGGCUGCCGUGAUGGGCAUCAAGAGCAGACGAACCAGUUCGCUGGAGCGAUCGAGAAUGGAAAAGUAUUAAACCUUGAUGAAUCGAACUUCGAUGCCGCUAUUGCAACCUUCGAUUACAUCUUCGUCGAUUUCUACGCCCCUUGGUGUGGCCACUGCAAGCGUCUUGCACCGGAGGUGAAUGUUUUUGUCCUUAUUACUGGCAUUCUUUUUGGUGAAUUUUACGUUAUUGCGGUAAUUGAAUGUGCUUAAACUAGUAUUUAGCAGCACUGAGUACAUUCAAAUUAGAGUUUUACAAAAUCUAAUGCAAUUCGAAGUAUGAAACUUUCAAUUUUGUGCCUAGGUUUCAUAUACACUAGUUAGAAAUGCGUAUUCCUUAAUUUUUGAUAUAUUUUUAUAUGUAAUGAAGAAAUUGAGAAGAAAAAAGUGGAUAAGGUGGAAAUUUUGUUAGCCUAGGAAAUGGAAGUCAAUUAGUAGUAGUCACAGUUUUCUCUGUAGGCGUUUUUGGAAUUGAAAGACUGAUAUUGAACUGAAAGGAGCUGCUCUCGAGCUUUAUGCAUGGUUCAAUAAGGUUUUUGAAUCAAGUGGUUUAUUGGAACUAAUGACAAGUCUCCUUCUUUGUUUUUAUUUUUGUGUUAUAAUUAGUGUGGUACCUACUGACAAAUUCUAAUGUUGCAUCGCAGUUAGAAAAAGCUGCCCCUGUUCUUGCUCGAUUGAAGCAGCCUAUUGUUGUUGCGAAAGUUGAUGCUGACAAAUACCGAAAACUUGCUUCUAAGCACGACAUUGAGUAUGUUAUAGUAAUCUUACGGGGAAAUUUUUUUAUUAAGCACACGUCUUGACACUUAAUUUGCAGAAAAGGUACUUUUUGUCUAUUUACUGUAAAAACAUCUAUACUAACUUUUAUGCAAAAUACACUUCUUUUGUUCAUUUAACAAUGCAUUCAAUACAAAAAUAAGUGCAAAUACCAUGUGUAAUAAUAACCAAAAAUUGGUGUCUCUUUGUGUUUUAAACAUUCGAGCUGGCCGGUUUGACAAAUUUUCCUAUUUUGUAGUUCAUAGUAGUAUGUUGGCAUGUGUUGUACUUUUCAGCUAUUUGCUAUGCAGGACAUCAAUGCUAACUUAUGCAGGAAAUGCACUUCUUUGUGUUCAUUUAACAAUGCAUUCAAUACAAAAAAUAAGCACGAAUACCAUUUGUAAUAAUUAUCACAAAUUGGCGCCUCUUUAUGAGUUAAACAUCCAAGCUGGGUGGUUUGACAAAUUUUCCUUUCUCUUGGUUCAUAGAAGUAUGUGAAAAACAACAUGCUGCUUGCUUACUUGAGGCUCUUGUUUCUGUGUGUUGUCAAUGGAAAAAUAAAAUUAUUGUUCAAUUAGAAGCUAAAAGUUAUGCUAUGACAGUGAAACUAGACUUCUGCUUCUAGAAAAGUUGACGGAUCUUCACCCUAUAAGCAUAAAAAUGAAACUAAAAGAACAACAGGGAGGGAAAAAGCUGCUUAAUCUUUGUUUGCUUGUUAUGCAGUGGGUUUCCAACCUUGAAGAUAUUUGUACAUGGGAUUCCUACAGAGUACUAUGGACCAAGGAAAGCUGAUUUACUAGUUCAAUUUUUGAAGAAAUUUGUUGCCCCAGAUGUUGCCGUUCUCAGUUCUGACUCUGCUAUUAGGGAGUUUGUUGAAGCAGCUGACAUUCAUUUUCCUAUAUUCAUAGGAUUUGGUUUGGAUGAGUCCAUGAUGUACAAUGUGGCUGUCAAGUACAAGAAGAAAGCUUGGUUUGCUGUGGCAAAGAUUUUUCAGAUGAAAUUAUGGCCUUCUAUGAUUUUGACAAGGUGCCUGCUGUAGUCUCACUUCUUCCAGAGUACAGCGAGCAGAGUAUAUUCUAUGGCCCAUUCGAAGGUAGAUCAUAUUCUAUUUUUACGACCUGUCCACGGAAGCUGUCAGCUAUUUUGAGUUUAGUUUAUGUUAAAAGCAUGUCAACUUUUUGAUCUUUUUGCCAUUUGGAUAUGCAUUUCUUUUUAUUUGCUAUAAAGACUUGGCCAAUUGUUUUAGACUCGAAGGUUUUGCCUAACAGAUUGACUAUUUGCAUUACUUUCAGUUGAGAUCUUUAUAUAAUGCUGAAGAACUUUAUAAAGUUCUUGUUGAUUUGACUGCAUUUAAGAGAAGGAUUCAACGCGGCAGAUAUAUUUGAUUCCUUAAUCAUUUGUUAAUGCUCAUAAAUAUAAUGUGAAGGUGAUUGUUCGGAUUUUCUGUGGAAAUUAAGCAGUUUAUAAAAAUGAUUUUGCAUUUUCUUUUAUUUUUUUACUGAAAAUUUGCGAGAAAUUUCUAUUUUGGCAGUGUAAAUGAACUUGUGGGAAGCUGGAUAGAAACUUUUGCAUUAAUGCAUGCAGUUGCAUAGACAUGCACCUGGAACUUGCAAAAUUCGGACAAGCUGUGAUUGACAGCUGUCAGCAUUCAACUUCACUUUGGACACUGCUAUUGAUUUAUUUGCUCAUUUUUUAUCAUUCCUUUUCAAAUUUAUUGAGAUGGCGCAUUAUCAGCCAUCAUAUUCUUUGUUGUUGGUAUCAUAGGAUGGAAAAACUUUAUUUUGCUGAUUGUUGUGUAUAUGGAGACUAGAGCCUCUGUUUUGAUUUGGAUUUUGUAGACUUGGUAAUGUAGGCAUCACGCAUCCAUCAUAAGAGAUUGUAAUAAUAGACUCAUAACACUAAGUAAUUUAGCAGAUUAUAAAGCAAGUCAGAAUGGGAAAAAGGAGGACCUCUACUACAUCUUGAUGGGUGCUGCUAUAUGCUGUUGUAACACUUGGUCUUAGACCACAUCAUACCUCUUUCCUGCUUUAUAGGUUGUUGCCUUUGUCAGCUACUGCUCUGUCUUAAUUUAAUCAAUGACAGCUAAGGCUGUAAAGGAAGGUGACAUAAUACGUGGUAUUCUUAUGCCCCUUAAUGUUUCUUUGAACUGUUGAGGAUGUUGAUUCUAUUUGAUUACAUCACCUCAUUUUCGAGCUCCUUUAGUUCCCUCUUUUUGCCUAUGCUUUGUGCUUCUCGUUGAAAUUAUGUUGGACCUGACUCAAGAUGUAUGGACAGUUGUCCACUCUUGGCUGUUCAUGCACAUAUUUAUUUGUUAUCUUCUGUCUUUGAUGUUAUUGUUGACAGACAAAAGAUCUUCAGUGGUUAAAAUUACUCGUCUUGAAAUUACAAUAUAUAAGUUAUCCAGCAGCUUUUCCUUUACAUAUAAGAUUAGCUGAUUUGAAGUUAUCAUUGGCUAUAGAAUGCUUAAAUGAUUCAGUGAAUUGUUUCAGGGCUAAUAGGGAUCAACGUAGCCCUUUGAAGUUGCAUUUGGAUGGUUGAAACCACCUGCACUUCUUUGUGUUGUAAUUACAUUUCAAGUUUUCUUCCAUGUUUUGCUUUUUAUUCUCUUUAACACCAUAGAAAUCUGAGUUUUUUUGGACAGAGCAUUUUAUGGUGUUUUUUUUUUUGUUCCAAUUAGUAUCAUUUUAUUCUUGCUAUAGUCUGAGAGUGUUUUCAAAAUUAUGUUUGAAAGGAAGAUAUAAAGAGAAUCUGCCUCUUUCACUUUUACUUUGAUAAAGAGCCUGAAAGUGAUUAUUAAAUAAGAUGUUUAAAAUUUAAGGAUAACUCUUCUAUUGUUGUUUUCCAUAAAUAACUUUACAAGCUUUAAUUAAACUAGAGCUGGAUGCAAAUGAUAACAGCUCCAAAUUGCUUUUAGCUUUAAAACAGCAAUAAUAACUUUGUAUAGCUUAAAUUAAGUUCUACUCGGAUGCAAAUUGUAACAGCUACGAAGCGCUUUUAGCUUUAAAACAGUAAUUCUGUGUAACAUCACUGGCAGUUGUUUUUUUUCUAGUUUCAUUUUAAUGUAUAGGGCUUGCUUAGAUUACUCAUUUUCCGCUUAGAACUUCAGCUCCCCUCUGUGUUAAGUUUCAUUGGGUUAUUUCGAUUGUAAUCUGACAUAUUCAGAAGUGCUUUUUAAUUAGGUUGUAUACAAUAUAAAUAUUGAGCAAAUAGAUAGGAGACCAACUUCUAUGGAAAGCAUAAUACUUGUCAAAAUAAUACUUGCUGAUUUGACAUGCAGAGCAUUUCUUUGAGGACUACAUCAAACAAAGUUUGUUGCCUCUAGCUUUGCCAAUAAAUCAAGAGACACUGAAGUUGUUAAAGGAUGAUCAGAGGAAGAUUGCUUUAACAAUUGUUGCGGAUGAGUCGGACGAAAAAUCCAGGGAUUUAGUCAAGCUGUUGAAAGCUGCAGCUUCAGCAAACCGGGAUUUGGUAUUCGGUUAUGUUGGUUUCAAGCAAUUUGAGGAGUUUGCUGAAUCCUUUGAAGUCAAUAAGAGAACUCAAUUGCCAAAAAUGGUUAUUUGGGAUGGAAACGAGGAAUACUUCUCAGUAAGUUCGGUCUCUUCCUUCCUGCCUGCCCCCUAUUUUACUCUUGAAAGUUGUCAUUCCUUCAAUUCAACUUCAUCUUGUGAGGUGUAUGAUAACAUCUUUCACGAUUCUGAGUUAUUGGUGCCCAAAUAAUCCUUUAUGCAAUCGAGGAUUUGUGGUUGCACUUUCUCUGCAACAAUAGUAUAUCUGCUGUAUGGUAUUUAUAUCUCAAAAGGUUUAUAGAAGGUAUCAUUGAUAUAUGUGUGUAAUGCAUGCAAGUGUAGGACAUGCUCCAUGAAGUCAAACUAAAGUAAGCAGAAGAAAGAACAAAUUGAAGCUUCGUGCAUUCACAUCAUUGUUCCUGCCUGUUCUUCUUUGAUUCUUGUUUCCUUUUUCAGUGCUUUCAACGUGAAUCAAUAAUACAUCUCCCAAAAGUUUUCACAUGCUGAUCUUUUGAAGUCAUUAAUUGCUAACUCUUUCACUGCAACGUUUAGUUGAACUUCUGACUUUGUUACCCACUGAAUUUGCUUCAAACAUGAUGUCCUAUUAGAUCAGGCAAAAUAAAAUUAAUUUUACAGUUUAAUCUAAAUUCGAAUAUUUCAGAACUGAAAUACAUGGUCCGAUUGUUGCUCCUCUUAUCGGGCUUAUUUUCAAAGCACGUCGAUUAGCAUGAUUGCCAUGAAGCUUUUGAUAAAAACGUGUACUUUACUCUUGCUGGUUAGGUGAAACGAAGUCGACAUGCAUUUUAACCUUUUGAUCCAUUGAUUUCUAGGUUAUUGGAUCAGAAAGCAUCAAGGAAGUUGAUCAGGGAUCACAAAUAACACGAUUUCUUGAAGGAUAUCGAGAAGGGAGUGUUAUCCAGAAAAAUAUUAGUGGUCCUUCUUUUAUGGAUUUUUUAAGGUCAUUCUUGGGAAUGAGAACUGCUCUUAUCAUAAUUUUCAUUGCUUGCAUGUUUAUUUUAAUCCUUGCUCAAUAAAGAGGAACCUCUAAGGGUUGGUACAAGAGAGGAUGCAGAUCCUGAUAGCCGCUCAACCUCUCAACCAGAUAUUCGAGAACUACGUCGGGAUGGGGACAAGGAAGAUUAAUCUAAGCUAAUGCUAGAUGUAACUUGAUUCAGUGGAAUUCAAGGCUUGAGGACAACAUACCAGGUAAAGAGAAUCUUGAAAGAAGUCCCAAUGAACCUGGGUUUUAUGAACAAUUAUUGAUGAGUUUACAAGUUAAAUGACAUGAUUUUGAGGAUUUCGUAGCUUAUGAAGAACUAUAUAUAUUGUACGUAUGAAGAACUAGAUAUUUAUGUUAUGUGCUUGAUUACAUGUAACGUUCUUUAAUUCAAUUGCAAAUGCAUCUUGCACCUAGUUGUUUUCUUGAUACCCUUUUUCUUUUUAGGACCAAAAGAAUCAUGAUCGACAUAUUGCUAUGUACGAUGAAGUUACAUAGUUCUAGCAGCCUUAGAUACUGUGUGAACUUUAUGAAUAACUGAUCUAUGAGCACAGAUUGAUACGCGCAUAAAGGCUUCUAACUGGCAAUCACAAAACUGAUAUUCUCUAACAUGGAAACAGUAUGAAAGGAAGGUAUUUUGACUAUUUGGUGCCUUGAGAACUUCUGCAAAACAUAAUCUAUCAUACUUGUUUAGUGAUAAUGCCAAAUAUUUUGUACGUCAACUUUGAUCUCACAAAGAAGCAACUAUUUGAUCAAAAUAAAAACAAAUGAAAUUGACUAGCAAAGUAACUUCUGCAUAAGCUAUAUAAAUUAGCAGUUCUCAAAGACAGGAUACAUAAUUCGCAAUGUAGCUGACAUGCACCCUAGAUAUACGAUAUGACCAUUGCUUACAAUUUGCAUGAAAAGUAAAAGCAAAUGUGGAUGAAAUUUGUGUCCGAGAGGAGGGAAUGAGAUUACAUCAAGGAAACCUCUCCCACAUUAUCUCCACCAAAUCAACCAACAUUUGAUGUUUUUUGCACGUUGCUUUUCUUCUUUUAGCGGUUGCGGCUCCUACAUCUCAUUUCAAUGUGGCAUCUUCCCUCUUUUUCAGUCCUAGCGAAUGGUUGACUAACAAUUUUUGCUUUCAGUCGAAAUAAUAUAUGCACUAAACCUUUUGGUACUAGGAAACGAAUUAUCAAGAGUCGUAUGCUCCGGCAAUAUAUGCUUCUUUGCUUAUAUGAAACAGACUGUUUUUGGUUUAAGAAAAAGGUUAGGAGAUGAGAAGUUCAUUCAUUCCAAGGCAAAGCAUGUCACCCACGCACUAGAUUCCCUUUGCACAAACAAAAUUUACAACGUUAUUGGAGAAUGUCUUAAGUUCGAUUUUCAAGAGAUGGGUGCAAUAUCUAUUUUUUUUUCCUUUUUUCUUCCUUCAUUUCUUUUCCUAAUAUCUUAUUUGGUUCGAUUAUUAUACGACUAUGCCUUUCUUACUACUUGGACCAAAAGCACCACUAGCACUCUUAAUAGCCAUGGCUGCAGACCUACAGUCUCUUCUGAAAAACGUAAAGAAAUGUAUAAAGAUCUGCAUAUGUAGUCAUCCUAUCCCUGCCGUGGCCCCUCUACUUGGUUUGAAAGGACUAGUUCUCUCCCCAUUCCAAUGAACUUCCAUUGACUUGCCUGGACAUAAACACACAAUCAGUUCCACCAAAUCAUCUGGAAUCCUGCAAGUUGAAUGUUUGUUUCAGGAAAGCCAGCGAAGGCUGCGAAGCCUGUCAUUGGCUCUCUAUGUCUAUCUUUGACAGCCAUGUGUCAUCUCUUAUCCCUCAACUUUCUCAUAGUGUGCAUUAACUCUUGAGCCACUAUUAUGUUAUCCUUUGUCUGCCUUCCUGGUAUAAAGCUGCUUUGUUCUGGGGCAAUCGAUCAUCCAAAACUAGCUGCAAUCUUUGCACAAUCACUUGAUAAUGAAUUUGCAGGAAAAAUUACAAAGUGAUGUGGGCCUGAAAUUGAUUACAUUUCCUAGAUGCUCCACUUUUGGAAUUAAAGAUAUCAGAGUGCCAUUCAAAUCUAGGUGGAUAUAUUUCUUUUGGAAGGCCUCAGAUACCAUCUCUACUACUGAUUUUCCAACGAUAUCCUAGCACUUAUGAUAGAAGAGCAUGCACCCGAUCAGGUCCUGGUGCUUUGUCCCCUUUCGUUGAGAAAACUGCCGUCUUAACUCUUGCUGGCACGCUUGUCUGUUAAGGGAUUGGAUUUGCCAUUGCUGAGUUGAGGAAAUUCAGACUCCGCCUCCACAUGGUUAGCACAACAAUACAAGUCCUUGGAAAAACUUGCCUUCAUCUCCUUCAGUAUUCCAUCGUCUAUUUCCUAUUGGCUUGCUCAUCCUUCAGGCACUCGAUUCUAUUUCUUCUUCUCGUGGUGAUAGUAAAGGUAUGAAAAAAUUUUGUAUUUCUGUCUCCUGCUUGUAGCUAACUCACCUUGGAUUUCUGCCUCCAAAACACUUCCUCUUGCUCCAAAAUAUGCCAGAAUCUCUUUCUCCAGAGAUUGAAGGUCGGUCGAGUAUCUGUACGAUCUUAAUUUUUCUCUAGAAUAAAUUACCAAAAAUUACUGGUUCCACUUUCUGAAAUGUUCUGCGAAGGAGUUAAUGUUUGCUAACACCUGGUUUGCCUUCCACGCUCGAGAAACCUCUUCCAAGGAAGCUGGAUGAGUAAACCAGUCCCACUCAAGUCUGAAAUAUUUUCGGCCAUAGAAAUUCCCUUUGCCUUCCAUAAGAAGCAGCAAAGGAGGUGAUCUGAAUGGGUUCUGACUUUGGUGCUUGAUAUAUGCUUCUGGAAAAGUUGUUCUCAACUCUUCAUUACAAAAUGAGUGCUUCUUAAGUUGUACCCUUUUUUUUUGGUCAAAAGCUUCUCAAGUUGUACUUAAAUAGCGCCUCCAAUGUUUUUUUUUUUUUUUGAUAACUCGGAACAUAUCCCGAUUCAAAUCACUUAGGACCCGAGCUGACACACCAAACCGGAGGAGUACACUACGGCCUCAGGCAAAACCGGAGGAGUACACUACGGCCUCAGGCAACGCACCUCGGGAAGUCACGGGAGUUCAAGUCCAGGGUAAGAUUUGAACCCAGAACCAAAGGAGUUAUUAAGAGUUUGCUUACCACUGACCACCUUCGUGGGGCGCUUCCAAUGUUGCUCCUUGAAAUGAUGUUAAGUCUUUUCUAUCACCAACUCCUAUGUAACAUAAUUUAGUAGAUUUUGUUUUGUUUUGUUUGUUCUUUUUUUCUUUUUGGUAGGAAUUCACUACAUACAUACAUACAUACAUCGAAAUAUCCUAUUUUCUGUUUUAUUGUUAGAUCUCCUACAUUAUUUUUGCUUAUAUGGCUAUUCAUUAAUGCUUAAAUUUGCAUCCCUCAAAUUUUAAGCCUCUUUACUUGGUUUUUAAGGCAUAAAGUAAAAAAAAAAAAAAAGACAUGAGAGUUUUCUCGGAAGUAAAAAACGAAUUUCCAUGAAGAUGUGGAACGAAAGAAAGUGACUAGGCUUGGAGAUUUGGUUUCUUACUCUCGAAACCAUUGUAAUUUUCCUACAUUGCAAUUUUAGCGUUAUAACAACUUAUUAUUUGUUUCCUUAACUAUUGCAAAUUACCAUUGCACUAAAAUGGUGUGACUCUCUUAUAUGUAAAAGCAACUUCUCCUAAGACUAUUUCAAAUAGCAAAACGUUUAGUGUUGGAAGGCUCCAACAUUUUGGACUAGUUUUGGAACUAUGAACUAAAAUUGGAUUUACCAUUAUUUUGUUGGUUCUGUUUGGAAUUUGGUAGCAAAUUCACUUGUUUAGUAGUAGUAAAGCGGGCAAAGGUUGUCCAUUUGCCAAUUGAGAAUUUGCCAUAUAUUAUCGCAACUGUUAAUGGGAAUAGUAUUGCAACAUAAGAGAGUCUAGAUGAAACGUUUUCAAACCUCAAUGGAUCCAACUGAUUUUUGACCCAAAAGAGUCUUAUCGAAUAAAAAUUUCAUCUUCCAUUCUUUUUGCUUUUUCCUGCGUCCACAGUUUCUCUAGAUGCAAAGUCUGCAAAUGUCAGUUAUCUAUUGGGAAGGCUGAAAUUUCUGACUGCACAAAACACUUGAAAACUUAUGUUGUAUCCCAUGUUAACUUUACUUUUACAUUCAAAAAGAAUUUAUGAAUCUUAAAGCACCAUGAUUUAUCAAUCAAAUCUUUCAAGUUCAAUGUAGGUUAACUGUGCUUAUAGGUGAGGCUGUCUGCAAGGAUUUAGUGAUUGACAUCCACAAUGCAAUGCAUCAUGAGCAAGGUAACAAAAGAAAGUAGAAAAAGAAGAGCUAAUGCUUAUUCACUUGAUACCAUGUUGAUUCGUUUUGAGAAAAUUUUAGUUUCAAGCAUAAACUAGAACCAGACAUAGAAGCAAACUGGAAAGCACUUAAGAAAAAGAGUAUCACAAGAUGCAAGGAGAUUAUGCAAUUUUUACAGGGUAUCCUGAACAGAAAAGCAAAGGAAAACUAGUUACAAGCAUUACUGAGGUUGAAUUAGAUCCUGGAAGGAAUCAAGGGAGUGGUGUUCUGUAGGUAUGCACAAGCAGCUCCCACUCCACUUCCUAGCUUGACAGGGUAACCAACAUCCUUGAGUACCAUCUCCACUCC
rnacentral:lncRNA from 1 species